rnacentral:lncRNA from 1 species
UGUGUUUGAGUUAAUAAGUUGACUUGCUCUGAACCAAUUCUGUGUGGGAAUGCAGGUGGAGUGUCGCGCCUUGGACUUCAGCGAUUGUGGGACACCGGGGAAAGCAAAAGUAUCCUCGGCUUCUCCAGGCGGCUACUCGAGCCCCUCAUCUUACCUUCUGAAGAGUUGCAGAUAGAAAAGGCUGCGUUUGUUGUUGAUAGAGCUCUGAAGGGACAUUCAUUCUCCCCUUCAAUUUUUUUGAUCAUCCCAUAUAUGUACUGUAUGUCUUAUUUUCAUCUCCUCUCAUUAAAUUUUUUCUUCUUUGUAAUGUGUGUAGAUCUUUCAACUCUGGACAUGAUACACUUGCUUAAAUAGCGAAAAAAAGAUAUUUGUUCUCAAUAAAUUAACUUUUACAUUGUAUGAAUUUCAAACACUGUUGAACGUCAUUUUUUGGCUUACUUUAAUGUGAAUAUAUGAAGGUUACUGUACGGUCAAAAGAUAUUUGUUCUCAAUAAAUUAACUUUUACAUUGUAUGAAUUUCAAACACUGUUGAACGUCAUUUUUUGGCUUACUUUAAUGUGAAUAUAUGAAGGUUACUGUACGGUCAAAAUGUACAGUUAGGCCUACACUCCAACUUCAAGAUUCCGAAACCAAUGUAAAAGAUCAAAACAGACGGUGGACUGACCAAACCCAGUUUUGAUGAUACACUGUAUGUAUAUCUACAACCUCAACACUCCUACUGGCUACUUGCUCUGAUUUAUCUUCUGGAUCCACAAUCAUCUCAUGAUCAGUCCAAGGCAAAAAUUUGGUGAGCUCAGUCUCUGAAGAAACCAUCUCUUGAGGUGACUAUCUGUCUUUGUUACCAUCAUACCAAAUACUUCUUCUCAAGAAUCAUGAUCUUUGCCGGCUAGAAAGAGUAUGCGCUGUUACAUUGGGAACUUCAUUGUAAUACUAAGGUUCGUCUUCUUCAUCAGAUGAUAACAAAGAUUACCCAUCCAUGCUUUAAACCCUUGGUUCACUCGUCUUUCGACAUCUGGUNNNNNNNNNNNNNNNNNNNNNNNNNNNNNNNNNNNNNNNNNNNNNNNNNNNNNNNNNNNNNNNNNNNNNNNNNNNNNNNNNNNNNNNNNNNNNNNNNNNNNNNNNNNNNNNNNNNNNNNNNNNNNNNNNNNNNNNNNNNNNNNNNNNNNNNNNNNNNNNNNNNNNNNNNNNNNNNNNNNNNNNNNNNNNNNNNNNNNNNNNNNNNNNNNNNNNNNNNNNNNNNNNNNNNNNNNNNNNNNNNNNNNNNNNNNNNNNNNNNNNNNNNNNNNNNNNNNNNNNNNNNNNNNNNNNNNNNNNNNNNNNNNNNNNNNNNNNNNNNNNNNNNNNNNNNNNNNNNNNNNNNNNNNNNNNNNNNNNNNNNNNNNNNNNNNNNNNNNNNNNNNNNNNNNNNNNNNNNNNNNNNNNNNNNNNNNNNNNNNNNNNNNNNNNNNNNNNNNNNNNNNNNNNNNNNNNNNNNNNNNNNNNNNNNNNNNNNNNNNNNNNNNNNNNNNNNNNNNNNNNNNNNNNNNNNNNNNNNNNNNNNNNNNNNNNNNNNNNNNNNNNNNNNNNNNNNNNNNNNNNNNNNNNNNNNNNNNNNNNNNNNNNNNNNNNNNNNNNNNNNNNNNNNNNNNNNNNNNNNNNNNNNNNNNNNNNNNNNNNNNNNNNNNNNNNNNNNNNNNNNNNNNNNNNNNNNNNNNNNNNNNNNNNNNNNNNNNNNNNNNNNNNNNNNNNNNNNNNNNNNNNNNNNNNNNNNNNNNNNNNNNNNNNNNNNNNNNNNNNNNNNNNNNNNNNNNNNNNNNNNNNNNNNNNNNNNNNNNNNNNNNNNNNNNNNNNNNNNNNNNNNNNNNNNNNNNNNNNNNNNNNNNNNNNNNNNNNNNNNNNNNNNNNNNNNNNNNNNNNNNNNNNNNNNNNNNNNNNNNNNNNNNNNNNNNNNNNNNNNNNNNNNNNNNNNNNNNNNNNNNNNNNNNNNNNNNNNNNNNNNNNNNNNNNNNNNNNNNNNNNNNNNNNNNNNNNNNNNNNNNNNNNNNNNNNNNNNNNNNNNNNNNNNNNNNNNNNNNNNNNNNNNNNNNNNNNNNNNNNNNNNNNNNNNNNNNNNNNNNNNNNNNNNNNNNNNNNNNNNNNNNNNNNNNNNNNNNNNNNNNNNNNNNNNNNNNNNNNNNNNNNNNNNNNNNNNNNNNNNNNNNNNNNNNNNNNNNNNNNNNNNNNNNNNNNNNNNNNNNNNNNNNNNNNNNNNNNNNNNNNNNNNNNNNNNNNNNNNNNNNNNNNNNNNNNNNNNNNNNNNNNNNNNNNNNNNNNNNNNNNNNNNNNNNNNNNNNNNNNNNNNNNNNNNNNNNNNNNNNNNNNNNNNNNNNNNNNNNNNNNNNNNNNNNNNNNNNNNNNNNNNNNNNNNNNNNNNNNNNNNNNNNNNNNNNNNNNNNNNNNNNNNNNNNNNNNNNNNNNNNNNNNNNNNNNNNNNNNNNNNNNNNNNNNNNNNNNNNNNNNNNNNNNNNNNNNNNNNNNNNNNNNNNNNNNNNNNNNNNNNNNNNNNNNNNNNNNNNNNNNNNNNNNNNNNNNNNNNNNNNNNNNNNNNNNNNNNNNNNNNNNNNNNNNNNNNNNNNNNNNNNNNNNNNNNNNNNNNNNNNNNNNNNNNNNNNNNNNNNNNNNNNNNNNNNNNNNNNNNNNNNNNNNNNNNNNNNNNNNNNNNNNNNNNNNNNNNNNNNNNNNNNNNNNNNNNNNNNNNNNNNNNNNNNNNNNNNNNNNNNNNNNNNNNNNNNNNNNNNNNNNNNNNNNNNNNNNNNNNNNNNNNNNNNNNNNNNNNNNNNNNNNNNNNNNNNNNNNNNNNNNNNNNNNNNNNNNNNNNNNNNNNNNNNNNNNNNNNNNNNNNNNNNNNNNNNNNNNNNNNNNNNNNNNNNNNNNNNNNNNNNNNNNNNNNNNNNNNNNNNNNNNNNNNNNNNNNNNNNNNNNNNNNNNNNNNNNNNNNNNNNNNNNNNNNNNNNNNNNNNNNNNNNNNNNNNNNNNNNNNNNNNNNNNNNNNNNNNNNNNNNNNNNNNNNNNNNNNNNNNNNNNNNNNNNNNNNNNNNNNNNNNNNNNNNNNNNNNNNNNNNNNNNNNNNNNNNNNNNNNNNNNNNNNNNNNNNNNNNNNNNNNNNNNNNNNNNNNNNNNNNNNNNNNNNNNNNNNNNNNNNNNNNNNNNNNNNNNNNNNNNNNNNNNNNNNNNNNNNNNNNNNNNNNNNNNNNNNNNNNNNNNNNNNNNNNNNNNNNNNNNNNNNNNNNNNNNNNNNNNNNNNNNNNNNNNNNNNNNNNNNNNNNNNNNNNNNNNNNNNNNNNNNNNNNNNNNNNNNNNNNNNNNNNNNNNNNNNNNNNNNNNNNNNNNNNNNNNNNNNNNNNNNNNNNNNNNNNNNNNNNNNNNNNNNNNNNNNNNNNNNNNNNNNNNNNNNNNNNNNNNNNNNNNNNNNNNNNNNNNNNNNNNNNNNNNNNNNNNNNNNNNNNNNNNNNNNNNNNNNNNNNNNNNNNNNNNNNNNNNNNNNNNNNNNNNNNNNNNNNNNNNNNNNNNNNNNNNNNNNNNNNNNNNNNNNNNNNNNNNNNNNNNNNNNNNNNNNNNNNNNNNNNNNNNNNNNNNNNNNNNNNNNNNNNNNNNNNNNNNNNNNNNNNNNNNNNNNNNNNNNNNNNNNNNNNNNNNNNNNNNNNNNNNNNNNNNNNNNNNNNNNNNNNNNNNNNNNNNNNNNNNNNNNNNNNNNNNNNNNNNNNNNNNNNNNNNNNNNNNNNNNNNNNNNNNNNNNNNNNNNNNNNNNNNNNNNNNNNNNNNNNNNNNNNNNNNNNNNNNNNNNNNNNNNNNNNNNNNNNNNNNNNNNNNNNNNNNNNNNNNNNNNNNNNNNNNNNNNNNNNNNNNNNNNNNNNNNNNNNNNNNNNNNNNNNNNNNNNNNNNNNNNNNNNNNNNNNNNNNNNNNNNNNNNNNNNNNNNNNNNNNNNNNNNNNNNNNNNNNNNNNNNNNNNNNNNNNNNNNNNNNNNNNNNNNNNNNNNNNNNNNNNNNNNNNNNNNNNNNNNNNNNNNNNNNNNNNNNNNNNNNNNNNNNNNNNNNNNNNNNNNNNNNNNNNNNNNNNNNNNNNNNNNNNNNNNNNNNNNNNNNNNNNNNNNNNNNNNNNNNNNNNNNNNNNNNNNNNNNNNNNNNNNNNNNNNNNNNNNNNNNNNNNNNNNNNNNNNNNNNNNNNNNNNNNNNNNNNNNNNNNNNNNNNNNNNNNNNNNNNNNNNNNNNNNNNNNNNNNNNNNNNNNNNNNNNNNNNNNNNNNNNNNNNNNNNNNNNNNNNNNNNNNNNNNNNNNNNNNNNNNNNNNNNNNNNNNNNNNNNNNNNNNNNNNNNNNNNNNNNNNNNNNNNNNNNNNNNNNNNNNNNNNNNNNNNNNNNNNNNNNNNNNNNNNNNNNNNNNNNNNNNNNNNNNNNNNNNNNNNNNNNNNNNNNNNNNNNNNNNNNNNNNNNNNNNNNNNNNNNNNNNNNNNNNNNNNNNNNNNNNNNAGCAUUGCCUUUUUAGCUUCGCUUUUUGCGGAAAACGUGGCUCCGUUUUUGGUAGUGGCUCCCAGUUCCACUCUGCGGAACUGGGAGAUAGGAUUCGCCACAUGGGCACCACAGAUGAAUGUGGUAUGUACGCAGUUGUGAACACAUCAUGUUUGGUAUGUUUAUUAAUUGAUUAAUAAAUGAUGCUCAUAUUUUUUGGUUAACGGUUCAGGUUGUGUACGGUGGUACUUCUCAAGCUCGUACUGUUAUUGUACAGCACGAGUUUUACUUAUCAAGGGGUCGUAUGAAUGGAGUCCGUGGAGAAACCAACAGAAUUAAGUUUGAUGUCAUCCUCACGUCUUAUGAGAUACUUGACGUAGACACAGCAGUCCUAAAACCAAUCAAGUGGAAAUGCACGGUACUUCUUUCUUAUUAUAAUGGUACUAUACGUUUCAUGUCUUUCUUUAAAUAUCAUAUGUUUCGUAUUGUUAUUUUUCCUUGGUUAGAUUGUUGAUGACGGCCAUCGGUUGGAAAAUGAGAAUCCAAAGCUGUUCUAUUCGCUGAAGCAGUUUACGUGUGAGAAUCACGUUCUUUUAACAGGAAGACCACUUCGGGUUCGUUUGGUGAUUUUGGCAAAAGUUAUCUUGUGUGCAUGCAUAUACAUUUUUCUGCAAUUAAGAUUUUGAUAUAUAUAUUUAGUGGCAUUAUUUCUGCAAAUAUGUUACCUCUUUAAGCUAUUUCGUGUUCUAUUAGGUGGUAAAUUCUGAGCAACAAGCUGAGCAGCUCAGUGCUCUUGGAAAGAGGAAGAGAAACCGUAAGCAGGUAUACUCUUUUUGAUUCCACCAGUCCAAAAUCCAAAUUAUAUGUAUGCAUGUAGCAUCAGGUGAUAAUGAUUUGUCAUUAUAUAUCCUUUUUGUCUGUUAUGCAUAAAUUUCUUUCAUGUCUCUCUUCAUUUUUGGACUGCUUAGGGAGAUCAUAUCUUUUAGAAAACGUGUUUUAUUCCUCUUCUUGUUACUUCCGCUAGAUUGUUGAAAAAGAAUCUGAACCAACUGAUGGUGAAGCAGCUAGACAGGGAAACAAGAAGACUAGAAGGACUUAUCACCGUAGAAGGACUCACCGUACUAUAACCUUUUCAUUAAUUAUGUUUCCCAAAUAAAUGUUACAAAGAUUCCCAAUUAAUUUUUUUUUUUGGUUGUAAGUUUGUUCGGGGCCAAGACCUUUGAUAGAAGGCCAAGGGAAAUCUCUGAGGGUGUUAGGCUUUAGAAAGAGCCAAAGGAAGACUUUCUUAGAUACGUUGAUGAGGUAUAUCUUAUUUCUCAUUGGAACAGGAUUUGAGAUUUAGGGAGUUAUAAAUAUUUUUAAGUUAAUCUUAAUAAUAAAAAAAAUCUAUAAUUUAGGGAUUAUGCAAUCAUAUAUAGCUCAAUAAAAUUUGGAGGUUAAAACGAAUGUUUCAUCCUAUGUCUUAAACCGGCCUUGUUUCAAAUAAAGUCUCUCAGUGUCUGCGCACAAGUUUGUGCCUUCAUGAGUUGCCAUAUGGUUUCCACAUUUUAAUUUGAUUAAUAAUUUGCAGGUAUGGAGUUGGAAACUAUGAUUGGAAGGAGUUUGUUUAUCCUUUAAUGUGGAAGACCUAUGAUGAAAUAAACAAGUAAGGCCAUUGAUGCUCUUCUCUUCACCUGCUUCACAAAAAACUUCUCAUUCAUUCUUUGAAAAUAUAUAUGUUCUUAUCACCUACUUUUCUAUUUUGUUGUUUCUCAGUUAUGGAAAAUUUUUCCUGGAGCACAUCAUCAAAGACACUCAAGAUACUAAUCCUCCAACCUUUUCAGGUGAUUGAUAACUUAUCCUUUCAUUUUCUUGUUGCCAAUUUUAGAUAUUUCUAUUGCUUUUUCUGCUAUCUUAGUUAAUGUAUUACUGCAAUGAUCUCUGUAGAUAUGGCCCCAAAGAUAGGACUAACUCGUGACAAAGUACUUGCCAGAAUUACUGUUAUGAUGCUACUACAAGAGAAGGUAAGUCUACAGACUGAAACCCUUUUAAUUUUUAGAAUAUCUUAGUUGUCAUCUUCUAGGAUCAAUGCACAGUUUUGCUUCAUGAAGUUGAGGUGUCUGUAUAUGUGGAUUGCUAUCAAUGUGGUUGUUUAAAAAAUGUUAUCAUUAUGUUAGCUAGGGCUAGUGAUGUGCUCACAACUGUCUAGAAACCAACACUUAAAACAAAAUAACAUUCGGUAUAUUCUGUGGUAUACCUCUUGGUUAUUUUUGCUUCAUUUUCACUCUUUACGAUGACUUAAUACACAAGUAGAGGGACCUGCCUGUCCCUAUCUUUUGGUUCACUCAUUUUUGUCUGUGCUUAACUCUCACUGUUUGAUUGACAGGUGAAACUUAUAGAAAACCAUCCAACUAAAGCUGUUUUCCCUGACCAUAUUAUCGGAAGAUUUGCUGCACUAAAAAAUGAAAAAAAUUGGAACAAGGAACAUGACAAGUUACUGUUGCGUGCUGUUUCUAAGUAAGAGCCUUGCAAAGAGGAUCCUUACCUUAACAAAAAACAUAUUUCUCAUAUGUUGUUUCCCUUCUUGAUAAAUGUAGGCACGGGUUUGGGAAAUGGAUAGACAUUGUUAAAGACAAAGAGUUCGAGCUGGAACAACUCAUCUGCAAAGCACUGAAGGUCCCUGUUGAAAAUUUGAUUCGUACUGAUCCAGACCAGAAAGAUCCGCACAGACAACUUGCUGACUAUUUGAGAAAACGAUUUGAAAUUCUGGAGAAUGCAAUGAGUGAUGAGUGUGCUGAAACUUACUACCGUGUAAGUAUCUUUUAUCCUGACUCACUUUACAUGUUGAUGCAGCAUUGGUUGCAGCAAAUUCUUGAUCUAAUGCCUAUGACUGAUCCCCAGUGUAUCUUUUGUGAUCAGAAUGGGAUAAGAACUGAUGAACAUCCUUUACUGGAUAUUGCCAUUGCCGACAUAAGGAGGAGGGUAAGUGUCAUGUGAAGAUAUGGUGAUGUUGAGAAGGACUCAGAAGAGAGCUGCAGAAGAUGUUACUGUUAAUAUAAGUUGAGGUCAUUGUAUCGGAUUGUUUUGAACCUAGAACCAAAACAUAGCUGAUAUGUUUUGGAGUUAUUGUUACUUUUAUUAGCCUAUUAUUUGGGAUUUGACUGGAUUUUUAUUUGGGAUGUGGCUGGAUUGUUACUUUUAUUAACUAUAUAUUAUUGGGGAUUUGACUGAAUAUUUACUUUGCUUAUAUUUAUCUUCCAUCCAAAUAUUUUCGAAAUUGAAGUUAUUAUAAUAUAUAUAGUUAGCCGAAAUAAGGUUAUGAUUGAUCAAAUUAUUUUCACUGAAACUACUUUUCUUGAUCAGAUAUGCUGCACAACUUGAAAAGAACUCCAAAUUGAUAGCAUCAAGCAUUUAAGCUCAGAACAAAAGCUGAUUCACUAAUCUCUCUUAUUUUAUUUCAUUUUUCAUCCUUACAUGUAAUUCAUCUUCUUUUAGUAAACCAAAUAACUGCCUAUAUAUGAGCUCUCUCACAACUCAAGGCACACAUAUCUUUACAUGUUUUAACUAAUGAUUUGAUUUCUACUUGAGAUUUGCAUGGAAAGAAAAUUCCCCCCUCCCUGAUCACCAUAUAAAUUUGUUCGCAUUAUUUUGAUAAUGUUCAAUUUAGCAUCCUUGGAUGAGAUGAAAGACUGCGUUAUCACUACGUAAUAUACAUAUUAGUAUUAUACUAUACUAUUAUACACAUACAUACAUACAUACAUACAAAAGGUGUAAUAAUGUUUUGAUCAUAUAGAUAUUAAUUAGAAAAGGAGAAAAGAGAAAAAAAAGAGCGGAGUAGCAGAAAACAAGGAAGCUGGUGGGAAAGAGGAGACAAAAGAGAAAGGCUUUAACUCCACGCCUUGCUCCAGCUUCCAAACAUAUACCAACUUCUCCACGAUCCUUUUCCACUUUACACGUUGUAUAUAUAUACAUACACUCAUUGUGGAGAAGUUACUAUUUUAUAGAGUAGUAAAAAAAAGAGAGAAUAUUUACCAAUAUUAGUCAUACAAAAGUUUAACAUACAUUUUCUUUUCUUUAUAAACCAAACUAAGAUCAUCGCUAAAUAAUAAACUCAGAAUAAGAUAGAACUAGUAUAAACAUAAUUGGUAAUGAUCGAUAAUUGUAAAGAUGCAUAUCGAAGCUUCGUGGAUUCCAAGUUCAGUCAUUCAAUACAGUUGCGUAUAUGCAUGCAUACACGUCUUGUAACGUAUACGCAUAUAGGUUCGUUCUUCAUUACGUAUACAUACGGUAAUGAUAGUUGGAUAUAUAUAAAUAAGUUUCAAAGAUAUAUACAGCAAGGGGACAAGCCAGACUGUGAUGUUCCUCAUUUAAGAUCCCUUCUUACAAAUCGGGAAUUUUCAUUAAUCUUCUUAAUCAAAGAAAACCACAUCAAUUAUUGAUUAGCUUUCUUUUCUCUUUCACCUGUUUGGUUUUUGGUCGGUUGGUUAAGAGUUUUCCCACCGAUUAAGUUUCGGCCCUAGGUUUUCCCGCAUUGUAAAGCGUAUAAACAAUUUAAUUGAAAGAUCCAAAAGUGAAUUGUGUACGAACCACUUUUUAUCGUAAAAAUCUUAGAAAAUAGAGAAAAAUAAGAAUUUUGUUUUUUGAAAGCACUAUAUAAUUAGUUCCAAAACUACUGAAUAAGAUACAUGAUUUUUUUAUGAGUACUUCUCCAUUUCAUGUGAACGCAGUCUCAAGCGCAGAAAUUACAUCUGAAACAAUCUAUAAGCCGUAAAACCAGCUUUAAAAAAAAACAAUCUACAAGCUGUAAUGAGGAUAACUUUGUUACUUUAUAUCUGCAAGAAUAGUGUAGAUGUUUGACCUUUUAUGUAAUAAGUCCAUAAUAAAAAGGUCUUAGGGAAGGAUAGCAUUCCCGUGAUGGAGGCCGUAGGGUUUGUAUUAUUGUGUAUAGUCUUUUCAUCUCACCUUGCCUUAUGUUCUGCGAGACAGAUCAUCCGUAGCUUACUCUUCUAAUAUAUUUAUAGCAAUUUACCAAUCAAUUAUGUGUGUAUUACAACUAUAUACCAGACUUUCAAAACUAACACAAAAUUCAUGUUGAAGUAUGUUUCUUUCAUAAUUUCUUGGGUUAGUGGAUUUGGAGGUGAAUAAAAGAAGAAAUUUUAACUCAAUAAAUAAAAAAAAUUAAAAUCAAAUUAAAAUCAAAUUAAAAUCUCUUCUUAAAUGAUGUGAACCUAAUUUAAAGCCUAUGCCAAAAGCACAUAUAGGCUUUUGAUUUCUGUAUAUCCCAAUAGCAUAAAAUAUACAAAAGCCGAAUUAUCUUUACAAUCAUUUGCAUUUGGAUUUAAAUAACCAAAUGAUUAUAAACACAACCAAUAGUAAGAUAAAGAUAGUUAGUGUUGAAACUAAACAUCCGCAUGCAUAGAGCACUUAGAUGAAAGUUAGAUUAUUAAUUAUUGAAAACCCUCGAAACUAUCUGAAGAGACACAUAGAAUGGCUCCUUGGCAUUUGUUCAGCCCCUUUAGUUUAUCUUCUCAUAUAUAUAAGCAUAUGUUACACAUCUUAUUACAUGCACUCACCCACAUUGUAUUCAACUCUUAUACACGCAAGCAAUUGUGUUAAUGGCAACACAUAUUGAUAUCAACCAAAAGCUUAAUGUAUAUCCAAGAUCUCAAAACCAAGACCAGAAGAAGGUUAUCACCCUCUCCCACUUGGACCGUCAAUGUCCUUUACUCAUGUACUUGGUUUUCUUCUACAAGAAGACCACGACUCGUGACUUUGACUCGGUCUUUUCCGACCUGAAACUCGGGCUGGAGGAGACUCUGUCUGUUUGGUAUCCCGCCGCCGGCAGGUUGGGUUUGGAUGGAGGUGGCUGCAAGCUCAACCUCCGGUGUAAUGGGGGUGGUGCAGUCAUGGUGGAGGCGGUGGCGACUGGUGUCAAGUUAUCAGAUCUUGGUGACUUGACUCAGUACAAUGAGUUUUAUGAGACUUUGGUUUACAAGCCUUCCUUCGAUGGUGAUUUCUCUGCAAUGCCUCUUGUUGUUGGUCAAGUAAGUUUUAUCGUAAAUACUAUUCAUCUUCGCAAGAAUUAUGCUUAAUUAUAAAGUAUACUGGUAAAUCUUGUGUUUUGCUUUAUGUAGUAUUUUAUGUGUAAUAGAUCAAUGUUUUCAUCAAUAUGAUUCGUGGUCAAUAAGAAUAUACCUAGACACAAACAUUUCGUUCGCUUACAAUAAAGAAUUGUGAGAUCAAAGUCGAGCUAUAACGUACUUAGAAGGGGUUAUAAAUAAGCAAGUCAAUUUAUUCUUGAAAGUUUUGGAUGUUUUCUUGAUUUGUGUAGGCGAAGCUAAUAUUCUAUGUUUAGUCUUUAACACAAGCAUAUUACCCCAGAAAUUGGAAACCGUCUAUUUUUAUUUUAUUAUUAACAACAACAAAAAAAAUCUAAAGGAUUUAUUAAUCCCUGUUCAGUGUUUGAUCAACGACGUAUAAUAAAUGUAGGUGACAAAAUUUGCAUGUGGAGGUUACUCAGUUGGAAUAGGUACAAGCCAUUCACUAUUUGAUGGCAUCUCAGCUUACGAAUUCCUUCAUGCGUGGGCUUUCAACUCUCACAAUCACGAUAAAUCCAAUGGUAAGAUUAUUAAUAAAAAGGAUAAUGUGGUCAUCAAACCGGUUCAUGAUCGAGGAAAUCUACUGGUUAACGGGGACACGAACCGGAGCCUCGGAGUAACCAUGGCUGCAGCCAUUUAUCAUCUGUACCAGCUGAUCAAACAAGCCAUGAUGAUCCAUCAGGGGAAAAACCAUAAUUUCGAGUUAGCGGACUCUAGUUUUGUGAUCAAAACAUUCGACCUUAGUGGUGAUGCGAUAGAAACCAUGAUGAAGAAAUCACCAGAAGGGUUCUUGUGCUCCUCCUUUGAGUUUCUUGCUGCUCAUUUGUGGAAGGUAAAAUCAAUAAAGUUAUUUAAGAACUUAUUAUUUCUCUAAAUUUCUUUAUAUUAUGUGGCUUAUUAAUUAGUAAGUUGGUUUUUUUUUCUUUAUAGUUUCGUUUUCAUAAUAGUGCGCCUUUUAAUUUCAAAUGAAACCACCAUUUUGAAUGUCUUUACGUAAACUUUAUUUGUGGCAUACUAUAAAAGUAAAAUAAAUAAAUCAAGAACUUCACUUAUGUAUUGUGUUUUUCUUGUAGUUGAAAAAAAAUGUUUUGUAUUUUUCUUUAACUUAUGUUUUGUGUUUGCGUUUUAAAUUUUGUCCAAACAUGUUUUGAAAAAAGAUAAAUUAUAUUUUCUCAAAAGAAAAAGAGAUAAAUUAUCUUGCAAAUAUUUGAACAGUAAUUUAACAUGUAACACAAAUGCAGUAUUUGUAUCAGAAUUCAUCAACGACAUUAUAAUAGACAUUAACAUGUCUUUUUAAAAAGUUAUUAACCGUAUAUCAUAUAUAUACAGGCGAGAACAAGGGCCUUGAGGUUGAGGAGAGACGCCAUGGUGUGUUUACAAUUCGCGGUGGACAUAAGGAAGAGGACGGUGCCACCACUGCCAGAAGGAUAUUCCGGCAACGCCUACGUGCUUGCGUCCGUGGCAUCAACCGCCGGAGAACUACUCGAACAACUAACACUCGAGUCAAUAGUUAAAAAGAUAAGAGAAGCCAAGAACUCAGUUGACCAAGACUACAUCAACGCGUACAUGGAAGCGCUUGGAGGUAGUGAACAAAGAAAUGACGGAAACCUCCCUCCUAUCAAAGAACUAACCUUAGUCUCCGACUGGUCAAAAAUGUCAUUUCACAACGUUGGCUUUGGCAACGGCGGCGAGCCGGCGGAUUACGUGGCACCACUAUGUCCUCCGGUGCCACAAGUUGCUUACUUCAUGAAGAACCCUAAAGAUGCUAGAGGGGUUAUUGUGAGGAUUGGUUUGGACCCACAAGAUGUUAGUGACUUUUCAAAUUAUUUCCUUGGUUUUUAAUAGGCUGAUGCUGAUGUGAUAAUUAAUCAGUAGAAUCUUUGUUUAAUUACUAUUUUGUGUGAAUAUGGCUCCUCUAUAGCAUGCGUGUGCGCUACAGACACUUUUAUUGUAAUUGGGUUAUGAUGGAUGUAUAAUGACAUCUAUAUAUGCUUUGUGUAUUUGUCGUUAUCACUUUAAUUCUGAAUAUACUUUAUCUCUUCCGGAUUUUCUGUAUAUAAAUAUAUAAAGUUAUGCUAUAUGUUAUCUUUGUAGACUUUUUCUUUAGGUCCCCAAGGGACGCUUUAAGCCUGCUUCUGGCCUAUAUGGGUUCAGUUUACAAUGUCAAAUGGUUGAGAUAGGGCUAGCCCUAGGCGUUCGGGUAUCCGUUGGCAUUCGGAUCAGGUUUUUCGGGUUUUCGGGUUUACGCUUCUAGGUCCCAUACUAAAAUUUUAUUAGUACGGGUCGGGUUCGGAUAAUAACACUUCGGGUUCGGUUCAAAAUUGUAUUGCAUCAUAAAACCCAUAAAGUAAUCACAUAUCGUACGGAUUCGGGUUAUAUCGGUUCGGUUCGGAUAUAACCAAAGUAAAAAACAAAAAUUUUGAAAUAAAACAUAAAGAAAAACAUCUAAAUUAAAUAAAAAUUAAUCUAUCACAUAUAAAAUAACAAUAAAAUAACAAUAAAAUGUUAAAUCAAGCAUGAAAACAAACAUCAUUUGUAAACAAUAUGUAUUGCUUUAUAGAGAGUGGACUUUUUACUUCAAUGAGCAAAUUAUAAAAUACUUAUUUAUAACUAAUUGUGUACUUAAAGCAUUUAUUAAAAUUUUAAUAUUUAUUAUUAUAUAUAAUAUUAACACAAAUAUUGAAUUUAAUAAUUGGAAUACUUAUAUAUAUUUCAAAAUAUUUAUAUUGACUAUUAAUUUCGGAUUUUUCGGGUUACCUGUUCGGGUUCGGUUAAUAACACUUCGGGUUCGGAUAUUUUUUGUACCACCCUACAAGACCCGUUCGGGUAUUUUUACGUUUCGGAUCGGAUAACGGGUUAGGUUUUUCGGUUCAGAUUUCGGAUUCCGGAUUUUAUGGGCUCAUGUAAGAGAAUGUUCAUAACGAGUUACAAGAUUGAUAAUUUAUAGACUAAUCUGAUAUAUUUUCUUUUAGUUGAUGUACCCAAAUUAUUCUAGAUAAAAUUCGUUUUCUAUGUACUGUUUAAAAUUUAUUAAACGCUUUUGGAUCUCCCAAAGUUGCUAAAACCUGCGGGGAAACUUGUAAACAAGAGCUUGCAGUUUCUUUACAAAGAGAGAGCAAACAAAAAGACCAGAACCAAAGAUAAUACUAAAUGAUUGUGUUUGAAGAAAACACUCUUUCUCAUGUUGACCAAGUACAUAGAAAACAUAAAACAGAUUCUCAUAUGCAUGUUCUGAGUGAGCUAUUAUGCCAUCCAAACCCCAAAUCUCCUUCAAAGAACUCAGCUUGGCUCUGUUCCUGUUACAUUGAAAGUAAAUAAUCAUUUUGAAUAAAUUUAGCAUUCUUUCAAAAAAAAAAAAAGAAGUAAAUAAUCAUUAAAUCUACUAGGGCAAAAAUGGGCAAAGCAAAUGGUUUGUUUAUACCUUUGGCAUCAUGGAGUUGACAAUAUCAUCCAAGGAACCAGCAUUUGAAGGCAUUGUAUCAUUCUCUAGCUUCUGUUGUCCCACAAAUAAACCUUCAUUUGGAUUGCUACUUCUCAAUCGCUGAGCAUCAGUCAUUGGGCCUAAGUUGUUUGCAGGCUGCUGCUUCAUCUGUAAUGGAUCAAUAAAGCCUGCUUGUGCAGCAUCUGAGUUGCAGAAGUGGUUCCACUCCAAGGCGUCUGGUUUUGAAUGAACAUCACUCUGUGGAAUGUUGGUUGACAAUAAAGCGUUUGACCAGUCCUCAAGACGCUUGUUGAUCUCGAAAUGGGGAGACAACCCUGGGUUUAAGGAUGGAUAUGACGACUGCUGGUGACCCUGGAGAACCAACUGAUUAUUAGGAGCAACCAUUAAAGAGCUUUGUUGUGAACUAAAGCCCGGAAAAGCCUUAUUGUUGUUGUUGAUAUGAAGAUCAUCUAAAGGCGGAAUCGGCAUUCCCUGAAGUAUGUAACCUCCUCCAUCAUUGUGGUUACGAGGAAGCGAUGAUGACACAUGUGGGAACACUCCUCCAAAGGAGUUUAGGCGACCAAGAGGAUAAUGCCUCAUGGUUGCAGCUUCACCAUGGAACUGACCGGAUCCAAGAGGUAUCUGCCUUUGGUGGUGGAAGCCGCCAAGCCCUUUGAGAGAACUCAUCUGCAUGAAGUGUGAGUCUAUAGCCGCCAUGCUAGCUUGUUGAUUAGCUUCAUUAGUUAUUUUCUUCAACGCAGAGCGGAACUUCUGUAACCAAAAGACAUUGUAGUUAUGUUAGUGGAACCUUAUUAACCAAUAGGGCCGGAUCUGAACACAACCCUAUGAAACAUUGGCUUGAACUCCCAAAAAAUUUAAACGUUUUUUAUAUAGCCAUAAGCCUUCAAAUCAUGAAAAAAAAUUUUAAUGAAAAUUCUUCAAAAAAUUUCUAUAGCUUCCAAAAUCUCAGAUCCAGGCCUGUUAACCAAUAAAAAGAAUAAUAGCCUUUCUCUCUCACACACACACACCUGAAGGUGGCUAGCAACAUUCUCUCUUGUGAGCUUGUCAACAUUCAUCAGAUCAAGAAUCUUUUUCGGUUGAGCUUCUGCAUCAUUUCAACUUAUCAAUCAGAAAGAAAAAAAUGAUUACGCAAAGAAACUAAGUAAGAGAUGAGAUCAAAGAAACAUUUACUCUCAACGCCCAAGUGAUCAACAGCUGCUAAGAACUUAUUGUGAAGCUCGCGAGUCCAAAGAACACGUGGCUUCUUCUGAGCCGUUGGAUCAUCGUUCUCAUUCCCUCUUUCUUCAUCUUCUUCUUCCACCUCUUCAAACUGAUCUUUACGUUUCCUGUUUGCUUUCACACCGUUCUGAUCAGAGUUUCCUUGGGAUGAUUCAUCAUGAAUCACAAUGCUCUUCAUUUUCUUGAACUUGCUUUUCCUCACCACGUGUUGCCAUAUGUUCUUGAGCUCCUCGAUACGCACCGGUUUAAGCAGGUAGUCGCAGGCACCGUGCUUGACUCCUUUCAUCACGUACUUUGGAUCGCUAUGAGCAGACAACACUGCAAAAUAAUAAUCAAAUCAUCACGUCACAAAGAUCAAUACAGAAACUAAACACAAGGCAGGGUGAUGAAUUGGUUGUUCAUACUAAUGACAGGUAAGUCCAUUUCAAGCCCAACGAGCUCAAGGAGCUUGAAACCGUCCAUGUCAGGCAUGUCGACAUCGCUAAUAACGAGAUCAAACUUGUUCUUGUUCUCCCUCAACAGCUCCAGUGCGGUCUGUGCACUGUCCGUUGUUGUAACUGCACAUAUAAUUAAUUACCCCCAAAGUAAUUAGCUUUGUAAUAAUUUCCCCAAAAAAAAAAACUCUGUUUUUUAAAACAGAGCAAGAGACUGUUUCAAAAUCAACCAACUCGAAAGAUUUAAAGUCUGAAACUUUGAUUGAUAUAGUAGCAUAUAUGCAGAGAAUUAAUAUAACUUCAAAUAAUGAAUCUAACUAGAUCUUAAUUUUGAUUACUCAAAAGCAAAUAUGUGUGAAAACAUUAAGAGAGAGAGAAGGGACCAUGGUAUUGACAGCGGUGAAGGAGAGUCUCGAGAAUACGGAGACAAGUUUGGUCAUCGUCAACGGCAAGAACUCUCAUCCCCACUGGGAACUGGUCCACUGCUUCAAAAUCUUGUUCCACAGUCAUCUUCUUCAGAGAUUUUCAACGCAGACAAGAGCUAGGAAUUGAAGUAGAACAAGGACUUUAGAAACAAAUAUGAUUAUUAGUAGUAGAUUAUAUAAAGAUCCAAUGAAUGGGUCUGUAAAAGAGAUAAUGAUUUAGGGGAAAAAGGGAUAAUUUUAUUUUUUAUGAGAGUAAAAAUUUUGUUUUUCAUCUGACGAGAAAGGAAGAAAAGCAAAAGAGAAUCUAAGCUAUAUAUGGUUAACUCAAAAACUCUGUGUAUGAUAAGUCUUCAAGACUGGCCAAUUAAAACUCAUUUGAGGAAUUUUCUUCUUUUUUAAACAACUUGUAUUUUUCUUUUUAUCUUUUUCUUACCACUAGAAAACAAAAGACAUUUUCGGACGAGAAUCUGUUGGAAAAUUCAGUGAAACAAUCGAUCAUUUGUACGUGAUAGUCACGCGCCUCAAGGAGCGGAGUCUUGUCAUUGGGUUUGGUUGGCUUCUUUUGACCGUCUAUGAACUUGUCGGUUCAAUUUUAACCAAGACUCGGUUCGGUUUAUAUACUUGUCGACUAUAAUUGUAGAAUAUGAGGAUGGUCGACUCAGAUUUAUUUUUAUAAAAAUUUCGUUGAGUUCUUACCUUUUUAUUUUUUUUUAUUUUUGAUUUAUGUAUAGAAAUGUGGACGAUGAGGAGGAAGAGGCCAAACCGGAAUCGUCAACGGAAUAUUCCGGUUUAACUAAAAUUAUUGAUUUUUUAGUUUGAUAAUGAUGUUAAUUACUAAGGGAUGAAAAAUUAUAGGAAGGUAAAUAAAGAAAAGAAUGGAUAGAUAUGGGAAAGUGAUUAUGUAUAUGAUUCUGUAUAUCAUGUAAUUAAGAUUUGAGAUAUGUUUCAUAUAUUGUACAGAGUAUUGAAGGCAGGAAAUAUAAUUUUUAGAUAUUGCAUAAAUGAAAACUUUCCUAAAUCUAUGUCUUUCGAUUUAAUUGACCGUCAAAACCGACUGUGUGGCAAACGGAUUUAUAAUUAACUGCAAACUAUAGUAAUUUAACUUUUAAAAUCAAAAUAGAAUAAUAACUGAGAAAAGACAGGCUUUAGGGAGAGCAUGGUGAAAGUUGGGAAGUGCGAGACACGCAUGAGCGUACUUCAUGGCUUUUUCCUCUUUCGUGCAGUUUCAGAAAGAUUCAGAAAAAUACGUAUCCAUAAUAAAGAACUAAUAAUGGCUAGUGCCGAUGAUAUUUUAAACACAAGUACAUUGUUACUUGGAUAAACUUUCUUUUUGAUAAUACUUGGAUAAUAUUUCACUCUAGUUAUACGAUAUUUAGAAGAAGAAAAGUAUGAUUAGAAAGAUGUACUUUAUAAUUUAGCAGAUUCCGUGUAACGUUAAAAGGACUCAAGUCAAUGUAAUUGCUAGAUUAAGCACAAUAUUAUCACCGGCCAUUUGUAUCAUAUUUGACUUAAUUAAGUUAUAAUUAAAAAAAAUUAUUAGACAGAGACUAUAAGUUGAGUAGCGAUGAGAGUAACGAUAAAAAUCUUAGAAUAAAAACUAAGAAGUCCUUGAAAUUUGGGUCACAUCCACAUUCUUAGACUAGAAACAAAAGCUUCAUGAAUGCAAAAUAAGAUCCCAAUGAUUUAAUAGACUUUGUGUAUUAAUAUUGUAUAUAUCAUAACAAUCAUAUUGUAUGCUUUCUUGGAUUGGUCACCUACCGUGUUCGUUUCUGUACCCUCUCAUUUCCUAUUAUACUAUAAAGUAUCCUACCUCAGAAAACGAAUUUUCUUUUGGCUUAGAUUAACAAGAUUAACAUUAUGAUCAUUGUCUUAUGCAAGUUAAAUGAUUUAAUACUACAUUUAUUUAACGUUCUGUUCUCCAAUCUUAUAACAAAAUUCAAGGAUACCAAAAAACAAAAACUACAAACUGUAACUCCUAAACUUUUCUAGUUUAUCAAGCAACUCAAAAAUUCUUACCUAUAAUCAAAAUUAAUAAUAUCAGAAAUAUUUUAUGUAUAGAAAAAACUGAUAAAACUGCUAUUGACGAGUGACAAGGCUGAUAACCAUAGAAUAAAUGGAAGCAUAUUCAAGAUUUCACUUUUUCAAAGAAAAUCAACAUACGUCCCAUGCAAUGCAUUGGAAAAUAAAAGACAACUUUCUAAUACAAAUUAUUAUCAUUAAUAGUUCCCUUAAUUUUUUUCUCUUCUUCUAAAGUGGCAAAAGAGAGAUUAAAGAAAUAUGUUUUCUAGAAGAUCCAUGUUAUGCACCAAAUCUGUCAAGAUUCUACAACUUAGUUAUUGGAAGUCACUUGUCAUUAGCUACUCUCAUUGGCUAUGGCUCGUAAUCUCAUAUAUAUAUAUUUUAUAUAAACACAAUAUUCACAUUUAAACAUGAUAGAGAAGAUGUUAUAACAGCAAAAUUUUGGUGUAAUGUUUAUUAAAAAUGAAAAAAAAGAUGCUGAAAGAUUAUAAUGUAAAAGAAAGCAAACAACUAAUAAUAAAUGGAGGGGAAAAUCAAAAUGAAUCUAAGUCGAGUUAUUCUUGUCCCCCACAAGGGCUAACCUGAGUAGUCAAUAAUAUGCUUCUUGUUUGGUUGCUUCCUACUCAUUUCCUACUCUCACUUAUUUAUGUUUUCAACUUCUCAUACAUAUUUGAGGAAACUACGAAUGAUAACCAGGACGAGUUAGUCUGCUGGUAUACGGCUUGCGGCUGCAAGUACAGUUCCGGGUUCGAUUCGCACUGGCCACCGAAGUUUUCACAUGGGUUCUUCGGCCCGAAGAAACUAACACGUGGCCUGAUCCAAAGCGGUCGCCAAAGGCUCUAAGCCUGCCACGUGACUAGUCUGGAUCCACAAAGUGGAGGUCAGGAAACUCUUCGUAAAUAUCAAAAAAAAAAAAAAAAAAAACUACGAAUGAUUUUUCUAUUUAUCGUCAACUCUAGUACAUCAUAUCAUAGUGUUUACUAUUCAUAGUAAUCAUUAUCAAGUAAUUAUAAAACAGCUAGCUAUGAACAAUGGAUGCUGAUGCAUAGGAUUGUUUUCAUCAUGAACCUUUUAUUCACUUCAAUUGAUGGAAAAUGUAUUUGAUAGCAUGUCGUUGACUUAGUAGUAGGUCCUCGUGUUGGUAAAAAACAAGGAGUAAUCCUACUUAAGCUAUUAUGGGGAGCUACUAACCCUCAUCAUUGUUAUAACACAAAGUACCAAUUGUUACUGUAUGACUAGUAAUAUUGUCAUGAUCAUCUUCAUAUAGUACAUGAUUUAUUCCAUUUAAAACAUUUUAUAAACUGAGAACAUAAUAAUCAAAAAGAUGUCAACACGAAGUGAAAUUUUACUUUGCCAUGAAUGAGUCUAGCUUUCUCAACCAUUGAAUGAGCUCAAUCCUAUCUUUAUUCAUCAUAUAUUCAUGGAAGAAAAAGCAAAGCUCCGAGUCUAUCCCUCUUACUCGCAAAAACUCUUUAAUCGCCGUCUGAAAAUCAUACUUCAGACUCCUGCAAAGAAACAAAAAAAAAAAAUCACAAGUUUCAGUAACUGCAUUUUUAAACUAGAGCUAACGUUGUAAAUCAAACUCACUAAACCUAAGCGAUUCUAGAAAGCAGAGAGAUUGUACCCGAACUUUGGUCCCAAGUAAGGCUGGCCAGUGAUUUUAUCACGUCUAAGCAUGUAAAGGUUUUGAAUUUCAAUACGGUUAGGCCAGACGGAGCAGAGGAACUCCAUGUCUUCACUCCCAUCAGCCUUGGAGAUGUCGACAAGAAGGCUAACGUGAAGACGGACAUCGCGCCCUGAAGCAUCUAAACCGGUUCGUGGAACAGUCAUAAACCCAUCGAACAUAGUUGCUUCCAUUUUGAUGGUUUCGUCUUCUCCAAACUUGCCUUUCAUCACAAUGCAUUGCUCGCCCGGACGAUCCUCAACAGAGAAUGAUUUGAACUCAGUCGCUGGCUGCAUUUUAGUUUUAAAGUCAAAACAACAAUCAGAAAAGGAACGGAUCUCUCCCCAUUUGCUUGGAUAUUGAACAAAACAGAACAGUAACUCUUGUCUUUGUCUCCCUCAUCAAUCUAAUUGUCGAAACUAACAAAGCAAUAUACCCAACACAAGUGGAAUCUAAGAUUAGCAUUCAAUCCUAAACCCUAAAUCAUAAAUCAUAAACCCUAAAACCUGAUUUUUAGCUGAACACUCAGCUCUAAGGUCUGGAUAAUACCUGAUGCGGAGGAGCAUAUUCCGAUUGAUAAUCGAUCUCGUUUCUUAUGAUUCGAAGGAGGUUGGACCGGAAGGGAGAGUUCGCCGGCGCGAUCGCUGCAAAGGAUCGCCGCGAAGUAGUGAUGUCUCGCGAUUGGGGAGUUGGUAACAGAGGAUUACAUCGAGCGCAAGAAAGAGAUGGAGAAUGAGGAUGAAAAACGCGAGCUUUCGAAAGAGUACGGAGGAGAAGAGCCAUGGAGGUUUUCAUGGUCGCCGUCGACGACAUUAGGGCCUCGUCUGAGUGGUUUUCUGAUCUGAGGUGGUGGUUAGUGGGAUUUUCAAUUGAACCCAACCGAAAUUGAACCGGAUCGGAAUAGCUGGGCUUCCAUAUUAUUAUGUUUGUUACACUACUAAUGGAUGUUAAUAGAAGUAAUAAAUGGGCUUGAACUAUCUACUAACUAUGUAAUGGGCCUUAAUUGGUCGUAUAAAAGGCCCAUCCAUUACUUGACUAGGGUUUCCUCUUAUAAGUUUAAAAAACGUUAGUCGCCAUUUCUACUCGUUAAGCUUCGCUGCGCCGCUGCACAUCCCACGACGUCAAGAUGGUAAGCCUCUCUGGUUGUUUCAAUCAAUCGUUUAGUUUGAAUUGAGUUAAGAGCUUGAUAUUAGCUAGAAAAUGGAACGAAAGUAUUUAUUUUUGUUUGUGUGAAAUGGAAACGAAACAGCCGUCGCACAAGUCGUUUAUGAUCAAGAAGAAGCUGGCCAAGAAGCAGAGGCAGAACAGGCCUAUUCCUCACUGGAUUCGUCUUCGUACCGACAACACUAUCAGGUUCGAUUUUAAAAAAAUUGUUUCUUUGUUUUCUUUCCCGAUCUGUCGAAUAGAAACAUGUAGUUGGAGUUAGGACGGAGACAGUGAGUGAGUUCGGAAAUCCAGAGAUGUGUAGUUGUCUAUGUGUGUUGAUUUAGGACAGAGACAGCGAGGCAUUAAGUGAGUUCUGAAACGAGACAUUCUUUUUUGUUCUAAUGGUUUCGUGUUUGUUUUUUUUUUUCAGGUACAAUGCCAAGCGCAGGCACUGGCGUAGAACCAAGCUUGGAUUCUAGAUGAACGCUUCAUCUAAAAGUGUCUUGUUUUCUGUUGGGUUUAGCAUUUCUUCUUGUGUUGUGACAUUUUCAAUUUUCUGUGAGACUUGUCUUGUGAUAUUUGCUACCAAAUUUUAUAUUUAUAAGAGAACUUCUUAGAAGCUGUGUUAUUUGAUUGUUUAAGGUUCUUGUUUAUUGGUUGCUUACAUAUCAUCUUCUGGCAAUUUAGCCCACGGAUUAGGUUUUACUUAUCUCAGUUGUAGGCUGAUGUAUCCAAAAUGUGAUCAUUGAUGUUCGCCCAAGCUGUUCUAGUGAUGCUUCGUGCUUUCUUAGAAUCUUUCAAACUUCUUUGAACUAUAUCUGUCUGAUAUGUUAUUGGUUCGGAAUAUGUAAUUGUAAGCACUGUUUUAUGUAGCAGACGAUGUAAAUGAUAUUAGAACGUUAACAAAAACAAUCAAGACUCGGGUGAUAUGUAACAACGGUUGUUCCACUAUAGCUCAAUGGGGACUCUCCCAAUACAACAAUGCCUGUGAAACACAAUCAAAGGUCCCUUGACAAAAUAUCUAGCGAUCAUUGUGCGAGAGCUAGCUUAUUCAUUUAGCCAUCUCUUUCAAAUAAGUUCAAGAAGGUGCUAAAAGGGUGAUAUAUUAUGUAACUUAAAUUCUUAUUGUCAACUUAUGGAGGCCAAAACUCAGCUUACGUUAUGGUAUGAGUCGAUGAUGGCAUCGGCAAGAUACUCACAUUUUGCCAUAGACAAUCCAGCCAGCGAUAUCCUCCCGUCUUUAGUCAUGUACACAUGCCACUUGUUCGUCAUGUUAUCACUCUGCUCAUUUCACAUACCAAAAAAAAAAAAAUACAAAAUUAAAACCCGUUGUCCCAACACAGCCAAAGGAAUAUGAACAUUUUGAGCAAUAGCAAACCUGAGCUUUGUUGAGGCCAGUGAAUGAGAACAUGCCAAUUUGCUUCAGAAUAAAGGACCAGUCCUUGCCACUCUUGUCUUUUGAAACAAGACUGUCAUACAACCUUUGUCUCACAGUCUUUAUCCUACCCGCCAUCAUUUCCAUCUCUGCUUUCCACUCACCAAACAUAGUUGCAUCUCCCACCACAUUAGCCACGAUCCUCGCCCCGUGAACCGGUGGGUUCGAGUACAUAGGCCUAGCAAUCCUUUUCAACUGGCUCUUCACCCUGAAAAGAAAGUAGUGUUACUCUUGAAAUUUCUGUACAUAAUAAGAAACUUGAUUAAGUGUUUUAUUACCUUGUAGCAGCAUCGGCUGAUGAGCAGACGACAUUGAUUGCACCUAUUCUUUCAGCAUAAAGACCCAAAUUUUUACUAUACGACUGAGCAACAAAAAACUCCAUUCCACGUUCGGCGAAUAAUCUCACAGAUGCUGCAUCUUCAUCAAGGCUUCCACUAGCAAAGCCCUGGAACAUAUGAGUGUAUCAUCAAAAGAAAGUUGAGUAGCUCUCAAACUACUCACAAGCAAGGUUCUACAAAUCCAUUUAGGCGGCAAAUAUAUCAUAACCGAAAGAUUUUCUUAAAAUCCGAUUGAAGUAGUUCAAACUGGUUUAAACUAUCCUAAUUUUGGUUUUAAUCGGUCUAACGCAAUCUAAAUCAAUCUAAAUUGAUGUAAAUCGGUUAAAUUAAGCAACAAGGUUAGUGAAAGUCCAAAAUUUGUCUGAUUUAUUUUGUGUAUAUCGAAAUGUUUAUUAUAUAUCCAAAAUAAUUGUAUUAUUAGACCCAAAAAAAACUAAAAUAUAAUAAAUAAACAAAGAAUUCGUUAACGCCCAAGCCUAGACCCCAAAUAAUCCGCAUAGUCAAUAGGUCUAUACAAAGCGCCUAGCUACAGCCUCGCGAUUUCUUGAACAUUGCUCUAAGUGUAGGAAUGUGAUACCUACCUGGUAUGCAACAUCGAAAAACGGGAUAUGGUUCUUCUCCUGAACGACAUCAGCUAUUUUCACCCAUUGUUCUGGUGUUGGGUCAAUCCCAGUUGGGUUGUGAGCACAACCAUGAAGCAAAAUGAAUGAUCCUUCCGGAGCUUCCUGUAUGAACCAUCCUAAUUCAUGAGAGAUAUUCUUGAUAGUUUAUGGAAUGAUCAUCACAUAAAAGCAAACAAACCUUAAUAUCUUCUAUCAUCCCCUCAAAGUCCAAACCAAUAGUUUUUGGAUCAUAGUAACGGUAUUCAGACCAUGGAACUUUGGCAUCAUUGAAGAUAUUCUUGUGAUUACCUGAAGUAGUAUUAGUUUGUCAGUGGAUAAAAACAUGCUACAUAUGAAUGCGUUAUAUAUUUAUGGUCAUUGGAAACACACACCCCAUGUUGGUGCUGAUAUCAGAACUUUUGCUCCAGGGAAGUAACGCUCAAUGAGAGCUGCUGCUAGUCUCAGUGAACCGGUUCCAGAAAGACCCUGAAUGGUUGCCACCUGGUGAUUUGGAGCAAAGGGAAAUGAAUCAGCUAAUACUAACGCAUAGCUGAGAAAAAAGGAUCAUGAAGAGGGAACACAUGAACAUACUUUUUGUUCCUUAAUAACAGGAUGACCAGCUCCGAAAAGCAGCUCAGCAGUGGCUUUGUUGAAUGCAGCCAACCCCUCUAUUGGUAGAUACUGCAGUUUUCAUCCAAGCCUAAGUAAGUUUUAAGCAUAUUCUGAAUGAUCUAACUGUUUGUAAACACACAUUUUCAAAGUUACCUCUUUAUUAUCUCCCCUCUCUAACAUCAGGUUCUCGGCCUAAAAAUAAAAAAAAUUAAGAAGAUUAACUAACCCUUAAUCUGUCAAAGACUUUCCGCAAUGCGACAAAACUUAGAGAGAGAGAGAGGCUAAAAUCUUUCAAACCUUUUUAACGACGUUAAGCACAUAAGGCUGGAGUUCCUCAGUUCGAUAAGCGCCAACACCGAGAUUGAGUUUAAGCUCGUUAGUGUCAGCUUUGAACGCUUCGCUGACUCCAAGGAUAGGGUCUGGUGGUGCCAUUGUUAUACCCUCAAAACGAGAAGGUUUCACUGAAACCGACAUGGUCACCCGACUAAGAGACUGUAACAAAAGCCACUUUAAUCAGAUAUGCUAAUGCAGAUUACAAACUACAGUUAGCAAACUUAGCUUUAAAUGUCAUUUAGACUGUUCUCGUAAAGACAGUACCUUUGUUCUCAGGAAGGGGUUCGAACCUGAGGGUCCAAGUUUUAGCUUAUCCUGAGUUGUGAAUAAAGAGAUGCGGAAUCAUUUUGCCUUAUUGGUAAGAGGCUAAGAGCUAAGCAUAUAAUUUUGUCUGCUAAAACUUCAUUGGUUCUAAUCUCUUAGAACAAGUACCUUGUUAAUCUCGCGCGGUAACAGAGAAGUCGAGCCGAGAGAGAGCAUUGAAGAAGCCAUUGAAUCGAUACGGAUAAAAAAAAAAGCUGCAAGAGAUCCUAAGUCAGUGAGAGUGAACUUAGACUACUUAGUACAAGGAUAAGCUAUUCAGACAGAUGACGUAGUGUGAAGAUGAUCCACACAAGAGAUACAGAAGAGAUGACUAGUCACCUGAACUUCGUUACGACCGCGCGGUAUGGAAACGAUCAGAUCGAGAUUACUGUAGAGAGAACAAUCGAUCACGAGACGAUAAGUACGAAGUUAAUUACUCUAGGCUUGUCUUGAUAGAGGGUAUUAUGGUCACUGCGCAGUGUUUAAAAAUCUGGAAAGUACAAAAGAGUUUGGAUUCUGUCUGGAUAGUAGUUGAUGACUUUGUAACAGUCCAAAGCUGAUAUAACAAAUACAAUAAUUACGAGCGAAUACCCCUGGGAAACCUCUGUUCUCACAUUUUCACCCCCAGAGUUCUUAGGUAGUCAGAUCAAACCCUUUUUAUAGGCAACAAUUAUUUGCUUUUAAGACGAUGAUGGUCUUGUUAACCGGUUAAAUGUGGAAAAGAUCAUAAAGGAGACGACCAUAACGUUCCAUCCCAUUCGUAGAUAAUUAUUAAAACAAAAGAGAAUCAUGUUUUCAUAAUAUAAAAUCACAAUUUCAUGGAUAAAUUUUGACGACUAAAGUGUUUUUCUCUAAUUUUUCAAUCUAACAUAUUUUAAAAGAAAAUAAAUACAAUUGCUUACAAGAAUGCACGUAAUGUUUGGAGUUUUUCAUAUGUUAUAUUUUCUUUACGUUUUCUUUCUACUGGUUUGGCUUUUCAAUUUGGUAUCUAUUUCAAACUAGAUUAGCAAUUGUUUGACAAGAAAAAAAAUCAUGAUUCCAUCUAAAAUCAUUAGAAGAGUAAAAAGAUAUGUCAUGAUUAUCUAGUGGUAUAAGCGAAGCAGAGUAAGAAGAUGAUUUUUGCUUCUAAACGGCCCCCAUCAACCAAUCUCUGUCCAUUGUCAUAUGGUUCUUUGAGCUAUACAUACAUUUAAAAAUGUUUUGAGCUGCAAACUCAUUUAAUAUAUCCAAAAUCGAAACGUGACGCAUAUGUUUCUGGCAAUUAGAUUAACGCUAAAGAACGUGCACAGCUUGGAGAGAGCGUUCAGAAACCACGAACCACAUCUUCUUCCUGUGUGCGCAUUAUCGGAACUGGUCUGGUCAAUAGAGUAAAUAGGUUAGAGUAUGAAGGGUGAGUUUUAAGGAACGUGUUAAUGUCUUAUGUCGUAAUGAUGAUACAUGGACCCACUCCACGCAAGAGAAAGCAGCUGACUCAAAUGAGAGACGCACAUUCUUAAUAAGGGUCGUCGUGGGAUCCAAUCACUCUCGGUUCCUAAUCCACUUAAUAAUUUCCAUGCGCCUCUUUCACGUUAAAGCUGAACAUAAGCAUACUUUAAGGGUGUAACUGGUUAUUCAUAGAAGGAAUAUUAUGAAUUAAAGGAAUGAUUAUUUUUGGAAUAAGAAAAAAUGGAAUGAUAGAUUAAAUGGAAUAAAAACUGAAAAUAUUUUUGGAAUGGCUUUCCACUCAUUCACGAAGGAUUAUGAUCCUGAAUAAAAGGAACAACAUUUACAAAGGAUUUACUUUUUUGUUCCAUUCCAAAAAUGGAAUAUAUGGAAUUGUUUUUAAAAAGUUUUCAUGGUAACUGGUAAACAUUUUAUGGAAACAUGUGGAAUGACCCAUUCCAAAGAGUUUUAUUCCACAAAAUAGCAUUCCAGUUACACCCUAAAUAUAAGUUAAUAUUUUGGUCGACUACUUCUUUCAUUUCAAACGUUGUUGUCUUUUACCUAUUCCCAACGCAAAUAUUCUAAUUACCUUUUAAACUUAAAACAUAUAUAAAUUCCUAUAUCCAUCUAAAAAUUUCUCAAUUUUGGUGGAGAAUAGUCGAUAUACAUACAUGUCUAUUUCAUUUAAAUAGACCAACCAAUUUAAGAAGUACCAGGUAAUACUCUAAUUAAUAGUUUAAUACUUGUUUUAAUGGUGGACCUUAAACCAAAACAAUAUGAAGCAAACGGUGUACGUAAUCCACAUCGUAACUUUUGAAACACAAGGUUAAGUAUAUAUUGAUUUUGAAUCUUAUAACAAUUUCAACAAAUGCAAUGAUAGAUAAUGAAGAUUAUUUGUCUUUUUUUUUGUCAAGAUGAAGAUUAUUUGUCUAAAACGUUAAUUUUCAUAGACAUACGUGAAUAUGGUAAAUUUCAGGGUUUUUUUUGUUGUUACUGUUCGUACCAUUAAGACCACUAGACCAAGGAUUCUGAUGAAUGUGUGCUGCCUCAAAUAUAUGUGCAUGGUGUAUCUGUCGAAUAUGCAUGCUUAUGUAUGUCAGCAUGUCGUAUUAAACGUUAUCGAAUGCAUCACUUGCAUUAUGUCGUUAUUAACUAGUCAUACACACAAUUAAUGUUCUAUCGUAUGUUUGGUUCACAAAUCAACACGUUCGAUCGCACUUAAAUAUGAACCUGUUACAUUUCAGAAAGAUCAUAUCAACGUAGCAUCGUUAUCGCAUGUUACUUGUUCAUUUCAACAGUUUCAACCAAUUUGUUAAUGUUCACAAAUCAACAUUGUAUUAAUCUAUUACGAAAGUUUCUUCGCUAAUUUAUUAUUACUAUGACAUGUUAUCGUCUGUAUAAUAAUUUUAUAAAUUCCUAUUACUAGUUACUGGGACAUAGUAUUAUUUAUGGAUAGAGUAUGAGUAAAGUUUACUCAAAGGUCGUCGCCAAGGCUUGCUUCCAGAUUUAUUUACGUCUGUAAUGCCUCUCUCAUCAAUCCAAACGAUUCUUAUUUUAUUUCCUUAAACGGUUGCGUUUUACAGGUCUACUGACGCCAGCAGUUUCGUUAGGUGACGUCAUCAGGUUUUCAACAGGGAGAAAAUAAAGUUUCCAUCUAACGGUUCAGAUUUGUUUUCAUGUUAAUCCAACGGUGAUAGUUUCUGUCUUCACAAACCUUUUGAUGUUAAUGGAGAAUAAUCCUCUGUUCACCAACUUCUUCAUUCCCUUCUAAUAAUAAAUAAACAAACAUGCCAUUUCUAAUUUUCUACAUCCUCCUGCCACUUCUCCGUAUUGCCUUUUUUCUUCCCGAUGUUUCAGACCAAUCUGAAGAUCGCUCGAGUUCAUCGUUCACUUGGUCGGUGUUGACUUGUUCGAACUUCAACUUCUUGUCCUUCCACAAGUACACGUUCUUUCCGAUCUAAUCUGCUCUCUAUACACCCAAGGUAAAUAACGGUUUUACUCUUCUGGUGAUUACGCUCUGAUUAAUUCACUUCUUCGAUUAACGUUUAUUUCAUAUAUUUUUUUAUUUAUUUAUUUGUUAUAUAUGCAUGGUUUUAAAUUCAAAAGGCCGUAGAUUUUGGAACUAUGAUUCUGUGAGUUGAAGAAAAUAAAAAAAAGAUGUAGAAUUUGAGUUUUUGACUUGGAGAUUAUUGUCUCUUCUUUAACUCCACAUCUCACAUCUUCUAUUAUGCAUUCUCUGUUUUGGUCGUAUCUGAUUUGAAUUGGGUUCUCUUCAAAACGCUCUUUUGUUCUGUUGAUUAACAGUUUGGUCAACGAUGGAGUCAACAAAGGUGUGCAUGAACGCACAGUGUGGAUCUACCUCCACGUCGGGGGAGUGGAAGAGAGGCUGGCCGAUGCGAUCGGGCGAAUUGGCCUCUCUCUGCGAUAAGUGUGGGUAAGCGAACUUAGUCACUCUUCAAUCUUCAUGUUUCAAUUCAAAGUUGGUUACUUUUUGAGCUAAGUUUUUUUUGUUGGAUGUUGGUGUUGGAGUUAGGUCCGCAUACGAGCAGUCCAUAUUCUGCCAAGUGUUCCACGCAGAGGAGUCUGGUUGGAGAGAGUGUAAUUCAUGUGACAAGGUGAAAGAAGAAAAAAUAAUCCAUUUGCUUAAAAUCUGUUUUGUGCUCUAAACAUGUUUUGAUUUGUGUUUUUUUUUUUUUUUAAUCAGCGUCUUCACUGUGGAUGCAUUGCUUCUAGAUUCAUGAUGGAGCUUGUGGAUAAUGGUGGUGUUACAUGUAUAACCUGCGCCAAAAAAUCCGGACUAUUCUCUGUAAGACUAACCUCUCACUGAUUUGUUCUUGGAUCUUUUAAUCUCCAAAAGGCCUCGUACUAAGCGGAGUUGGACUAGAUAUAUAUUAGAAUUUUUUUCGGUCUAAUAUCCAAUGUGGAACUUGGAUUGCUUAUUUAUCCUAACAAUACUCAGAUGAAUGUCGAAUCCAACGGUAGGGAGUUCCCUACAUUUGCUUCAGCAGAGCAUGUAAGCAGCGUUCUCGAGAGGACAAACCUCAAGCACUUGCUUCAUUUCCAAAGAAUCUCCCCCACACAACCUUUCCUUCAGAUGAAACAAGAGGAAUCUCUCCUUCCCGCAAGACUAGAAUCUCUCAGACACAACACUGAGAAGAAAGAAUCUGCACAGCCAAACUUGAGCAUUUCACUUGGACCUACUCUUAUGACAAGUCAAUUUCAUGAUGUGGACGACAGAAGCAAGACUACUCCUAUUUUCCAACUCGCCUCUCGGUCUAGACAACUCCUUCCAAAACCUGCGAACUCAGCUCCCACUACUGCUCCUCCCAUGGAGCCUAACGGGAGCCUCGUGUCGCAGAUUCACGUUGCUAGGCCUCCUCCAGAAGGUCGAGGCAAGACUCAGUUGCUUCCGCGUUAUUGGCCUAGGAUCACUGAUCAGGAGCUGCAGCAAUUAUCUGGACAGUAUCCUCAUCUGUAUGUUUCAUAACAUUCUUAUUCUAUGUUUUUUCUUUUGCAAUAUCUUCUUCUAUGCUAAGGUGUGUCCUUAACUGUUUAUUCUCUCUCCAAGCUCAAACUCCAAAAUUAUACCACUGUUUGAAAAAGUUCUGAGUGCAAGCGAUGCUGGUCGUAUUGGUCGACUGGUUCUUCCUAAAGCAUGUGCAGAGGUAACUUGUUUCUCCAUAAAAUGUUCCCCAAGUGCUUUAGUAUCAGCUAAUAACCUUUUAUGGUUGGUAAUUUAGGCGUAUUUUCCACCGAUCUCUCAGCCUGAGGGCCUCCCGUUAAAGAUACAAGACAUAAAGGGGAAAGAAUGGGUGUUCCAGUUUAGGUUUUGGCCUAAUAAUAACAGCAGGAUGUACGUUCUGGAGGGUGUGACUCCUUGCAUACAGUCAAUGCAGUUGCAAGCUGGUGAUACUGGUACUUUUCAAAACCCUUUUAUUUCGUGAUAUACUUACUCAUAACAUGUUGUUGGAACCUCGGUAUUAGGCCUGCUAUUUUGAGCCGAACCGAACAAAAUGUUUGGUUAGUUCUGUUCGAUUCGGUAGCUUUUUCUGUUUGGUUCGACAAUCGGUUACUUCGGUUUUCUUUAUGUAAGAAAGUUAUAACUAAACGAUACCAAAAACCUGAACCGAACUAACAAAACUAACCAAAUUUUCAAGCUAAACUAACCAAAUUUACCUGAAAUUAACCGAACUUAUCUGGAUCUUUAACAAAAUUAAACCAAAAUCUACCGAAAUCAAAAACUUCGGUGGAAUUUUCAAAAACGGAGCUAACCAAAUGCCGAAGCGAACCAAACUUUAUUUUGGGUUAAUUCUAUAAGAUAUAUGCUCAACCGAACUAACCGAACCAGCAAGCCUACCUGGUAUGACUAAAUCAAACAUUGGCAUUAAGCGUUUUCGAUCAUGUGUUGUGUGUUCUUGGUACUUUUUUUAUUACUUCUGAUGUUUUGAAUUUUUUUUUUGAUAUCUGCAGUAACGUUCAGCCGCACAGAACCUGAAGGAAAACUCGUAAUGGGAUACCGUAAAGCGACAAACUCUACAGCAGCACAGGUAAAAAGCAUGCCAGUCUCAUGUUGUAAUGAUAAGCAACUGUACUGUGAAGAGUAUUGAACUAAAAGUAUGCUUUCUGGUGCUCUUAUCAUUAUGAUGCAUUGAGUGAAACGUUUUUUUCUGUGGUUUCUUCAGAUGUUCAAGGGAAGCAGUGAACCCAAUCUGAACAUGUUUUCCAACAACUUGAGUUCGGGAUGUGGUGAUAUCAACUGGUCUAAACUUGACAAGUCUGACGACAUGUCAAAGGACGGCUUAAUGCUUCAGCCGUCGCUAAUCUCUGCUAGGAAACGUGUUCGAAACAUUGGCACUAAGAGCAAGCGACUGCUCAUUGAUAGCGUAGAUGUUCUGGAACUGAGAUUAACCUGGGAGGAGGCGCAGGAACUGCUGCGGCCUCCUCAGUCUGCUAAACCGAGCAUAUGUACAGUUGAAGAUCACGAUUUUGAAGAAUACGAUGUGAGUUGAUAGAGUCUACCUGUUUUUCACAAAAGCAGCUGGAUCUUUGCACUGUAGUUUCUGAAAUUAUUUACUUGAUGGUACUCAGGAACCACCAGUUUUUGGGAAGAGGACAGUGUUUGUGUCACGUCAAACAGGGUGAGGCCUCAUGUACUGUGUAAUGAUAGGAUCAGAAGAUGUUAAAUCACACUUUGAAUGAAUUAUUUGGAAUAAAUCGUUAGGCGGUUUAUAUUAGAUUAUUGAUUAGGUCGGUGUCUAGACCGAUUUUUUAAAUGCCUAGACCAAUAUUUUAAAAAAAAUGUUCUAGAAAAAUUGUUUUGCAUGUCCGAUUUGCCGACUAGUGGGACGCCUAGGCUCAGCUAUACCGAGUUUUAGAACACUAUUUGGCUCUAAUAUGUGAUCCUUGGAUUCUCAGGGAACAAGAGCAAUGGGUUCAGUGUGAUGCUUGUGCUAAAUGGCGACGGCUUCCUGUGGAUACUCUUCUUCCACCAAAAUGGUUGUGCUCGGAUAAUGUCUUGGAUCCUGGCAGGUAAACGAGACUGCAUACAUGUUCAUGUGCUUAACCUACAGGACAUUGCACAUGACUCCUCACUGAGACAAAUAAUAUGACUUGCUGUUUUUUUAUCUACAGGUCUUCAUGUUCUGCACCUGAUGAACUCACCCCAAGAGAACAGGAUACACUUCUCCGGCUAAGCAAAGGUAAUGAUCAGUAUGCUUCAUUAGAAACUUUUUUUUUUACAUUAGAAACUAAAGUUUCAUUUGCACAGAGUUCAAAAGGAGGAGACUGGCAUCAUCAAACCAGGAGGAGGCCUCUGCUCUAGACACUUUAGCAAAUGCAGCCAUCACCACUACAGGUGAACAAGGAGAAACCGAGGUUGCAGCCACGACCAAGCACCCAAGACACCGAGCUGGCUGUUCGUGCAUUGUCUGCAGCCAGCCGCCGAGUGGGAAAGGCAAACACAAGCCGUCAUGCACUUGCACUGUGUGUGAGGCGGUGAAGAGGCGGUUCAAGACGCUCAUGAUGCGGAAGCGAAACAGAGGAGAAGCAGGGCAGGCAAGCCAGCAGGCGCAGUCAGAUCAGUGCAGAGAGGAGACAGAAGCUGAGAGCAUUCCAGCGGUUGAACUGCCAGCGGCAGGGGGGAUUAACCUGGGAGGAGGCGCAGGAACUGCUGCGGCCUCCUCAGUCUGCUAAACCGAGCAUAUGUACAGUUGAAGAUCACGAUUUUGAAGAAUACGAUGUGAGUUGAUAGAGUCUACCUGUUUUUCACAAAAGCAGCUGGAUCUUUGCACUGUAGUUUCUGAAAUUAUUUACUUGAUGGUACUCAGGAACCACCAGUUUUUGGGAAGAGGACAGUGUUUGUGUCACGUCAAACAGGGUGAGGCCUCAUGUACUGUGUAAUGAUAGGAUCAGAAGAUGUUAAAUCACACUUUGAAUGAAUUAUUUGGAAUAAAUCGUUAGGCGGUUUAUAUUAGAUUAUUGAUUAGGUCGGUGUCUAGACCGAUUUUUUAAAUGCCUAGACCAAUAUUUUAAAAAAAAUGUUCUAGAAAAAUUGUUUUGCAUGUCCGAUUUGCCGACUAGUGGGACGCCUAGGCUCAGCUAUACCGAGUUUUAGAACACUAUUUGGCUCUAAUAUGUGAUCCUUGGAUUCUCAGGGAACAAGAGCAAUGGGUUCAGUGUGAUGCUUGUGCUAAAUGGCGACGGCUUCCUGUGGAUACUCUUCUUCCACCAAAAUGGUUGUGCUCGGAUAAUGUCUUGGAUCCUGGCAGGUAAACGAGACUGCAUACAUGUUCAUGUGCUUAACCUACAGGACAUUGCACAUGACUCCUCACUGAGACAAAUAAUAUGACUUGCUGUUUUUUUAUCUACAGGUCUUCAUGUUCUGCACCUGAUGAACUCACCCCAAGAGAACAGGAUACACUUCUCCGGCUAAGCAAAGGUAAUGAUCAGUAUGCUUCAUUAGAAACUUUUUUUUUUACAUUAGAAACUAAAGUUUCAUUUGCACAGAGUUCAAAAGGAGGAGACUGGCAUCAUCAAACCAGGAGGAGGCCUCUGCUCUAGACACUUUAGCAAAUGCAGCCAUCACCACUACAGGUGAACAAGGAGAAACCGAGGUUGCAGCCACGACCAAGCACCCAAGACACCGAGCUGGCUGUUCGUGCAUUGUCUGCAGCCAGCCGCCGAGUGGGAAAGGCAAACACAAGCCGUCAUGCACUUGCACUGUGUGUGAGGCGGUGAAGAGGCGGUUCAAGACGCUCAUGAUGCGGAAGCGAAACAGAGGAGAAGCAGGGCAGGCAAGCCAGCAGGCGCAGUCAGAUCAGUGCAGAGAGGAGACAGAAGCUGAGAGCAUUCCAGCGGUUGAACUGCCAGCGGCAGGGGGGAACAUUGACUUAAACUCAGACCCAGCUUCUAGAGUGAGCAUGAUGAGUCUUCUGCAAGCUGCAACGUUUCCUCUGGAGGUGUAUCUGAAACAGAAAGGUGUUCCAAAUACAGCGGGAGAACAGCAAAGCAGUGAUAUAGUAAGCACAGAGAACGGUUCGUCCUCAGCCGCACAAGAACAUGACAGAGACACAAGCGGAGCUCCUGAGGCAUUGAACUAACUUACUAGCCCCCUUUGGAAUCCUCCUUGAGUAUUUAUUCUUCAGAGGUGUGUUUAUUAAUGUAUACAACCUUUCUUCAGUUUCAAAUUGGUAGAGUGGUUAAGACUAUUCUGCCAAUUGUUUUAUUUUUCUUCUUGGUUUGGUUGUUGGUGUGUGGUGAGGCUUGAGAGAGAGAGAGAGAGAGAGAGAGAGAGGAAUAUUGGUGAGGUUUUUGGAAAUAUAUAAGACAGCCAACAUAAUCUUGACAGAUUGUAAUAUAUAUAUGUGGUUCGAAAAAUGAUAUUUUUGAUGCAAAUUAUGUCUCUCAUUCAUAGGUUUUUAUAAUCCAUAUGCAUCUUUGGCGCAUUUGAGAAGAUGAUUAGUUAAAGAGAUUGUAAUGGUAUAAUGUAUCUUGCCAAAGUUAUUGUCUACAUCUUCUAUAUGUUGUUUCACAUCAUUGGUUAUUGAUUUUGAUUAAUAAGAAUUGUAAUGUCUCAUCUAUGUGAAACAAGUGACAUUUGCUAAUCGGAUAUAAGAUGAGUUCAACAAUGCAAUAAAAGUUACAAUUUUUUUUUUAUGACAGCUUGUUUGUAACCCGGUUUGUACGGGUUUGAAUUAUAUAUUUUCAGUUUAAACCGGUUUAAACUUCUAUCCGAAAUCACCAAUUCAAAAUCUUCUUAAAAAUCAUGGACAGACCCCCACAAUAAAUAAAUAACUAAAUACGAUCAAUAAUACUUUUAAAAUAAUAAUUUGGGCCGGCCAAAGUUGAGUCGCCUCAAUUGACUAAUUCCGAAAUCACUCGCACAAAACUACACGCCAUUCAUUUUGUCAUACGUGUUUUUUUCUAAUUGAUUAACACGUCCUCCCAGACUCCAACACAUGGACUCUGCCUUCUUUUCUGCGUCAUCAAUAUGAAAACAUGACCUUUAUUAUGAUAUUAAUUAAUUACCAUAUAUGCCCCCACUAGCCUCCAAAUGUCACAAUUCUGUUUUUUCUAUUCCCAUUUAAAAAAAAAAAAAGUUAAGAGCACAGAGAUUAUAAAAUAACACGAAAGAUCACGAGGUAGUGUAGUAGUAAUCUAAAGUUUAUUAUAACGAUUGUAACAAUAAAGAUACUAAUGACGUGGUCAAAGUAAAUGGACAAGUGGGUGUGGCAGUAGAGUAAAUAAAUUGAAAAAUGAAGGGUGAGUUAGGCAGUAACAGAGGGAAGAUGAGAUAGAUAUUAGGUGGAGAGCGUGGUGGGUCCCACAAACGCGCAAGAGUGAUAGCUUGGGUUUCGGUAAGGUGAGGUCGUCUCGUCGUGGGUUCCUCUCUCGACCCUCGAAAGUAACAACUUCAUUUUCACGCGCUUCUUCUUUCACGUUAUAAAGUUGAAUAACAAAAAUAUAGUAAAAUAAAAGGAUUCUGGUCGACCACUUCUUUCAAAUGAUGUUGUCUUUUACCUAUUCUCAACACAAAUAAUUAUAGUUGGUUCUUAAUUUAAAUAUAUAUAAAUCUUGAUCCACCUAGGAAAUAUCUGAAUUUUAAUAGAUUAUAGUCCACAUAUACUAUAAUACUAUUUCAUUCAAAUAGAUGGAGGAAUCUGCGAACUAUAUGAUGUCAAAUAGUAGGGUUUUAAAUUAUAUGACUAAAUCAUUCUGUAUGUCAAAUAAAACAAACAAACACUUCAGUACAGAUGUUUGAAUACAUUGAUUUUAAAGUGGCAGCGUUAUCAAAAAUUAACUAAUUGCUAGGUUAAUUGAAGUUUAUAUGAUCUAAAAUCUAAAUACUAGUAAUAAAUACAAAUGAGUCAAAAGCGUUUGAGGGACCACAAUUUAUAUAAGAUAAUUAGCGUUUACUUUAGAUGCAUGGUAUAUGGGAAUAAUGUAAAGUUUACUUAAUGGGUGAGAUAUGUUCCUAUUCAAAUUGUGACAAAUAAAAAUCGACAUAUGCGCAGUUUGAUAAGGUCAGGGAAAGCUACUUUAUAAAAUUUGUAUAAUUGAUAGGUUUGGAUGGAUCGUAAAUAAUUACAAUAGCACAAUAACCUUUAUAAUAAAACAUAAAUCGUUUAUGUCGUGGUUUAUCUUGUUAUGUUUUAGAUAAAUCAGAACAUUAGUACCAUAUAUCAAAGACCCAUACUAUUGAAUCGAUAAGGAAAAUAUACCUUACCGUGAUUAAUCAGUUUCCUUCGUAAAAAGGAAAUGAAUAAAAUAAACAAUUAUAACGGGAAACAGUUUUUAAGAAAAAGAAAAGAAAAGAAAAAGGCAAACAACUUAGCGCGUGGAAUCACGGACGUUAAGCGAGAGUAGGCUAAAAAACUAACUACAAGCUGUUUCGGACACGCUGGGGCAUCGUGUUAUAAAACCAUGUUCGUCCUCUUCAUCAUCCACCACACAUGUAUUCCAUCUCCUUCUAAAUUAUCAUCUUUCCUCUUCUUCCUUCUAAUCUCCCCGAGACAAUCUGCCCUUCCCAGUAACCAUGGGCGUCGCUGUUCUAAAUCCCCAGGACUGCUUGAAGCAUCCUUUAUCUCACAUGAAACAUCCACGUAACCCCAGCGCAUGUCCCAACAGGCAGAAAAAACCGGUUUCAAACCGCACGCGCCGCAGCCCGCCGCGAAAACAAACCUCCCCAUCUCCCCCUGUAGCCCCGCCGCUUCCAAAGGGAACGGUGACGACGCGCCCCAACAACAACAACAACAGCGUCGUCGCUGGUCAGGUUAGAAUCCUGAAGCGCGGCGAGGAGAUCCCUAAGAAGACAACAGAUCUGGUCGUAGAAAAGACAGAUCUUGUCUCUACUCGUAGGAUCGGACCGGAUCCAGGAAUGGUUCCGAGUCAGAUCCGUUUACCCGUCCGCAAAGCAAAGACCGUCCCGUUUUACGCCGGUCCCGUGACCAUGACGUCUCCUCCUCCAAGCGACGUCCCUCUUCCAGCCUUUUUCGCUGCAAAGGAGCGUCUCUUUGUUCCAAGCCGCCGACGCUACCAACGAAAUCAUCAGGAUGCUCCGCCUAAACAUCGCGUGACCCGCGUACGGCCGAUGUUCCACUGUUGUCCAAAACUGUUCCAUUUUCGGAUCGAAUCUUUCAAAUAAAUCAUCUACAGACGGAUGAAAUCGAGAAGGUGAAGAAACAGCAUCUUCAGUUAUGAAACCGUUUUGUAUCUUCCCUUAUUUUUUCAAGGGGCAAGGUCGAAAUAUCUUCUUAACAGGCCUUAGUUUCUCUUCGAGUUUAGUGUUUGUAUAGAGUACUUGUUCAUAGGCUUUCUUUUUUUUUAAUUGUGUCUUUUGGUAUCUCCUGUGUUAGUUGCCGGUUUACUUUUAAGUUCGUCUUUCUUCUGUUGUGUCUCUUGUUGUUUCUCACCGUAGGCAAAGUAUCAGAGAUAUGUAUGUAUCUUUCUGGCAAUAUGCAGAUUGCAGUUUCUGUAUUACUUUGAUCUUUCGAUGUAAGAUCAGUAUUUCCAUCUUUAUAUUAAUUGAAAUUUAAGUUUUAUUUGUCUUUUUUUCCAUGGUUGUUCAAAGUAUUCUAUUCAUCCCUGAUAUCAAUCUAAGCGAUACGAAGACCUUGAUAUUGUGACAUUCUUAUGGAUCUGCUUUACAAUAACUCAAGAUAUAAAACUGGUUAAUGCUUCCCUCAAUUGUUUAACUUGUUACAUAAACUAUUCACGUUUGAAACUUGAAAGUGUGUCUCUUAUCACACGCAAAGAAACAGUGUUUAUACGUUUUAAACUAUCACACGCAAAGAAACAGAUUUUUAAGUCUUUUCUGAUUAGUGAUUUUUAAUAAUGCACGCUUGAUCCAUUUGGGAUUUUUAAAAACGGUCAUCGAUCUUAGAUUUAUCAUUGUGAACAAAUUAUAAAUUUUAUAGGUUGUCAUCAAUUACAUGCCAAGUUGCAAGAUACCAGCUCUCAUGGUUGGGCGGCCCACCAUGACCCUCUAUAGCCCAUAACUUUACAUAAGGUAAUUUUAAAAGAAUCUGCAUUCGAUUUUCACAAAAUAACAUAAGGUAAUUUAAUAUGAUUGAUAGAAACUUAUAAUUUAUUUAUCUCUAAGUUAAACUACUUGCCUUGUCUUUUUACUUCCGUAUCAAAAAAAAUUGACGGUGUUAACGGGGCUGGUUGGCACUAGGCAGCUGUCGAUUGUUCAUUGGUUGAACAUUACGUGUUAAAUGAUAAAUCCCCAAUAAGUCAGUAGCCACAUCAGUUUUUUUGUUCCUUUGCAUAUAAUAAUAAUAAAAAAUGUUUUAAAUCCAUAAAACAGCAAGGUGCCCUAAUAGUGAGACAAAAAAAGAAGAAAGAUUAACCCAAUUGCAAAAAAUGUUAUAGAGAAUCUUUACAUAUAAAUAUAAGAAAUAAUUAGAUAUACACUUUCCUAGCCAUGUUAAUUAACUACUUAUUAUCUCAAAGUUAAAUCCAAAUCUGCAUCUUGCAUUUGCUAAAAUGUAAAAAACAAUUUAUGUUUCGAAAAAUACAAUAAAGAAAGAAAAAAAAAGAGACGAAUAAUAAUAGAGUGAGCCUCGUAUAUAACAACACCAUACAUCUCUCUUUUUCUUCUCUGUUUCGAUACUUCAACUUCCUCCUUCUCUCUCUCUCUUCUGUAACUUCCCCCUUCAUUCUCUUGCAUAUCUGAUUCCCUUUGAUUGGUGAAGCUUCAAUGAAGAAGGUUGUUACAUCGGCAGCAGCUAAGAUGACGACGGUUAAGGAUGAGUGGGUGGCGGCGGCGAUGACGGACGACCAGAUGGUCGUAGAGCUUCUUUUACGGCUGAAGCACGCGGGGACGGUAGCUGCGGAGAAUCCGGAGACGAAUCUCCGGUGGGGAAUCCGUCAACGGAGGUCACGGUCCUCAAGAUUUGGCGGCGGCGUUACGUUGAAGAAGGGUGUGGAUUCGGUUAGAGGUAGUCCGAAGACGCCGCUCUCCUGGAGCGGCGGAUCUGGAAGUGGCGGCGCCUCUGCAUCUCCCUCCGCCGAGGACACCAGUCGCCAAGCUAGCUGCUCCACGUCUGCAGGAUCCGGAUCUAAGGUACUUUCUCCUCCUCCUCCAAACUUUCUUCUCCGGCGAUACACGUCCGUCGUGUGUUAGUAAGUCGUUCUCCUCGUCUCUGUAUCAUCCCUUCUUCAUGAUUCACACGAUUCGUAAUUCUAUGAUGACGUCAUCUCUUUCAAGCCGACGGAGACGGGUCGGACCUCCCUCGGCGUUUACGGCGGAGCCACCACCUUAUUUUCUCUAGCUCUAGGUUUAUUUUCAAACUAACUCUUCCGUUUCCAAAAGUCAAAAGCAUUUUUUAGUUUAUUUUCCUUUUUUUCGUUCUUGACAAUAUUCUAUGGCAAAGCUUAAUAAGAUCUGGUGGUUGGACGGUUAAUCUUCUCGAUUAGUUUAACGCUCCGGUUUGAACCGGAGUUUUCAAGCGGAUCUCACCUUGUGGAGCGUCUCAUAAUUGGCCGGUUUAGAGGUGAUUUUAUGAACCGGCCGAGUUUUAAAUUUUGUCUCGAGGAAUAAUAUAAAGCUUCUUUAGGAUUUUUAUUAUGGGGUUAGUACAGCAAGUUGGUCAAACGUGCACGUUCGCUUUACGUUUUGAUGCGUGAAACGAUACCGUUUUGGGUGAAAAGGUGGGAGGCGAGUUAAAUCCUGUCGGAGAGAUUAGGAUCACGUGAUCUUAAAAGAAUGAUGACGAUUGAUGACGCAGGGAUUUUCACAUCCAUUUUAGUAGUUUUACUGUCUUUCUGAUUUUCCUGACUUUUUUUUUUUGUUUGAAAUUUUCUAUUGUGGGAAAACAAACUUUACAAGUAUGUUAAAUAAGAUCUUUGGGUUUGAUUAUAGGAAAAGUGAAAGAUCUAUAAACAGUUGUCCUUAUUCGUCAGCAUAUCAUUGUCUUCAUUGAUAGUAACACCUUCAAUUUGGAAGAUUUGGCAUUUUAAAUUUUCUGAAUCAGUAUAUUUUCUUAUUUUGUUUUUGCAGGCUUUCCCCACUAACGAAAUCACCAGUUGUUUUCCCAAGAGAUUGAAGAACAAGAAGGUAUUAAAAAAAAAACUCUCUUGAAUUUACAAAUUACACUUUAAUACUGAGCUGAGUUUUUUUUUAAUAUUUGGCAGUCAACUUCUGAGCUUAAACACGAAGAGAACUUGAAGUUGAAGGAAAGACUCCACCUUGAAAAGGUACUUUCUCUUUUUCUAACCUUUGUUUUUGGAGGGCAAGACCGCUACCUCGGAGAGCUUAUUCUUCUUACCUGAUCUCAACAUAACGCCAUCCGAGGACGAGUUAUUGUAUGGAACUAGCUAGGUGCCAAAAUUUCUAUCUCGAUUUGAGUUACGACCAAGAAGGGAGGCAGAGACUUUAACAAAGAAAGUGAUUGUAUAUUGUCUCUUCCCAUCAUUCUUGUUUCUUUCUGGGUAAAACGCUCAUUACUUCUUGAUUAUUUUUUUUUAAGAAGAAAGUGAAUGUUAAGUUCUUUAGUGUUUUGUUCUCUCUCUUUUCUACCCGAUUCCUUGUAGCUAAAGCGUUGUUUGAGGAAAAAGUAGGACAACUAGUAGACUUUUGUGUCUUCGAAUUUCAACUUUAUUUUUAAAAUUAGAAGGAUAAAUCCCUUGUUUCUGCUCAACUAAUCCAAGACAAGAGAGAUCUCUCUAUCCACCUCAUUUGUCCACGAUUAUUCUAGUAUUUAAUUUUUCAAUAUUUUAUUUAAAACUUGUGAGGUGUAGUGUUAUUGGUGGUUCGUCGGCGUGUCCAUGAAUAUAAAAGAAAAACAAAUGACAACUUGUGAUCACCUAAUUUUGUCGGUCUUUUGUAUAGAUCCAAAGUUAUUUAUUACUAUUGCAGAUAAAUACACAAAAGUUAGAUGGUACUUAUUGUUUAUAAAUGUCAUAAAACAUGUAAUUUGAGGGAAAAUGGAUUUUUAAAGGAAAAACUAUAUUUGAUACUCCUUCCGUUUCAUAUUGUAAAUAGUUUUAGAAAAAAAAUUUUGUUUCAAAAUGUAAGUAGUUUUUAUAUUUCUAAGUAAUUUUUACAUUUAUUGAAUAUAAUGUAACCAAUCAAAUUAAAUAUAUUUAUUUUUGAUUGGCUAAAUUAUAUCUAACAUAUUUAUUAUACAAUACUUUUUAAAACAUAAUAAUUUUCUUAAUUUUUGUGAUUUUAGCUAAAGCUACUUACAUUAUAAGAUUAAAAGAAAAAAAUAUAAUAUUACAUAUAUGCUAAAAUAUCCAAAACGAGAAGCAACUGAGAAAGUAAAGUAGUAUAUUUUCAAAUUAUUAGCAGUUGACAAAAAAAUAAAGAAAGAACACGGUUUCAGACAUUUAUGGUUAAUUAAGACACGGUUGGUCUGGACGAAUAAUAACUCCUAGGGGAAAGAGAAAAAUAGUAUUUUUUUCUCCAAUCCCCAAAACGCAAGAAAACAAUGUCGUUUAACAGCUCCCACCUCCUUCCUCCGCAGGAAGACCUUCCUCUCCGACACUACUCCUCCGAUCAAUCACACCAACCGUCUCUCCUCACCGCCAGUUUCCUCCACCUCCCUCCCACCACAGCCACAACCGACUCCGAGUUUACCCAUCCGCAUCGCGACGGAGACAGUCCCGCUGCUGCUGCUACGAACCGACGGUGGCUCUCAUUCCACACGGAGGUCGAAAACACGGAAGAAGUCAAUCCUGAAGUCAACGCCGAUGGUGUUGAAGAUUGGAAGAGCGCUAGCGACAAAGCUGCGAUUUUGAAACAUCCCAUGUACGAGCAGCUUCUGGCAGCCCACGUGGCUUGCCUUAGGGUCGCUACUCCCGUUGACCAGAUUCCGAGGAUCGAUGCCCAGCUCAGCCAGUUACACACCGUAGCCGCAAAGUACUCCUCUCUCGGUGUGGGUAUGGACAACAAGGAGCUUGAUCAUUUCAUGGUAAGUUGGAUAAAAGGAGCUUCCUUUUUUUUUGUCAUACUCUGUUUUGUAUGUCUUAUGGCUUGUUUUAUGAUGAUGCAGUCACAUUACGUUGUGGUGUUAUGUUCGUUUAAAGAACAACUCCAACACCACGUCUGUGUCCAUGCGUUAGAAGCCAUUACGGCUUGUUGGGAGAUUGAGCAGUCACUACAAUCCAUAACGGGUAUGUAUGGUCUCACCUUCUCGCUGUAUUGUAUGUCUUUGUGAUUUUGUGUUGUUUGUGGGCUGCAGGAGUUUCACCGAGUGAAAGUAACGGCAAGACAAUGUCUGAUGAUGAUGAAGAUGAUAAUCAAGUAGUAGAGAGCGAGGUGAACAUGUUUGAUGGAAGUUUGGACGGUUCAGAUUGCAUGAUGGGAUUCGGGCCUCUUGUUCCAACCGAGCGGGAGAGAUCCUUGGUGGAGCGUGUGAAGAAGGAACUGAAGCAUGAGCUUAAACAGGUAGUUGCGAUAUUACAUUAAAUUAAACUAGAACACAUUUGUGUUAUAUCAUGUCAUGUGUGCUCGUAUUUUUAUAGGGUUUCAAAGAGAAGAUUGUGGACAUAAGAGAGGAGAUAAUGAGGAAGAGAAGGGCUGGGAAGUUGCCUGGAGACACAACGUCUGUGCUCAAAGAGUGGUGGCGGACUCACUCCAAAUGGCCAUACCCAACUGUAAAAGCCUCAGCCAAGACAUUUUCUUACAACUUUCUAAAAGGUUUUUUUUUUAGUUGGUUUUUGAAUUUUUUUGUAGGAGGAAGAUAAGGCAAGGCUUGUGGAAGAAACCGGUUUACAGUUGAAGCAGAUUAACAAUUGGUUUAUCAACCAGAGGAAAAGAAACUGGAACAGCAGCUCUUCCACAUCAUCUACUCUCUCCAAGAGCAAACGUAAACGGUAAUAACAAGAUUUGCGUUUCCUCAUAAUAUAUAUAUAGUUUUGUUUCUUGCACAAUUUAAUCAGUCUCAUAUCCUCUAUCUACCAAACUCAGGACUGGGAAGUCGUAGGUGACAUUCUGGUUAACCAGAGGAUGAUGCUUGCUUCUCCGGAUAUGAAAGACAUGGUUUCUCCUCCGGUUAUGUGAUCGUACUAAUUACAAUAUGUAUAGGUCUAUCGGUUUGCCUAUAAAAUUGGAUUUGUAGAGCUUAAUCAUGUUUGUAUCAGCUUAAAAUCUAUGUUUAUGUGUGUAUAUAAAGUAUAGUUCUUGGAAGUUGGUUUUUGCGUCUAGUAAUGAACGCUUGGUCGGUUUUUUUCUUUGUAAAUUGCUAUGGUUCAUUAGUAUCAAACAAUAUUCAUCGCAGUUAAAUCUUUAUCUCAAACAAAAAAAUAGUUUUGUAUAAGUGCAAGCAGCCAGUACCGGUCCUGACAUAUAAAUGACCAGAAAUUAAGUUUUUGUAUAAAUGAAAGCAAGAGGUAGCAGCUUUAGGCAACUUUACAGUUUUGUAUAGUUGUGACCUCUUGCUAAUCCCCGUUAUUGGACUUGACCAUUGAUUUUAAUCUGAGAAAUACCUUUUUAUUCAAUUUUUUUUUUAAAAUAAAACAAUCUGAAGUCAGGGUACAACAAACAUUCACACAACAACAAACACAUUUAACACACUAAUCCAAAAUCAACAACUAAUAAAAAAAUGAUUACAGAGCUAUGUUACAAAAAACAAACAAAACAAACAAAGAACAUAUUAACCAAUAUGUUGUAUCAAAUCAGAAGAGAAGAGAAGUAUCACCAUCUAAAAACCUUCUUCUCUAGACUGAAUCCUAAUCAGUCUCAGCCUACCACAUGAUUAUCGCAGAGGCCAAGAGUAUAUAUCCCGUGGAGAUCAAUAUCCAUAGAAAAAAUUAUAGUGUUCUUUUGAAAUAUGAGACUAAACCAAACCAAAAGGGAGGAGAUAAAAAUGAACACCACUCCCAAACAAACAAAGUGACCUGCAAUACAUUGUUGAACAAAUCAAAAGAUUAGCUUUCCAUCAGGAUUAUGUGAAGCAGAUAUGAGUUACUACUUACUUACUUACCUACUGAUACAUACUGAGAAGAAUGUUUCAUCAACCAGAUCCAGAAAACACAUUCUCCAAGAUAUCAUGCAGUUUUGGAGCUCGUCUCCGGAACAUCGGUUCUAACCGGAAAGAAGGGACACCGGUCUGCCAUCGCUUGGCAUCAUACAUCUCAUUCCACGCCUGUACUAUCUCAUCAAUCUUGAACCCCAUACCUUCAAGUGCACUCUCGCUUGAACAAUGACUCUUCACCAUCACAGCUACAUCAGUUGAAGAAGCUCCAGCUAGUUCAAACUUCUCAACCGCAACCUCCAAACAUUCCUCCCAAGUUAGCAACCCAAGCUUAUACUCCACUAUAGAGCGUUCAUACAGCAAGGAGCCCCACAAGAGAUUAAUCUGAGAACUCAUAUUAGCCGUCUGUUCUUCACUAAACAACUCCAUCUUAUGCAGCAGUGACUUCUCUUUAUCAUACUUUGAGAUUCCGUUUAGACGACCCUCUUCCAUCUCUUCCCAUAUCUGCAUACCCUUCUCCAUGCUAUCCUCAGCUUUGUUGUACAGCAUAAGAACCUCCUUAGACACCUCACUCUCUAUAUCCACCUUCCUUUUGAGAGCAUGAUACCACAAAAGCUUUGCGUGUUCGAACUGUUCUUGACCAAGCGCAAUGAGAGCUUCGUAGAAGUCAGGUUUAAUCUUGAGAGCUUCCUCAUACUUCUCCGCAGCUUUGUUGUACUCGUUCAGUGUCCACACAAACGCAGCUUCUAUUACAGCUUCUGUUGAAGCGUCUUCUGGAAAGUAGACUUGCUUCCUCGCCUUUGACAUAUGGACGUUACCCCAGUUGAACAUAGCUAGCGCACCCAUUUCUCGGAACUUAUCAGCUGCUAUUUCGAAAAGCUUUUGAGCGUCUUCGCCAGUUACUGCUUCCUCCAUCGCUUCUGUGUAGAGCUUCAUCCCUAGGUCGUGGAGGUCCAAGUAAGAAUCGGAAUCAAACCCUACAUGGUUCUUGAACAUCUGCGCAAACUGGAAGAUCCAGUUCUCAAAGGAGGUGGAUGCUUUGUCAGAUUCAACCUUCAUGCCAUCAUAGGUUGGUUCUUGAUCAGGGUGAACUUCAGCUAUAUAUAUUCUUAAGGAACCGAGUUUGUCAUUGUUAGAAGCAGCUAGAUUCAGUUCAUUCGUUGCAGUGAUGGUGACUAAAUCACCUUCUGGAUCCUUGUACUUGAUCAAGAAACCUCUGAGAGAAGGGAAACGAUCUUUGAUCACAUCUCUUACGAGUCUAACGCUGGAAUCUAGCGGUAACUGUGCCCACCUGAUAUCAUCUCCAUGUACCAACUUAACCGUUCUAGUAACUGUUGACUGUUCGAAAAACUCAGAGGCAAUGACCUCUUUGUCCAUGACAACAACCUUAUCAUCUUCCAUCUUCCUCUCUUCUCCUCCUGCCUUGUUACCAUUUCUCUUCUUCUGUUUCUUGAGUUUAGGUUUCUUUUCUUCUUUAUUACCACCAAUCUUUGCAUCAAUCUCAGACUUUUUAUCGCUCUUCUCCUUGCUCUCUCCUUCGUCUCUCUUGACAAUCUUUGGACUCUCAACACCACUCUUCUUCUUCUUCUUGCUCUCCUUAACAACCUUCUUUAAACUCGCUGGGCCAAGAGGCUGCACAUUAACAAAGCUCUUCUCCAUCUCAUCAACAUCAACACCUUUCUCCACCAACGCCUUCUUCACCCUCUCAAACACUUCAUUCGCAGACGCGUUCUCCGGCUCCAUGUUCAGCACAAUCCUAGCAUCCCUAAACGCGUAAUCUAGCUUGUUCAAAGCCUCGUAACACCUAGACCGUCGCACUAGAGCCUUACUGUACCUAGGAGAAGCCUCGAGAGCCAAAUUACAUUCGUUUAUAGCGUUUGGAUACUCACCUAAACCCAUUCGCAUGUAGCAAGAAGCCAUGCUCGUUCUAAGAUACGCUACAUCGAUGUGUUCCUUAGGCAACAGCUUAACGGCCUUGUCGAAGCUUAACAUCGCUCCUUCGUUGUCGCGUUUUUGGAAGAGCUUGUUCCCUUCUUCUUUGAGCUCGAGUGCUCUGCUGAUGAAUAUCUCCAUGUCUUCGUCGAAGGCUCUCGAAGUCGAACGAUGGUUGGUUUUUCCGCCGCCGGAAGCAUCCUUUGCCGUCACCGGAGUUUUCUUCUUCGUCGCCGGUUUUCCCAUUUUCAAACUACUUUCCCGAUAUAGAAAACAAUUAAUAAACGUGUAAGAUUGAAGUUUGAUGAUGAAGCAGAGGAAUGAAACAGAGAAUAAGAAGGAGAAGCUUUUAUGUUGACACUUCAAAGGGAACACGACACGACUCUUUCCAUAGGUGGAGUGAACCCUAAUCCAAGAAUAAAAUAAAUAAUAGUAAAAAAAUACACAUUUGUUUGUUUGCUGUAAUAAGCAAACGGUAUUGUAUUCCGACCAAAGCGAAAGUCUUCGUUGUGUGUGUUUGCUGGAAACUGGAAAGAUAGAGAAUUAUUAGUUUUUCUUUUUCUUUUCAAUAUAUAUAUACGAAAUAAAUAUCUAUAAGGAAAAAAAAACUCACAGAAUAUUUUGAUAUUGGCCCCAAUAAGUAUAAUGUAGUAUUUUAGAUAAAUAAAAUUAUUUAUAAAAUCAAUGUAUUUGUAAUUAACAUUAAACUAAAAGUUGCAUUUAAAUUUUAAAAUGACAUUUUUGUAAUUAACAUUAAUACUAAAAGUUGUAUAACAAGAUUUUCAGAAACAAAAUGAGUAAUUUUUUCCUUUUAUAAUAUGUGAAUAUGAAAAAUCGAUUUAAGAAAAAACACAUACAGAAUAAUUGAUAUAGGCCCAAUAAGUAAGUUUAUCUAGGCCCAAUAGGUAUAUUUAGCCCUCUCAAUUUCUCAAAUUUUUACAGAAAGAUGCUCACAUCAAUUUUAUUGGCAAAAAAAAAAGAGAUAACUCAUAUUGCUUGAGACACAUGAAACCUAAUAGCCUUGUUCAUAGGAUCAUAGACAUGUUUCUUGUUACAUAAAUCAUGUUUCUUGUUACAUAAAUUAAUGGUUGAAACUUUAGCCGACCCUGGAGCUUACGGGUUUGAAGAAGUAAGGCUCGCCGGCAUAAGUAAACUGAGCGGUGCCGCCAGCUGCUAUAGCGUUUCCGUUAAUCAGAAGACAUGUGUUUCCUCUUGGGAGCAGUAGCCACGGUUCAACAGGCUUCACGGGAGCAAAACCUCCGCAAGAGAGAGUCACGUGCAACUGAGGUUGGGAGCACGUGUUGAUCACCGAUAUUUUCCACUCCGGUUCUCCGGAGAUUACUCUCCCCGUCCUCGCCCCUCCGAUCUGGAUGUUAGCGAAAGAGCAGCCGCACAGUCCUGGAUUAAGAUAAAAGGCAUGAAACUUAUGGGAUACAUCAUACAUGAAAAAAGUCUAUAGAGAUUCGAUUAUACAUUACCUUGAGUGACCAUAGACAGAAGAAGAAAGACAACAAAAUACCUAAGAGCAAACGUCAUUGUUGUUGUGAUUUUGUGUGUUUUGAAUGAGAAAAGAGUCAAUCAGAUUUAUAUAGUCGUUGCUUAUGCUUUAAGUCUCUUGCAGCCUUAAUUAGUAAAGAUAUAGUCCUAGAUUUCAUAAGAAUAUGGAAACACAAUUACCAAAUAAACAACAGUAUAGUUAGUAUAUAUCUAUACACUUUUGGCAAUGUAUUUUACUUAUUAAUUGCUUGUAUUUGGUUGGUCAAUGUAUCUAAGAUUUCAAGGUGUUUACUUGCAAGGUGUUUUAUCUCUUUAUUAUUUUUAAAACAUUUCAUACUAUGUGUCUUAACACUACACUGACUGCCCAUAUCCUUCAGAUUAAUAUUAUUAUAGUUUUUGCAUGAGAUUUGUGCUAAGGAAAUUAUAUAAUAGACGGAAGAAUGAUGAGUAACGAAAAAGUAAUACUCAAUUCGGAGCUAACCAUUCCCUAUUUUGUUUUCUUACCCUAAAGCUCAAGAGAUAUGCCCUAAUCAUGUAAUGAAUGGCCUAAUCAUACUUUCAUCCUACCAAAACGAAUUAUAAUUUUUGUAUCAGGUCUAAAAAUUGCCUCAAAGAGUAUCAAAGCGCCAUGGAUGUGAGGAGAGGACAAGUGAUCUAGCUACGCAUUGUUCAUGCCAUGGAACACACUUUUUCUGCAAAAUGAACAGAUUUACAUCGGUUAUCAUUCAGGUACUAAGACAAAAUAAUUUGUUUCUUAACCUCGUAAAGCCUAAGCAUUAUUCAGUUAACCAUGAGAACAGUUUUUUUUUUAUUGUGGGAGAGAAGUAUUCACACCUUAUCUUGUGCCGCUGCAACAAAGUCGAUUGUCGUUUAUAUAUGUUGCUUGGACACCAAUCAUCCAAGAUCCGAUGGAGGUAUAUAUCAUCCAACGCAUAUGUCUUCAACUAUCCACUGCAUUUAUAUAAACACUAGUGGAGAAAUUGUGAACCGAGCUUAAUUUGACUUAUAUCUAGAUAUAAAAUUUACUCUUUCAGGUGACAAAAUAUUUUUACCAAAGUGUGGAAACCUAACGUUUUUAUAUUGAUAUACGUGCAUGCCACCGAGAGAGGCACACGAAUUGCAUGAUCAAUCAGAGACAAAGGGAAGAGCUUAGCUUUUAACCUGUCAUUGAUAUUUGAAGGUCUCCCUCUCAACAUGUAAAUGUAAAUGUAAAUUUAUAAAAUUAAUCAAAAUAAAAUAUUCGUUCAUUUAGAAAAAGUAACAAAUUAUUAAAUUUUGUAGAUAUAUAUGUUUGAAGAGUAAGAAUUUAAAAAUAUGAAAGAAAACAUGCAUGAUGUUAUGUACAACAGAAAAAAAUAUCGUUUACCAAUUUAUUUACAAACUCAAAACAAAAUCCAAUGAGCUGACCCAACCAAACCGAAAAUAAAAUAAAAAACGUGGUUCACGAGCCAAACCGAAGGUGGGGGAUACAACGUAUAUACACGGUAACGGUAGGCUUCGCGCCUCCGUCAAAUGACGUGUCAUCCUCUUGGAUUUUCCGUUAAAGUAGACGACACCGCCGUUAAUCGCCGUGGUCCAUGGAUUUCUUCAACCAGAGGAAGAAGAGAAGACCCUGAGAGACGCCAUCUCCCCCGUUUCUUCUCUCUCUCUCAAUUCCACCUCGAUCUGACGAUCAUCAUAAACCCUACUCUUCGAUCGUAAGCUCAGAUCUCCGUUUCGAGCUGGAUCGGGCGAAUCAGUGCUCGAUCGCUUCUCUCCGAUUGGAAUUUGAUCGGAAUAUUCGAUUCACGAUCGGAAAUCUGGAGAGGGAGAUAGAGAGUAGGUAGAGAGUUUGGUGGAGAUGAUGCAGAGACGGAGUCCGCCGAAGCACAGGCAUGACGGGACGUCGCCGCUUCCAUUGGGGAUGGAUUGGAGUCCUCCGCCGCGCAAAUUGGUUAGCUCUUACGUUUCCCGCGUAUUCGAACUUUAUUGUGGGAGCUUCGUGCUUGAAUUCGUUUUUGGGGGGUUUGAGUGAGUCCCAAGCUAGAAGCUACCAUCAAAGCCCUAAGUAAUUGGGAAACUCCUAACAAUUAGCUGAAGCAAUUGGUGAAUUAUGUUUCGUUGAACAUCAGGAGUAGCUAAAACUUUGGUUAUGCUCCUUGGAUAGUUGGUUCUGUUUGGCUAUCAAUUGCAUUUUUGAUAUAUGUAAAGUUGGAGACUUUAAGGCAGUGAGAUUAUUAUUGUGCAGAAUGGUGGAGAUACUGUUUGGCCUCAUGACCCUCGAACCGGAUGGAGUUAUUGUGUUACAAUACCCUCCUGGGCUGUCCUUCCAAAGUCUAAACAUUCAGAUCCCGUUGUGGUAAGUCAAAUCUCCUGGGUUUAUCUCUUGCAAGCUCAUAAUCUUUAGUGUUUGUUUAUAGCAUUUUUUUUUUUGCUGAACCAUAUAGCGUGAACGUUUGUGGAUCAAUAAACUCUUAACAUGAAUAAUGAUAUAUUGUUUCCUUCCUCUUCUACCUGAAUUAUCUACUGGAGUGUGCCUUCUUUUUUUUUUUUGGUAGUUGAAGAGUUUUGUUGUUGUGCAUGUAUUAGAUUAUUCCUGACAUUUUAGAGGAACAGUUUUACAGGGUUCAGAUAAGUGUGCAGUCUCCGGAAGGUGUUACCACAAUGCGAGGAGUGUUGAGAAGAUUUAAUGAUUUUCUUAAGCUAUUAACUGAUGUAAGAAUUUUAUUUGCCUUAUACAACUCUCCAUUUUUUUCUUCACUUCUCAACGAUAUGCACAUUCAUGUUUUCCUCUCAGCUUAAAAAAGCAUUUCCCAGAAAAAGUUUUCCAUCAGCUCCACCCAAAGGGCUGUUACGUAUGAAAAGCAGAGCAGUGUUAGAAGAGGUAUGCAUUUUUCUUGGCGCUAACUGAAUUAGGUCACUUGUGUAACCCCUUUCUCUAAACUUCGCCCAACGAAGAGUAAGCACGAAUAGGGCAGAUGUAUAGAUAUACGGAAAGCCAUGUACCCAGCAUACAAUUAUUCAUGCAAAAAAUCUGUUUCACAAGUGAUAACUGUGACCUUGUUGCAGAGAAGGUGUUCUCUUGAGGAAUGGAUAACGAAGCUAUUAUCCGAUAUAGAAUUGGCAAGAAGUGUCGUAGUUGCAUCCUUUCUUGAACUAGAAGCUGCUGCUAGGUCUGGUAUGAGCUAUUACAUUAUGCUCUUAAGCCGUGCUUUGGUAAACUUUAUUAACUGUUAUUAAAUUCUACCGUGAUGUUGCAUUUCAGCAUGCCAAGAUGUAGAUCAGAAUGCUUCUGAUGCGAAUAAUGAUAGCACAAGUUCGUCACCCAUGGUUCAUCCAAGUUUGAGCUUGUUUCAGACUGGCGGCAGUUCUUCUCUCACAUCUGACUAUGGCAGUGAUACUGUUUAUGAAACAUCUGAGCUUGGAUCUCCAAGUGUAGGACAGGAUGAUAUUUCUGAAAUUGGUACCGAAGAUCUAACUCUGGAUGAAGAAGUAACAAAUCCAAUAGAGAAGCUCGUUAACUUUAGCAUGUCCAACAUUGACGAGGGACUUUCAAUGAGCCAAACUAUUCUAGAGCAACUUGAAGACUUUUCCAAACGUAAAGUCCGCUCAAGAUAUGUCGAUAAUAUCCAAGGGAAGGAUGUGUAUAAUGGAAACGCUUCUAAAGAUGUGUUUCUUGGUAACAAUGGCUCACGACUUCUCUCUGAAUUAGAAUCAUCAGCUCACUCAGUUAUGCAUAAUAGAAAUCUUUCUGUUGAAAGUGCUGCCGGGUUUUCUCUACACACCGGUGAGACCUCAACAUCUGGUCUCCUAAGUUCAAGCAGUGAAAGCCACCUGGAUCUGAACCGAGGUGCUGGUGUAUCGCAUGGAACUGGUCUUGUUUGCACCCCAGAGAGACAGGGUAGUGCACAAAUAGUUCUUCCAGUGGACCUGCGUAAGAAAUUGAACAAGACUCUGUUAGCCACGAAUGAGAGACUUGUCAAUGCAAAAACAGAUAUGGAAGAUCUUAUAGCAAGACUAAAUCAAGAGAUAGCCGUGAAAGAUUACCUGAACAAAAAGGUACAAUAAGAAAGCUCCUUUUCUUUUUGGUAUCCGUAUCUUAUCAUUUUUUUUCUAUAGAACGAAUGGUAGUGUUGUAAUCUUGUUUUUCUGGUCAGGUUAAUGAUUUAGAAGGGGAACUUGAAACUACUAAGCAAAGAAGCAAAGAGAAUUUGGAGCAAGCUAUUUUGACCGAGAGAGAAAGAUGUACUCAGAUGCAGUGGGAUAUGGAAGAACUUAGACAAAAAUCUUACGAGAUGGAAAUGAAGUUAAAAUCGAGAGAGGUAUGAUUUAAAAUAGUCUCAUAUCUAUUAAAAUUAUUUUAGCAACCAAGCUGGUUCGCGUAGCAGGCUGAUUCAAAUCAUUACAACAGGAUGGGAGCUCACAUGAAGAACCCACUGAAGAGCCAACUAUUUCCGAGAGAGAUGUUUUGUGGAAAGAAUUGGAUGCCAGAAAACAACAACUGGGGGAUCUCUCCAGGCGAUAUAAUGAAUUAGAGGCAAAAUCUAAAGCAGAUAUUAAAGUUCUUGUCAAAGAGGUUAAAUCUCUGAGGCGUUCUCAUGUGGAGCUAGAAAAGAAGCUGACUCAAUCUUUGACAGAUAAAACAGAAGCUGAGGUAAUUUCUGGCUAUGACAGCACCAUGGGUUUGUAGAUUUUUACUAUGUAUGUAUGAAAACAAGAGAGAUAACUGAGCCUGGAAGAACGUUGCACUUUUCAGAAACUGCUGGAACAUGAGAGAAAGCUACUUGAGAACUCAGCAUCGGCUAGAAAAAAGUUGCUUAGUGACUGCAGAAUUCUCCACGACCGCCUUAAAGAGUACAACUUGAAUUUAUCAACAGACGGAAAUGGUAGCCUGGUAGAGGACUCAACUACAGUAUCAGAUGCUCUGCGUUUGCUGUCAAUAUCUGAUGAUCAAAUUGAGGAGGUAAUACUGCAUCUCUGCUUUAUCUCCUUUUUAAAUCACAGUUUCCCAACCCAAUCACAUCCAUGGUUUCCUCUACUAGGAGUUGCUUUUCACUGCUGCUUGAUACAUGCAUCGGGAUAAAGCUAUUUGUUAGCGUAGGGUAGUUAGUUAUUCGCUGUACUAGUGAAGCAUUGCUAAAACAAACCUUGCUUGUAACACUGUAACGGUGGCCAUUUUUCAGGCUCAGCUGCUUGCCGGGUUUGAUGAAACUGCUCAGGGCAUUGAUAAAUCUCUCAGCAUCCAUACCGAGACAAGAAUCAUGGAGGACGAGCUGAGGAAGACAUUAGGAGAGAUCUUUGUUGAGAAUGCCAAAUUGAGAAAACAGGUGAACUCUGCAAUGCUUCGUGCUCUCCAAAGACCACCAAGGAAGAUAUGAACGAGAAAUAGGAGGCAUCAACAGAAACACUGAACGUCGUAUAGGUAUUAAUCAUAACAGUUGCUUUGACCUGAGAAUAGAGUUACACAAUGAGAACUGCCAUUUUUAUUGUCUUUGAUCAAUGGACUGGUCGCUUUCUAUUACAAAAGGGUUGGUCUCUUGGUGAAGAAGUUGAAGCUGUGUACUGCGUAUGUUUGUUGUAUAACCGUAUUGCGUUGUUAAUCCUUUUUGCAUAUAUAAUAAAGUGUGUUGUAACAUGCCGAAUUGACCGAAAAAAUGUGAACUGAACCGGAACAAAAUUGACCGAAACCAGACUGAAUCUGAUUUUUUUUUUCAGAUAUAAGUCGAUUCUCGGUUUUAUUAUCUAAACCAAAGAAACCAUUAAGGCUCUUGAUUCUCAGAUCUCUGCUCUUAGUCAAGACAUUGUCAACAAGGUUCUUCCUUCUUAAAACAAAAAAAAAAGAACUCUUAUUAAUUAAUUACUCAUGUAAAUCUCUCUUGGAUUGUUCGUGUAUAAGUUUUAUGAUAAAAUUGUUAGCUUUAUAAGUAAGUGUCAUGGACCAUCAUCGUAUGAAGAGGAUGUAAUUAUCUCAGUAAUCUGGAUUUGUCAGUCUUGUUCCACUCACAAGUCACACUGUCGUUACGUUUCAUCUAGAGGCUAUGGUCAGGAUUACUCAAAGUAUAUGGUAUCUUAGUUCUUGAUAUAUUGGAAGGUGGUUGUUAGAUUCUGGAUGGUUACGACGACUCUCGCGAUCUAAAUAGCGUGUGAUCAGAUCAUGUUUCUUCUUUUGGUUUUCUUGAUUUAGUCAUUUUGUCCACCGUAAAAGUCGAUACUCAUCAGAUAUUAUAUGUUUACCGUAGGGGUGGGUGGCAUUGCACGAAAAAUCACCCUAAUUCUCAAAUUUUGUAAUUUGAUUUUCGAUUUGUGUUUCGAAAAAAUAUAUGUAUAUCCAGUUUUUUUUUUAUAUAUCUAGAAAUUUGCAAAUAUUUUUUUACAGAUAUUCAUAGAUAUUUUAUCUAUUUUGUUUAGAAAAAAAAGUAGUUUCACCAUUAUUUAUAAAUUAAUUACUAGUUUAACUCUAAUAUUAUUUUAAUUACUAGUUUAUUUUUCUUUUUUGUUCAAUACUCCUUCUGUUUCAUAAUAAUUGUCAUUCUAGCUUUUUUUUCUUGUUACAUAAAAAGUGUUAUUUUACAAUUUCAAUGCAAAUUAUACUUAAUUUCACCCACCGUAGAGACCAAGGGUUUGAUGUUUGCAACAUUGCAUUUUACUCACCAUCUAAGGUUUUUGUGUGUUUGCUUUACAUUUUGCUUCGAUUUAUUACCUCCAAAUUUCAGCUAUCAUGUUUCCCUUUCAUUAUAAUGUUUUGUAUCAUUCCAUAGCUAUGUUUUCAUGCGGAAUAUUUAGUAUGAAUCUGAGGGUUUUAUAUAAUGUAUAUCCCAUGAAUCAUUAAGUCUUAUUGGAAGGAAUAUUCGUUAAGGGUAGCUUAGUGAAACAAAUGCGAUAGCAUAAUAUACCACCUAGUUUUAACCAGAAAGAUAUAAAGAGACCAAAAUGUAGUCUACUUAUGUAUGCUAAUGUUUUAAUUGUAUCGAGAUUCAAAGCUGCAUAAUGCAAAUAUUAUAUUUACUAUAUGAAGCAAUGGUAGGUGGGAACCAUCUUUUGGGCUCUAUUGAUCAUAAUCUGCAAGAUUGCUCUCGACCUAACUACUGAUUUUUGUUCGUUAUUAAUAUCUCCUUCGCUAUCUUCGAUAUUUUAUGUGAUGUUUAAUACAUAUAUAGGACUGAAAAUUGAGAAGGAACAACCUUAUUUCUGCGACAUAGUGAGUUAUCAAAUACGAGAAACCAUAUAUGAAUUAGAAAUACAAAUCAUGAUCUAGAAAUCACACGUUUGAGCAAUUCGAACGUGCCAAACAAAGGAUCCAAAUGAAUAUCAGAUAGUAGUUCUCUGUUGAGUAUACGUAAGUUGAUUAUCUUCUUUUAUCUUUUUAAGAACUAAGUAAGUUGAUUAUCUUAACACAUGCAUGCUUUCACACAAUCAAAUAAAUUAAAUGUCAUCGGUGUUACGAAACUUUUAAUGGCUAUAUACGUGUGUCAGGAUACGUGUAUCUUAAUCACAUGACCUCUCAUCAAACAUUGCUCAUAAAAACAUACUAAACAUAUAAAGGAGCCCAAGAAUCUUGCAUGACAUUGACAUGCAAGCAAAAAUGGAUGAGACCACUGUAAUAUUGGUCACUUACACAAAUACAGUACUAGGUUUGAUAUAAGGAAUUUGUUAAACGCUUAUGAUUGUUCCGAAAAGGAAGAAGCAUAUUUUUUUUUCUGAAAAAGGGCUUAGGAAGAAGCAUAUUGCCCAUAAAGAAAAUCCUAAAUUCAAUGCAUAUAACCACCUUUGUAUUGUCUGAUCUUCAUAUUAAUUUGUUAUUCAAGGAUUUAAAAUAUUAUCAUACUUUAAGAAACUAUAAGAAGAUUAUCUAAUAUACAAUUACAAAAUCUUCCAUUCUAUUGUAAUUCACGAUACGGCACAAAAGUAUACAUAUCCCCAAGAUCUUGGUUUCUUUUGCCUCCUCUUUUCCUAGUAUACACACCCAUAAGCAUAUUAAUAAGAAAUAAGAAUCACAUCAGUUCUAAUGUUUGAAUCACUCAUUUAAGAGAUACGCAUUAUGAGUUGUUGAGAUCUCCCAAAUAUUCGUUUGAUAUCCUUAGUUAUAUCAUUAUUGGUGAUUAAAUUAAUUUAUUAUCAACUUUGGGAUGCCGUCCAACAAAAUCAUGAUCAUGAAAUCAGAUUGUGUUCCAAUAAAGAUUGUCUCAUGACGUUUAAUUUAAGAACAAUGGGGUAUAUAUUAAGAAUUUAUAAUACUGAAAGCCGAUAUUAUUUCCAACCAGUAUAACCAUACAAAGCAUUAACAACAAUAGAAAAUCAAUUAAAAUUCGAUCUUAUAUAACUUAGAAUGCAAAUUACAUUAAUCGAAGAGCUUGAAUGGUAUUUAUAUUUUGACCCGAGCUUAGAAAGCGCGGUUUUGUUUGUUUUUCAUUUAUUAAUCGAAAACUAAUUUACAAAUUAUCAUUAUUUUUGUUUCGAACCAUAACAAUUGAGUUUUUAGGUUUUUAUCAUUUGUUUCUUUUUCUCUUCAAAAUAUAGUAAUUGUUCAAAAUGUGGUAUUUGUUCUAUAAUAAUGUUUGAGUUUUAAGAUUUGUUUUCAUAUCUGACCUAGAUUCAUGGUUGAACCUAUAGACUCGAUACAUUGUAUAUAAUCCGGUUCAGAUUUAACGAAAAAUUCGUUAAUUAAAAAUCCGAUAUAACCAUGCAAAAACCCAAAAACUCACUAUUAAACUGCGAUCUAAUACCAUUGAUUCGAUAAAAAAAACAAAAUAUCUGAUAGUAUUUUUUUCAAAAAAUUGAUUAAAUUACUCAUAUUUUUUAAUAUUACAUAAUUUAGUGAUUCCUUAGAAUUUGAUAAAAAAAAUUUAUGUUAUCCAAAUAAAAAAUGAAAAUAUAAAAAAACUUAUUGAUAGGAAAAUAUUAGUUUAUUUUCGUUAUUAAUAACCUAUUAUAAGUUUUUGUUUUUAUUUUAGAUUUAAAAAUUGAUUUUAAGAUAGUUUUUAGAAUAUUCUUGAACACUCGUAAUUGCCAUAUCAAUAUUAUGUAUAAAAUGAUAUUAUACAAGGAAAAAUGAUAUUCAAAUAUGUAUAUGAUAUAUGGUGUAGGAUAUAGGAAUUUGGUUUGUAUUGAAAAUCUGUAUAAUAUUCAAAUGAUCUAUUUUGAAUAUUGAUACAUAUAUUUAAGAAAAUAAUAUUUUCAUGUUUCUUAAUUUAUUUAUAGUUCAUAAUAUAUUUAUAUUUAUAUUAAAUUUAAAGUUAGUAUAUCUUUUAAAUAUACAGAAGAGUAGUGAGUAGUUACCUUUGGAUUCAUGGGUUAAGGUAGAUUAAGGUGAUUAAGUGUAGAUCUAGGGUGUUUUGUUGUAGAUCCUUCUUAUUCCUUGCUAGUAGAGUGAUCUAAAUGCUAUUUUAGAGUUGGUCUCUCUAAGGUUGAGCUCUAGACAUUUCAUACCUGAAAAGUAUUGAUGAAAUGUCUGAACCAACACUCCUAAGCUUUUAACACUCUUUACCAAAGAGAUUUGUUGUUAAAGGUGUUAAGAUGGCUAAUAGACUUGAUUUUAAUGAUUGCUUUGAUAAUAUUCAACCAAAGAGAUUUGAUGCUUGAGUUAUCUUAGUGAAUGAACAUUCAUCUAGAGAUAGAGUUUGUUUAGGAUUGUGUCUAAGCCUAAGGUUGAUAGAUUGAUUGAAAGGUACCACCUUUAGAUUGAAACUUGAUCACCCAAGGUCAAUUCCCUUAGCCCAUGGAUUCUCUCAUCUCAUAAAACAAAAGAAAGCUUUGUUCUUAUUUGCAUUUUAGUAAUAUUUUAGUCCAAAAUCAUCUUACCACUUGAUUGCACUUAGAUUAAGUAUGAACUUGUAUUCUCUUUGAUUCAGAAUGCUUAGAAAUGGCAUUUUAGUAGUAUUUUAGUCCAAAAACAUCUUAUCACUUGAUUGCACUUAGAUUAAGUAUGAACUUGUAUUCUCUUUGAUUCAAAAUGCUUAGAAAUGGAUUGACAUCUUAAGUACUACUUUGAUUUGAAACAUUGGACCCGAGAAAAGUCCAUUUCAAAUUUGGCGCCGUUGCCAAUUCUAAGUUGUUUUGACAUUGAGAUUUGGUCCUUACUUGAGACUAAGUCUUACUUUUAUUAUAUCUAGUUACUGAUACUCUAUCCUAGCCCUUUCGUAUCUCAGGUGCAUGAACUUGAGGAGCAGAGGCCCAACAAACCUAGUUCCACCAGUUGAAGACAUUAAAGCACUUGAGAGGGAGAUUACAAGGAGAAGAAGAGAAGAAGAGCAACAGUCUCACCUAGACAGAUUGGGGUUUGUGAUGGAUCAACAUCAGAAUCAGCCUCAAGAAGGAGAGGCCAUUACCCAAGGAGCUGCUAACCUUCGGCUACAACACCCACAGCGACAAACUAGAGCCAUUGGCACCUAUGAUCAACCUAAUAUCCAUGGGAACAGGAUGGGCAUUAGAGCACCAGCUGUGGAGAACAACAACUUUGAGAUCAAAUCUGGUUUGAUCAACAUGAUAGAGAACAACAAGUAUCAUGGUCUUGCUUUGGAAGAUCCACUUGAUCAUUUGGACAGAUUUGACAAGUAUUGUGGUUUGUCCAAAACCAAUGGUGUUUCUGAAGAUGCUUUCAAGCUGCGACUGUUUCCAUUCUCAUUGGGAGACAAAGCUCACACAUGGGAGAAGAACAUCUCAAGUGACUCUAUCACCACUUGGGAUGAAUGCAAGAAAGCUUUCCUCACCAAGUUCUUCUCUACUUCAAGGACUGCCAAGCUUAGGAAUGAAAUCUCUGGGUUUCAACAAAAGAAUCUUGAAAGCUUUGGGGAAGCAUAUGAGAGGUUCAGAAGCUACUUAAACAAAUGUCCACACCAUGGCUUCACCAAAGAGAGCCUGCUUAGUACUUUCUACAGAGGUGUCCUACCCAAGUAUAGAAGCCGGCUUGAUACCGCCAGCAAUGGUUUCUUCUUAGGAAGAAAUGAAACAGAGGCUGAGGAGCUUGUAGAGAACAUGGUUCAGAGUGAUUCAGUCUACAGUGAUGAGCAUAAUAAGAGCAACAGAGGCAGUGGAGGUGAUGACUCAAACACAAAGAGAGAGUUGAAGGCUUUACAAGACAAGAUGGAUCUACUUCUUAUGGAUAGAGCCAAACAAGAGAAAGUGAACUUUGUUAGUGAGCAGAAACAAGAAGAGAUUGAUGUUCUUAAUGAAGUUGAUGGUCUAGAAGGUCAAGAAGAGUUGUGCUUUGUGAAUGCUAAUGGGACAUGGUACAAGAAGGAGCCUCACUUUCAAUAUCAAAACAACUACCAACAAAAGCCCUUCUACAACAACCAACAAGGAAGUUAUCAAGCUAGCCAAAACUACUCUCACGGUUUCUCCUCCAAAGGAAAUCAGUCUACACAAGGCCAAGCCGGAUCUUCUACUCCUGCUCAACAAGAAAGUAGCACUGAUGCAAUGUUGAAACAGAUCUUGGAUUCUCAAACUACAAGUGAGAAGCACAUUGGAUAUGAGUUGAAGAACCUUCACACCAAAGUAGAUGGAAGCUACAAUAAUCUCAACAACAAAUUCUCAAACCUUGCUUCUAACUUCAAGGCUUUGGAGAAUCAGUUUACCUCUAUGACUUCAACCUCCAAGCUCCCAAUGGGAUCUCUACAAGGAAAAUCAGAGCAACACCCUAAAGAGUAUUGCAAUGCUAUCCUCUCUACUUCUUCUAAGAGUGAGUUAAGUGAUCAUAGGAGAGAAGUAGAUGAGCUUGAAAGACUCUUGUAUGGAACAGAAGUUCUUGCCACGGUUGAAGCACAUAUUGUGGAGAAGGUUGAACACAAGAUUGUGGAAAGGGUUGCGAUACAAACAGUAAAGAAGGUUGAGGAAAAUGUUUUGCAACCAGUUAGACACAAGGCUGAGAAACCGGUUAUUGGGAAAGCUCUCACGCAACCGAAGGAGGUCCAGCUAGAAGAAGCUAAUGCGGUUGAACAAUCACCUUACGACAAGCUCCCAUUUCCACAACGGUUCCUCACUAAAGCUCAAAAGAAGGUGAUCUCUAAGUUCAGAAAAGACAUGGGAGAUUUAGGAGUCAAACUUCCACAUAUAUCAAAUAGGCAUGAAGCUCAUGUCCAAAUGAUGCUCAUCAAGGACAUUCUAGCUCAUAAAGAAGAAGUCGGAGAGCUCCUAGACAUCUCUACUAUGCAGCUUGAUCCACCAGUCACACCAAAGUCCCUUCCCAAACUAGAAACCCAAGGGAAGUUCACCUUGUCUUGCUCCCUUGGUAAGUUCACACUUGAUGAUGCUCUUGUUGAUUCUGGUGCAAGUGUGAAUGUGAUCUCAAUAGAGAUGGUGAAGAGUCUUGGGAUUGAAAACAUGGAGCCAAACACAUCUUUACUAAUGUUUGGGGAUUCCUCUUUUACAACCCCAAUCGGUCUCAUCAAGGACUUUCCAUUGAAGAUUGGAGCUUGCACCAUUCCUAUUGACCUCACUGUUUUGAAGAUGGCAACUGAGAAGAGAGUCCCAUUGAUCCUUGGAACACCAUUUCUCACAACAGUAGGAACUUGCAUUGACUUUGCCAACAAGAAGGUUACACUUCUAAAUAUCAACAAAGCUGUCUCUUACCCAAUCAAGUCUCCUUUGAUGAAUGUCGAGUAUUGUGGAACCAUCACUUGUGGAGAACUUCCACAUGAGAAGAUCAAAGAUGAAGUGAUGGCUAGUGAAAAACAAAUUCUUGAUGGAGAUUCAUCUCAUGAGAUAUGUGAUGAGCACUUGGAGGAGGUGGGUAGAACCACAAAGGCUACUCAUGACAAGAAGAAGAUGAUCAAAGAACCUCAUCCCACUCCUAUUGAGAAAUCUUCGCACAUUCUCACUCUUUAUCCAAUCAAGAUCAAAGAUGGAGUGAUUGAGUACAAGAUCAAGUGCAAGGGAGAGUCUAAACCAUUCUCAAGUGCAAGGGCCAUCAUAACUCCUCAGCUCCAAGAUGAUCCAAUCAAGCUACAAGAGCUCCUCUCUCAAGUCUUCACCAUCACCCUUGAAGGUGGGAAAGAUCCUCCUCUUCACUAACCAAUUGGAAGGAAAGUCAAGCUAAAGACUUAAAACAAGCUCACUUGGGAGGAAGUCCCAUGGUAUCCUUUGUAUAUAUUUUUAUAUAUGUUUUUCUUGCUUUAGUGUGUUUGAAUAAGCUUAGGGACAAGUUUGGGGAAUUCUCAAAAAUUCCCAAAGAUCAUGUCAAAAAUUCCAAGACGACAACAAGUCCUCCCUCCUCAUUUCCCUUCUAUCAUGACAGCCAACUUCAAGUAAGUGCAUUCCACCCUUGUAAAUACUUAGUUCUUUCAUCUUUUAUUUCUCCUUUGAUCUCUCUUUCAAGUUUACUCUCACACAAGAGACUGUGUGAAGUAAGUUUGGGGGAGAGUCUACUAUCUCAUAUUGUGUUUUGUUUUGUCUACUUUUCAUUGAGUCUCAUGCAUUCCAUUGUGCAUACCUAUAAAAAAAAAAAAAAAAAAAUGAAAAAUUUCGAAAAUCACAAAAAGAAGCAUUUUGUUGCAUCAUUUGCAUCUGUAGGAUUGAGUCUAGAAACAUUUAGAUUGCAUUCAUGCAUAGGGAGAAACCUUGUAAAGAACACAUGUCUAGAACUCGAUUUGACAUCCUAGCUAAAUAUAUCAAGUAGCUUAAGCAUCUUUUGAAAAAGCUUGUAAGCUUCGAGCCUUGAAAACUCUUCUUGAAACAUGUUGUUUGCUUGAUGAUUGACAUUGUUUUUGAAACCAACUCCAAAUGAACUAAGGCUUAAUGAACUUAAUUUCUCUUGCAUAUGGGCAUUUGCAUACUUGAUCAUGGAUAUUAUACACAUUUGGGUUAUCUUUCUCUCCUUGUACCAAUCUUUGUUAACCCAAAUGGCACUCUCAUACCCAUUAACCCUCACCAUUCUUUGAAGCCAACAUUAAUUUGCUUGAGUGAGGUCUUUUAUUGAUAGCAUGUCAUGUGCAAAAUCUUUAGAGUAUUAGGAGCGACAAUGGGGUUGUUCUAAUCUUUGGCUAGCAUUGGGACUUCAUUUGAGCUAGCCUCUAGGAUUGUUUUUGGGUUUGUAAGCUUAAAUUCUUUUGAUCUUGGGAAUGAGAGAGAUUGAGCGAAAGAGAUGAACCAAAAAGAGUGUUUAAGGUAAGGAACCCCUAGGGACAAAGAAAAUUAGAAAGGAAAAGCUCUAAAGUAUCAAUAGAACCCCCUCCCAAAUAUAAAAAAAAAGGAAUCAAAGAAACAAUAGUUGAGUGGGGGAAAAGAAAAGAAGAGAGCUAAGUCUAAAACUUUAAAUUCAAAAGAACAAGUCCCUAGUUAGUUAAAUCAAAGGAAAGAAAGAAAGGAAUUGUAGAACUUAAAGCUACUUAAGAAAAGGGUAGAAUGAUGAGAACAAGCAUUGUAUGCAUGAAUUGCUCAUUUUCUUAGAUAAAAUUUGCAUAAUGAUCUUGCUCAUAUUCUUGAGUGUGAGCCACUAUAAAUGAUGCAAUUGAAACUCAUUUUUCUUAACACUAGACCACUCUUAUCUGUCGUGGUCUCCACUGUAGACUGCAUCACUCUUUACCAUGUUGUCAACCAGCUCUUCUGCAUCAUCUUCAGUUCUUCCCAAGAAGAACCCAUUGCUAGCUGUAUCCAGUCUGGCUCUGUACUUAGGAAGAGCACCACGGUAGAAUGUGCUCAGCAAACUCUCCUUAGAGAAACCAUGGUGUGGGCAUUAAGCUUGAUAGCCCUUGAAUCUCUCCCAGGCUUCACUGAAUCCUUCCAAGCCCUUCUGUUGAAAGCUGGAAAUCUCAUUUCUCAGCUUAGCAGUUCUUGAAGUAGAGAAGAACUUCUCCAAGAAUGCUCUCUUGCAAUCAUCCCAAGUGGUGAUAGAGUCGCUGGGUAGAGACUUCUCCCACUGACGUGCCUUAUCCCCCAAAGAGAAAGGGAAUAGCUUGAGCUUUAAGGCAUCUUCGGACACACCAUUGGUUUUUGACAACCCACAGUAGCUGUUGAACCUGUCCAAGUGAUCAAAUGGAUCCUCUAGAGCCAAGCCAUGGUACUUGUUGUUCUCGAUCACGUUGAGGAGUCCUGAUUUGAUCUCAAAGUUGUUGGCUGCCACAGCGGGUGCUCGGAUUCCCAAUCUAUGACCAUGAAUGUUGGGGCGAUCGUAAGUGCCAAUGGGUCGAGCUGCUCGUUGUUGGUUAGCUGGAGCAUUGUUAUUAGCGCCAUUGACGCCUGCAUCAUGCUGAUGAACGUCUCCCAUAUCAGUGUUCAGUCUUUGCAGUUGAGCCUGUUGCUCUUCGUCUCUUUUCUUUCUAGCACACUCUCUCUCUAAAGCUCUGAUGUCUGCAGCUCGUGGAACUAGGUUUGAUGGACCGUUGCUCCGCAAGUUCAUACACCUGUAGAAUAAGAGGAGGUGAAAAAGAGUCAGUAACAAAAGAAAAUAAAAAUGACUUAGUCUCAAGCAAUUGACUAAAUCUCAAUGUUUAAAUCUACUCAGAAUUUGGCAACGGCGCCAAUUUGAUGUUAGGAGUUUUCAAGGCUCCUAAGACAAAUGUUGUAGUAUAAAUGAUUGUCGAACCAGUUCUGAGCGAUAUGAAAGCACCGAGAAUGCAAGUAAUCACUUAAUCUAAGUGCAACCAAUGGUUUUUAAAAGGGUUUUUUAAACUAUAACUAACUAAAAGGAAUAACUAAAUGAUACUUUCUUAACUAUGGGAAAAGAGAACUCAUGGAUAUAGGGAUUAGACCUCGGGUGAUCAAGUUUCGAACUAAGGAUGGCAAACGAUCAAUCAAACUAUCAACCUUAAGCUUAGACACAAUCCUAAACAAACUCUAUGUCUAGAUGAAUGUUCAUUUACUAACACAAUCCAAGCAUCAAAUGUCUUUGGUUGAAUAAUAUGAAAGUAAUCAUAACUAGCAAGUCCAAUGGCUAUCUUAGCACCUCUAACAACAAAUGUCUUUGGCAAAGUAUGCUAAAAGCUAAGAAGAGUUGUCUCGGGCAUUUCCUCGAACACCUUUCGGGUGAGAAAUGCCUAAGGAUCAACAACUGAGUGGCCAACUCAGAAGAUGCAUUAGGUUCACUCUGCUAGCAAGGAAAUAUGAAUGAUCUACACUAAAACAUCCUAGCUCUAACCUAAUCACCCUUAAUCUCCCUAACCCAUGAAUUCAAAGGGGGAUUACUCACUAAUCUCCAUGAUUCCUCUUAAACCCAUGUUGGAUUUCAGAUUAAUCAUGUAGAGAAACACAAAAAAAUAGAUAUAAGAACAAUAACAAAACUGAUCAAUUGAUUCAAGAGAUGACUUUCCAAAGGUUUUUGGUGGUUUUUCUUAAGAACAAAGAUGAUCUGCCUCCUGGUGGCUUACAGAGUAUUAAAACAUAGGUUUAGAAAAUAAAAACGUGCAUCAUGAAAUGACCAAAAGGCCCUUGAGAAAUCAUAAGUUCGAGCAGAAAUAAGACGCGGAGCUACCUCCGCUCGUCGCUCCGAGUAGUCGCUCCAUGCUUCGGGAGCGACCUCGCUGUGUCGCUGCGAGAGGUCGCUCCGGACUCGUUCUCGCGUUUCUGAGUGAUGAAAACGCGAGCGACCUCCGCUCGUCGCUCCGAGUAGUCGCUCCAUGCUUCGGGAGCGACCUCGCUGUGUCGCUGCGAGAGGUCGCUCCAGACAUGAAAACGCGAGCGACCUCCGCUCGUCGCUCCGAGUAGCCGCUCCAUGCUUCGGGAGCGACCUCGCUGUGUCGCUGCGAGAGGUCGCUCCGGACUCGUUCUCGCAUCUCCGGGUGAUCAAAACGCGAGCGACUCUUCCCUGUCGCUCUGGUAAGGUCGCCCUGAUAGGGAGAUCAGAGCGACUUGACGGUGUCGCUCCAGACUGGUGCGACCUCGCUGUGUCGCUGCGAGAGGUCGCUCCGGACUCGUUCUCGCAUCUCCGGGUGAUCAAAACGCGAGCGACUCUUCCCUGUCGCUCUGGUAAGGUCGCCCUGAUAGGGAGAUCAGAGCGACUUGACGGUGUCGCUCCAGACUGGUCGCUCCGGUAAGGUGCUCGCCCAAUGAUCACUUUAAACACUUCUUUUGGACUCCAAUUGCACCCAAAUUUCUCCAAGAACUCCAUGUCGUACUCCAAUACCUGAUAAGGACUCAUGUAUGCAAAAUGCAACCUAAACAUGGCUAAAUCCUAAUCUAUAUGAUCAAAAUGCACAUGGGUGAAUGGAUAAAACAUUAGAAAUAUGCAAGAUAUCAAAGAACAAACUAGAAGAUCAUUUGAAACCGAAAACGAAUUGAAACACUGACUACAUCGAUUGAAACCGAAAACGAAAACGAAUUGAAACCGAAAACGAGUAUACAUCGAUUGAAACCGAAAACGAAAACGAAUUGAAACCGAAAACGAGUAUUGAGUUUUUGAGCAAACUAAAUCGAUUGAAACCGAAAACGAAUUGAAACCCUAACUACAAACCAAAAGAUCCCCAAUUGAAAACGAUUUGAAAACGAAUUGAAAACCAGAAACUUUUUGAAACCCCAGAAGAAGGAUAUUUACCUUUGAAGUUCACGGGAGAAGACGAUCGACGACGGAGAGAAAUCGCCUUUUCGUCUCGAGCUCUGAUAUUUUUCUUCUCGCCUUCGGUCGCGAAUGAAUUUUUUUUUCACAAAACCGAACACAAUAGCUCACCGAGCCAACCAUCAGACGCCAAGUGCACAAGGACUUGAUCCUUCUACCCCUUAUUUACGGACUGAUCCGUCAUAAUCUUAGCCCAAAUUACAAUAUUAUAUUCCAUUUGGGCUACGGACUCGUCUUGGACCGCCGUUGCGGAUGGUCUAGACUAGAUUCGACCAUGAACCGAGAUAUUAAGUAGUCGAGUUGAUCUAAUAUUUGGUUCAAUUAUAAACUGAUUAUGUAGCCACUAGCCAGAUUAGGUAUCAAAACUAUUGAAUUCAAUAAAACCCACUAAAAUUAUUAAAAAUCUAUAAACCAGAUUAGAUAUUAUGUAGUUGAGUUAGAUCUAAUAAUUGGUUCAAUUUUAAACUGAUUAUGUAGCCACUAGCCAGAUUAGGUAUUAAAACUAUUGAAUUCAAUAAAACCCACUAAAAUUAUUAAAAAUCUAUAAACCAUUAAUAUUUACAAUGAUUUAUAUAUGAAAUGUAUUUAUAUUGUAACAAUGUAUUAUAUUUACUAAUAUGAUUUUAAAAUUUUUAUAUUAAAAGUAUAUUGAAUCAAGUUUGAUUCAGUUGAAUAUAUUGAAACGUGACCUAAAUAAUUACCAAAUUUAUGAGUUUUCUUGUGUUGCAUCAAAUUAAUAACUUUUAACCUUUAAUAUAUUAACGCACAAAACUAUAAAAAACGAAAUUCUUAGUGAAACCGAUUGGUUGCGCAAUUAUGGUUUAAUCACCAUGGUAAGCUUCAGCCAGGCGCUUCGGCGCCGUUUAACCUGCUUCCACGGCCGCAUUUUCGAAACAUUUUGCCAUGAUAGAUAGUUCCUUCCUACCUCAAUAACUAUUAACUACCAUGGUCCCAACAGCAUAUAAGCCGAGAAAGAAAGAAAAACAUGUCCUGAAGCAUAAUCCAACAUCAAUUUAUCCAUCUCAGAAUCAGAUUACAAGAGUCAUGAAACUAGAUACAAAGAAAUUACUUAAAUAAAAAACGAAAUGCAGUACUAAAGCAAUUAACAAAACGAACAAAUAACUUCCCUUCCAGCUGAUGUUUACGUUCUUGAUUAUUACUUUUUUUUCAUACUUGAUAAUUACUUAUUAGUUAUUAUCCUCCAGAGUCAAACAAGAUGAGACGACACAUAUAAAUAGUGUUUAAAAUAACCAUAAUAAUAAAGAUGUAGCAUAUAUCUAGACUCAUGUGUGGAAUUCAUCAUUUGGAGUCAGACUUUGGAUCACGAUGUGUUCUUCUUAAGCCGCUAUUGUGGAUAAAAGUAGAACUUGCAAUGUUCAAGGUUCUAACUCAUGGAUUUUCAUUCGUCCCCUUAAGUUCCUCCUUUCAGGUUUCACAAGAACACAAUUUGUAGGAGUGUCGUUGCAAGUAAUUAAUGUUGUGAUGCUGCUCAUAUUUACUAGCCUGUGGUGGUCUGAUUUAGUUAACUCAUGUCAUCACUCUCAAAGCUAAGACCCUCGUCUGAAUUUCUACUUGUAUGUUUAAUGGAUCUGCAAUAUCUUUUCAUGCUUACGCUAGCUCUUCUUAAAAUUCAUUUUUUCUCUUUUGGAGUGUUCUAUAGCCUUUGAUGGCACCUACUGGUAUCUUUUACUACUUUUAAUGUUUUGUUGUUGCGUUUGUUUCGGGUGUUUUACCCACAGACUGUUUUGCUAUAUUGGUAUGUAGUGAAUCAUCUCAAAUGAAUAAAAUUCAGUGUUAAAAAAUAUCUAGUAUUCCAAAACUCUUAACUAAUGCAGAGAAUUUCAAACGCAUGAUGUUCUCAACAUGAUCCAUGACAGCCCUGAUUGAAACUAGAUCACUAGGGCUUGUAGUUUGGAUUUCAGAUCUUCUAAGACCAUUUUGUUUCGUAUCAUAAUAAUAAACAUUUAGUGCCAACUCAAUGAUGAGAUGAGGUUGAUGGACUAUAACGAUUUCGCCUCCAGGAUUAGCGACACCCGCAAAUCUGGUAUUCAAUUUUGGUAAACUUUGAAGCAUGUCUAAGAAUGUAAUCUUCGACCACUCUUGUUUCUUAGCGUCCUGCAUAACCCACAUAUCCACAUCGACUUUGUUUCGACAUAUGCACCCUAACUUCCCAUGGUAGUUUACAAUAGUCAAAUCUUCAUGGUGAUGAUAAGCCAAAAGAUUUCCCGGAGUCUGAACAUAACUAAAUUUCUCAUGCCUAACAUCGAAACUCACCAAAACAUGAGUACAGUUUGCGUUCCUUGCUAUGUAAUAGAUUUCCCCGUUGAUGCAAAUUGCUUGUUCGAAAAGGAAGUGAACUCCAAUACUGCAUUGGAUGUCCCUGUAAGAAUAUUUUAUAUUUUUAUAUGACCUAUGUGUCUAUUGAUUCAAUAAAAAGAUCAAGUUCAUAUUAAUGUUAUGGAUUCUAAUAUAAAAGACGAUACCGUGAUGGAUUGGUUUCGGUUAAAGCAUUAGAAUCGGGUGUAUUGAUAACCCUCCUCCCUUACCUUAUUCAGUUAUGAAUGACUUCUUCAAUAAUGAUUAUAUAUCAUUUAGAUAUAUGUGUGUAUGGUUGUGCUUAUAAUAUGUUAAUCACAUAUAAAGAAUUGUUUGUGCUUUAAAGAGUAUUAAAGAAAAAGUGUGAUUAUUGAAAAGGCACUAUAGCACAUAUCUAUAUAUAUUGUCACGUGUGGUGGUGGUUACAAAAUAAGAGAAAAGUGACUUUAUAUGAGAGAAGAGUUACGAUUGUGUCGGUAUAACAAUUACGUAAGAAACGUAUAUAAGCCACCGUAAGGGAACAAAACGUGAUAAGAAGAGGUUUUAGAUUCCUUUGUCCAUCAAAGGGAAUCAUGAAGGAUUAAAGGCCAAAGGAAGGAGAAAAUCAAAUUGUGGAUUGAUGCAAAUACUCAACCAAGGAAAGCAUGGAUCAAGGUUAGUAUUUCUUUCUUCUUCUCUAGAAAGUAUUAGGGUUGAAUUAAUCUAAACUAGAAUAUGGUCUUGGGUAGAUUUCAUAUUAGAAAUCAUAAAAGUUAAUCUUACAGUCCCGCCACUCUUUUGAGACAUCUCCCAAUAUGAAAAGCUUCCAAGGCAUGCCAUGUUGGUUUUGUGUUUGACACAAGACUUUGUAUUGAUUCUUGAAAGUGUCGUACCCGAAUAAGUAAAACAAGCUUCCGGGUAAACGUGUAACGGGUAAGAAAAGAGAUUGCCUUGUUGUAAGGUUAUGUAUUCUGAACUGAUCAUUACGUGAACAGCAAAACCCAAUCAAACCACGUGCAUACUGAAAGCCCAUCAGAUAGCCUUCUUCUUUUUCAAUGAUCUCCUCGUGAUAGAGUUGUUGUUCGUCUGUAACUUGAUGAUAAAGAUAAGUAUACGAUAAGAUGGUAUGAGGUAUAUGAUCAAGCCGUGGUUGGAACCAAUGCCUCUUGAAGAGGAAGUGGGGAUCACGGGGUGGUUGAUUCAAUCUCCGUGUCAUGAUCGAGUCAAUGACUAUGAACUUAUUGAUCAUACUUUCCCACUGAUAGGAGACACAUCGAAAUCUCGCUAGAGAUUUGGUAGGGAGUUUCUCGAGUAUCUCUACCAUUAGAUCCAGAGGGAUAUUAAUAACGCCAGAACUUUUUCUAGCCAUGGUCUCACGGAGAUGAAGGUCUAGCAGCUACGACGUGACUCAAGAUCUGGUGGUGGAAGCAAGAAGGAGAAAUAGCGUUAAAAAGGAAACGUGAGGUCUUGUGGUGGAAGCAAGAAGGAGAAACAGUGUUAAAAAGGAAACGUAACUUUAGCAAAAAGAAAAAGGAAAAAAAAGGGAAACGUAACUUCUCUAACAAGGAGAUGUGAUGAUGAUGAUGAUGAUGAGGGUAAAAAUUAUAGUGGAAAUUGUUUUUUUAUGCCAAAAAAAUGAUAGCAUUAUUCAUUUUAGACUAAUUUUUAUUUUGUAUCAUUUUUGCCUUUAAUAUAUUUAAUGCACACAAAUCAUCAGUCUUUAACUCUUUUUUUUUUACAAACCUGUUGAAAAACAUUAAAGGAUAUCAAAGAGUAGAAUAUCAUAAACGACAAGUUCCAAAAUCAUAUUAAACACACAAAUGUCAACUUCAAACUACAUCCAUUACAUAAACGUGAAGUUCCAAAUACAUAUCACACACAAAAACAUCAAGUUCAAACAAAGCAUAUUACAGUUACAAAAUGUGAUACCGCCUAGUUCCAAGUUCCAACAACCUAGUUUCAAAGACCUACAUUUCAUCGCCUAGUUCCAAACUUCCAAGUUCCAAUAACUUUUAACGCUGACUCUUAGUGGUUACCUUUUUCUUUGAUGGAGCUGUGUCUUUUUUGCUCGUGCUAGGAGCAGUGUCAAUUUUUCUCUUGCUAGGACCGCUUCGUUGAUCACUCUUCCCCACCAAUUCAGUUGUUAGUACAGUUGUUCUGAGUUGUGUAACCUCAGCCUCAAUCUUCUCCAACCUAUCGGUUACAACUGUCUCAAACUGCUCAGUUCUAUCUGAAGUUGUCCUUAGCUGUGUAACCCCAGUCUCAAUCUUUCCCAACCUGUCGGUUACCACUGUCUCAAACUUGUCAAUUCUAUCCGAGAAUUGUUGACUGAAUUUCUUGUCAAAAGUUGUAAAAGAAGCUUGUACCAUAUCCUCUAAGAACUUUUCAUAUUUGUGUCAAUGUUCCCUUUCGAUAAAACAGCUAGUUGGCACAACACCUUCUUCUUCCUUGACUCUGCUCCUCGAUCCGCAUGCUUUCUCUUGUUUCUUCCUGAAACAUCAAUUGUGCCAUCAACAUUCUCUGCAACAUGACUGUUCUCGCCAAUUUCAGUACCAGGUGUUUGAUCCUCUCCUUCCUCUUUGUCUGCUUCCUCAAAUUCAGAGCUUGUAACUUUUUUUACUCCCCAAACAUGAUUGCUCCAAUCAUGUUUUCUUUGGAUCAUAUCCACAAUGUGAUCCGCUCUUUCUUCUUUCUUUUCAUCCUUUCUUGCAAAAUCAGUAGCCAACAGGACCACUCCAUCUCUGUGGAAUUCCAUGAAUGAAUGCAAAUUUCCAACAUUUUUAUUACAAAAAUAGUUCCAUACAUUAUCUGGAAAUAUAGUCUCAACACCAAUGAUAUCUUCAUAAGAACAUUUACACAUCCUCUCCAAUUACCACACAAAGGACCUGUGAAAUUGUCGCUGACUUUGGUGCCACAAAUCUCUCCUAAAGCAGGAAUAACUUCCAUUAUCCAAAUCUGGAAACCAAACAAGAAUCCUUCCAUGAGGUACUCAUCUUUCUGCUCCAAUUUAUCCCUUGUUUUAUCAAUCUGGUUCAGCAGAAAAUCGAAUGAGUACAGACCCCAUGGGUAAUUACGAAGCUUCUCCAAAUCCAUCACCAACUUCAUGUACAGAUGUGGGAUAUUAACCUUCUCAUCUCUCCCCAUCACCACACCCAUAAUAACGCAAAGAUAUACCAGCCUCACCCUAUCAACCCAAGUCCGGCUACUGCUCUCUUCCAAAUACUUUUUUUAAUGUUCUGCAAGUUGAUUUUCCCAUUAGUCCUUAUCUGCAUGCUCCAAAAACCAUCAUCAUCUUUCCAUGUCACUAACCCACUGUUCUUCUCUUGCUUCACUUUCAGACCAAUGGUACAGCAUGAUACUCUUGCAAUCCGAAACGGAGAGGACUCCUAGCAAAGAUGAACCACUUCUCAUGUCUCUUGCUUGUCAUCAACUCCUUAGACAAGAAAGAGUGUACCAGCCUCGCUGAAAACUUCAGAUUAUUCUUUUUGAUAACCAUAAUAUGCGAGAAAAGGGGAUCUUCCAUCACUCCAUCGAAUUAUGGCUUCAUUUUUUUUCAGAAACUCGAGAAGUUCUACUCGGCAACUAUUAUUAAUCUUCUUAACCUGAGGUUUUAAGCCCUCACUGUAUAUACGACUAGACAACUCUAAAUCCAUACCUGAAAAUUAAACAUAAUAAAUCCGAUUAGCUAUCAAAAACCAAUAUCACAGCUCGGUAUAAUAAUGUCUCUUAAUACUCUAUCAAUAACCAAUGUCACAGUUAAUGCAACUCAACAACUAGCAUCAAAAAAAUUAGCAUUCUCACAGUAUCAAUUCUUUCUGGUCUUUUGAUUUUUUUUUUUUAAAACAAAACCUAAAAUUCAUAAUUCUAUCCUAAAAUUACGAUUUAAGGCAUGGGCUGUGUGCGAAAUCGUCCCUAAUCAUCACCUUAACACAAGAUUGAAGCCUAAACAUCAUAACAAACUCAAAAAUUUCACCUUUUACCUUACAAUUUUUGAACUCAAAAAGUGGAGAAAGAGUUUGAUACCUUUGCAGAUCGAACGAGAGGGUGAUAGAUUUGAAAAAAGCUUUCGAAAUCGUGUGGGUAGGACGGAAGAAUCAUCCAAAGCAGAGUGAAAUUGAGUGAGUUAGGGUUUAUGAACUUGGGACUUUGAGUUUCUCCCUUUUGUUCGUGAAGUACAAGAGAAAUAAUGGGUUUGAACACAAAGAAAUCGAAUAUAGACCGUUGAAAUAGUGUUUGGUCGGUUCAAAUUAAGUGGGAAUCAAACCGGAUUUAACCAAAGAAAACCAUAAAAUCGAUUUGGGAGACUUACAUGGGCACUAGAUCGAUCGAUUUGGAUAUGCGAUCGGUCGAUCUGUAUUGGAUCGAUCUGUGACAAACGACUGAACUGGUCCAGGUCGAUCAGAAUAUGUGCCGCGUUUUUUUUAAUUUUCUGCAUAUUGAUCUGGAUCGACCAGACAAUACUGGAUCGAUCGAUCUCGCUCGAUCCAGAAUCACGACGUUCAUUUUUUUACAGAAUUUUAAAAUUACUUUAAUUAUUUAUUGUAUUUUAAUAUUUAAAAAUUAUUUUUCAAGUAUAAUUAGGAAAUUAAAAUUAAUAAUUUUAGGGCAUUAUUGUCAUUUUGAAAAUAAUUAGUCUAAAGGGACAUAAAGUAUAUGAAAUCACAAUACUAAAAGGAAGAUAUCAAGUCCUCUAAGCGCGUCCACGUCAGCUGAAAAAAUCAGCCAGUAAUAUUGCAACAAUCAUCCACGUCAUCUGUCAUCUUUGAUUUAUUUUGUUUUGAGCUUCGUUUGUUUUUGGCCUGUUUGUUCUGCAUCUUAUAGCCCACUUCGUUCCGCGACUGAUAACGUCGUAACCAUAACUUCGUUCUUCUCUUACCUUUCGACUUCAACAUCUUCCAUUACUCUUCUCUCCAAACCGUUUCAACGAGUAACUUCACCUUGCUCUAAUCAAACCUUUGAUGUUGAUUUAGAAACCACUUCCUGAUUCCAACACACGAAGGAGGUGGUUCAGUAGAGACAGCCCUUCAGCUAUCAACACGUGUUUACUGCUCUCCACCGUUGAGAUUCUCGAAAUCACGACUACAACCUUCUCCUUCAUGCUCAAACUACACGAAUCAAGCAACCGAACCAGAACGGGAACAAGUCCUUGAGCUAUGGAGAUCAUCACGUUCUUAUCAUCUUCCCGAAGCAAAGAUUCCAUCGUCGAGUUCUUCGACUCUGGUUUACCGAUCUGUAAUUGGAUAACUAGAUUCCUCGCCGCAGCUUCCUUCUUCGACAAAAUCGAAACGAUUUCGUUGAGAAGACCGCUUUUGAUCAGAACCUCAGCGUCCUUCACGUGGCGAUCGAGUCGAGCCAUGACCGAGUCGACGUCGCUAUGCGUCUUGAGCUUUCCCUCAGAUAAAUUCGGACCCUCGCACCUAGCCGCGACGGAGGCGGCGGCGUGGAGCGUCUCUCGGGCGGAGAGGAGGAGAUCCAGAGCUAGCUGGUUGGAAGAAGAAGAGGCGGCGAUAUCGGAGAGCUGAGUGUUGAGAUUGGCGAGUUUGACGCGGAUCGAAGACCAUUUGGAUUUGAAGCUGAGAAGGUUGGGGAUGUGGUCGAGGAUGGAGGAGAUGAGCUUCGUUAAACUACAGUCACCGUCGUUAUCCAACGGCAUCGGAGAAGUUGAGAGAGAGAGAGAGAGAGAGAGAGCUGAAUUUGGCCUGACAGGUAAAAGUAAAACCAACAUCAUGCCUUUUAUGUUCUUUCUCUUUACAGAUUCUGAAUUUUGUUUGUGUAUGUUUCCUUUUACAGUUUCUGUUCUGUCUUCGGGUUUCAUUUUCCAUAAUGGCGACUCAUUGAUUUCUCUUGCUAGAAACAUCUCAUGUUCAUAUCAUACUUACCUCUCUUUCUCAGAUAUCAUCAGCAAAAUAUUAGAGACAUUGGACUACUUGGACAACCUCAGAAAAAGGGAGCUUCUGACAGAACAAGGCGACACAAUAACCUUUGAAUCUGAGGUGAGGAUCAUGCAAACAUUGAUAGUGAAGAACAAGUAUUGUCGGUUAAUUCAUAUCAAAAUGUUACUUUUGAUUUCAGAUGGACCGGACUUACCUUGGAAGUAGUUCUUGACGAUGGACAACAAAAAACAUAUGUUAUUGGAAAAGAAGGACUUCCAUAUACGGUAAAGAAUCAUACAACGUUUUGUUUCUUUUCAUUAGUAAGAUAUAAGUUUGUUUGAUAAUACAGUUGUGUUUCUUAUUAAUUUCGAACCCGGUUGGUUGGUUACAAGCGAUUAGUUUUGUAUAUAUGUGUUUGGUUGAGGUUCCAUUGUUUAUUUUGAUGGAGAGCUUUUGGUAAAGUUUGUAUUUUUAAUUCAUGAAUUUCUUUUUAGUUUACGAUCUUAUUUAUGGUUGAUACAGACUACGGGUUUCUUUCUUUUUGGUAAAACAUCUUCCUAGACUUGAGAUCAACGUAUUGUUUUACUAUAUACAUGUAUGUAUUUUGGAGAUUUCUUUUAGAUCAUUCACUAUGGUUUUAAACUGUGUUUACAUGUUAUUUUUUGGACCAGAAAGAAUUAGCUCAAAGGUUCGAGAGAGUAAGGUCUCUGGAUCUGCAUCAUACAUAACCAUGGUAAUUUAAGCAUUUCAGUGUUCUCUCAUGCAGCUUAGUUGUAGUGACCGAAAGAAAAUUUUUGACCAUUUGGUAUCCUUAAUUUUGUGGAGUAGCACCACUUUCGUUGUUUUAUAGUUUUACCUUUAGUUUCUGCUACUCAGGAUGGAAACUGAUAUCACAUUAUUUUGCAGGUUUCUAGCUAGCAAGUUUCUUCUGGAACGUUGUGUAUUUGGAACUACCGGGUACAUGUGGGUGAAUAAUUUUAUUUUGUUUAUCUAUUUUCAUAUGCACAUGGUAACCAAACGUGCAAUUGAAAGAUUAUUUUCUUUAUGUAUUCUAUGAGGUUCACAGACUUCUCAUAGAUUUGUAGGAUGCUUUUAUGUUUUAUGGACCUUAUUAUAAUUAGGAUCUUGCUCGAUAAUCUUCUGGUGAUUGCUAAGUCUUUUGAGGUGACCGAAUUACCAAGUAUCUGAUCUUUUUUUCUUCUGUUUUAGUAAAAAUGUUUUAGUUUUAUUAUCUUUUUGCUAUAUGUUUUAUUUUUUCAUUAAUAUCACAUUCCAAUAGAGUUUCAACAUACAGAAGUAACGGCCACAUUUUCAAAUUUUGUAGGAUUCUGAUAAAUAGUAAAUUAUUAACGAUACGAGGUUUUGUUUGUGUCACUGUGAUACUUCUUUUGUCUGAACCGACGACAUGAAAAUGGCUUUAAGAACAAAAAAAACACCAGUCAAAUACUCAUAAAACAAAAGAAAACAGAACAAGUGGAUAUUUGUUGCUACCGUUUAGGAGAUUUCUCAAUCCCAACUACAUACCACAAAAGAAUCAUUCCCAAAAACCUAAGAUGAAGACGUGAUUUAGUCAUCGAUGGUUCUAAAGUGUUACUCGGUGCAAGAUGAUUUAAGAUAUCUAAUAUUCUUAAGAAUUAUAUGUUCAUAUAAAUCUAUCUCACUUCCUUUUUGUCCUCUGAAACCGUGUUCUAGAACCCGUUCGAGUAUUUUUACAUAUCGGGUCAGGUUAUGAUAUUUUUUUAUUUUGGUUUUGUUAUUUCGGGCCGGGUUCUGAUAUUUAGAUUUAGACAAAAAAUUUAAAUUCUUCAUUGCUCAAGUUUUUGUACUAAAAUUUUUACCAUUAACUUAACUGAUUUUCUGUUUUUUAUUGGUUGGACGAUUAACAUAUUUGGAGAUAAAAAUUUAAAAUUGAAAAAUUAAUCUGGUUGUUAUUUUGAGAUUUUGAGUGCAAUUUUUAUUUAUGUAUGAAAAAUGCUUGACAUGCAUUUUAAGUGAGAAGUAAAUCACUUUGUCCGUAAUUAUAUGCAUAUUAUCUAAUCUCUGAACCAUAUGCAACAUCAAUAUAAAUAUUUUGAAUAAAAUAAGAGAACUAAAUUAGAAACACAUGGUUAAGUAUACAUAUGUUAUGUUAUCUUUGGAUAUCCAUUCGGGUUCGAAUAUUAUCUAUUCGGGUACGGAUAUUCAGUCUCUCCUAACUUAAUAUCCGUUCGGGUAUUUUGCCACUUCAGUCGAAUUUCGGUUUGGAUUUUUCAAAUCAGAUUCGGGUAUGAAUUCAGAUAUCGGAUAAAAUGUUCACGCCUAAUCCGCGCGUAGCGCGGAGAAAAGAUUUAAUUAGUCUAAAGGGACAAUGUUACUAUUUUUUUGGCGUAAUAAAAAAAAAUUUCCAAAAUUAUAUCAAAAACCCAUAAAAGGCCAGGGACGACCAUUUACUUUUGGGAACCCACUUUUUCUUUUUAAAAUGUAACUUUAGUUUACAUGUAUAUUUAGUGUGUUUUAGAUACAUAUUAAAGAUUAAGAUUAGGUUCGGUACAAAAAAGUUUUGUGAUUUUAAAUUUUUGAAUUUUUCGGAGUGUCCAUUUAGAUUCAAAUAAAACAUAUAACCCGAAAUACCAUAAAACAAAAUCUAUUCAAUAUUUAUAUCGGAUUUAGAUCGGUUCGGUUUAGUUUAUUUGCCCUCUUCAUUGUGAUGCAUGAAAAUGGAAGACAAUUUUUUGCGAAUCAUAAUAAACACUCCAACGGUGUUACAAAUUACAAACUGAAAAUAAUAAAGAAAUUACACAAUGCCAACACACCUCUCUAAGAUACACACAUCCCUCUCCUCACAAAAGAAAAACUUAAUACACCUCUAAUAUCCCGACCAUACCCUCUUUGCUAGUCACUUGUGUUGUGUCCUACCACAGAAUCCUGACCAUAACCUCUUUGCUAGUCACUUGUGUUGUAUCCCAAUACCACAGACAAAUAAACAAAACUAAUAAAAUAUAUAGAAGACAAACAAAAAUGAACAAAAACCCUUUUACCCAAUAAAUACUCUCUCUCACGCUCACUAAUACUCACCGCCUCCAAAACCAUCCAACUUGACUUCUUUACUCUUUCAUCAUCUUAAGAGCUCUCAUUUAUUCUCAUUGUGAUCCAUCUCGCAAUCGAUCAUUGUGGAUCAAGGAUGGUUUUGGUUGGAUAUGUAUACAACAUGAGGAUCAACAUCAAGAAGCGGCUUAGCAGGAGAAGUAUGCAAUCUCAGAAGUGUCUCUGUUUCUCUGGAGUGGUUUAUAUCCAAGCAAGAGAGCCACGGUCGUCUGGGGUUUGUGGGCGUCCUCUGGUUGGUGUUGGUGGUCGAUUUGCAUUUAAUUCCUGAAAAUAAAUGCUCAGUUCCACCAGUUUUCCAAGUGAACAAAAAGAGGGAUUAAAAUGUGUUUGUGAUAUAAACCUGCAUCCAUGUGUCAUCUACAUGUCUUUCUGGUGAAGUUUCAGGUGAUGUAAUUGCUGGAGGUAGCGGAUGGAUGAGCUUUGGAACCACCACAAGAUCUCUCCCCAACACCAAGAUAGCCCCAGCAUUGUUUGCAGUUCCUGAGAAGAAUUAAACAUGUCAUUUCAUAAGACACUACUAUCAGUUAAGUUUUUCUAUUUUAGUCGGCUUAGUAGCAGGUUUUCGAUUCCAGAGACAUACCACAAUAAUUCGUAGCCGAAAAGAGCGUUAUCAAAUGCCCCUGUGCAAAACGCUCAAACCCGUCCAUCACACAUUCAUGCGCACGUACAAUCAAUUGAAGAUCAUUGUUCUUGCAGAACUCCAUGACACGAUCAGGCUGCAAUUGCCAGGCUUUUGGUUAGUAGUAGAACCGGAAGAAAUACUUGUGGCAGAGGGAAAGAAGAGAUCGCUUCAAAUGUGAACUAUAUGAAACCAAAGAAGCAAAGACCACUCACCCCGAAAGUAACCAACCCAGGGCCUCUAGCAUUUGGCCUUAAACCUUCGACACUGUCAUUUUCAGUUGGAUCGGACCUAACAGAUUGCAAAUUGACAUACUAGUGAGCAGAGGAUCAAGGUAAAAAACAAGAACGAAAUAGUAUUAGACAUGAACUUACCAUAGUAAAUCCAUAAGCACAAUUGACCCUGCUUCCAUCGUAAUUGGACGUUGGAUAUUUUCGAUCUGCUCCACAUGAUUUAUUGACCGACCAAUUCCCCCGUGCAUACAGAUAAUUUUCUUCUCAAUCAAUGCAGCCAGAGGUAGCCAAUUGAAUAACCGGUUUAUUCUGUGCCACACCCAGAUCCCAUCACGUUCACCCUGCAAAGUAGCAACUUUCAUGAGACCCUAAAAGUGGGAACAAGAUAUUCAUAAAGAUAAGACACUUACCAUACGCUCAAUACACUCUAUCCGGAAACCAAAAAGAGCAUUAAUAUCGGCGGCUUCAUGGUUUCCACGAAUUAGAUGUACGUUAUGUUGGUAUUCAACCUGCAGUGUCAACCAUAAAACGUCACACCCAUUUCUAUCAAGAAUACCGGAAAAGAGAUAUCAUUAAUAUGGUGCUCUAAAAACUACCUUUAACGCAAGCAGGAGAGUAAUUGUUUCUAAGCUGUGUUGACCCCGAUCUACAUAGUCCCCCAAGAAGAGGUAAUCAAUGUAUCUGAUAACCAUUAAUACGCAAUGUCAGAUCAACAAUAGCCAUAGCGAAAGUAAGGAUGAUACUGCUCUAGAGAUUGAGCUGUACACUUACGAUAUGUCUCCAGCUGUUGAUGGCGAACCAUAUUCAUCAAAAAGUCGCAUGAGAUCCCCAAACUGACCAUGCAAAUCACCAAAUAUCUUAAUAGGAGCUCUAAGCUGUAAUACAGUAGGUUCGCUUGAGAAGAUACGUUCUGCACUGUCGCAAAGAUCAGCUAUCUCAUUGCAAUCCAAGAAAAACUGGCGUCGUACAGGAGGCUUCCACCCACGAGGCUUCAAAAGAUGAGCUACAACCUAAUAAAACAGAGUUGUUCAUCAUAAGGUAUUGAAUAGUCCCACGUUGGAACAGCCAAGUGGAACCUCUAGGCUACUAAUAUCAUUGAACAAUAAACAAUAUCCAGUAGGACUACAGGUCUACAAAAAAGUUUCCCAUCUUAUUAAACAAGCAGUAUCUAAAUACUAUUAUGAUUCCGAUCAGAUCAACCAAAUGACCGGUGCUACAGCAAUCAAAUUUCUCUGCAACAAUUUAAGGAAGCAAUAUUUUGCAAUUCUUCUAAAUCCGCAUUCAUGAACAUAUUGCUUUCUUGCAGUACUACAUUUUGGAGAAAAAAUAUUUACCUUUUUCGGAACACUAUUGAUCGACUGCUGCCGAUCUAAUAAUUUCCUUGCUGCUGUUGCGCUUUCGGGUGUCCCAUAACCAACACGGCGGCCCUCAUUUUCAAAUUGAUCAAUUGAUAACUGUCUAACCAUUCCACCUAAGGCUCCACCUGUUUCUGCAGCAACCACCACCUUACAAAGUUCCAGAAAUAAUAAAAAAAGUAUUAGCACUUAUAACUAGACACGUACAACACUAGCAAGUGAAGAAGCAUGAUGUUGGAAAUAUGUUUAUAAACUUCAAUAAUUUGGCAAAAGAAAAAACUUGAGAUUUUACUUAAUAUAGUUAGUUUGACUCACAGCUCUAUGAUGAAGUCGAACCCCUGCAGGAAUAACACUAGUCGACACCGCAGAGUCAGGCUUAAUUAAGGAGGAUGAAGGUUUUCCACUGGGUGUAGCCUCAGCACCACGAUCCCUAUCUGGCUGCUCAACUUCACCGUUGACCUGCCGUGCCUUCGCUGCAGCUAAUGUUGCACUGAUAGCCUCAGCUUCCGCAGCAGAUGCUUCAACAAGAUACUCCACACCCUUGCUUGUUCUCCUACAAUGUUAGUUGUUAAAUAUUUUUCAUGAAGAAAUGCAGAGGCGCGCUAACAAUACAGCAAACGAAAAAUUAAGACGCUAACCGAGUUCCAGGGAGCAUUGCAUUUUCUGUGCUUAUAUCAGUAUACAUAUCCCCAUUCAGAGGCGGUGCAACAGGGCUUCCCAGCACAACAGCGUCAGGAGCUGAUUCCGAUAGUUCCCCUGUCCUUUCAUCAGAAAAUCCAUAUCUUCCAGGUGAACGGCCAGGUGGUGAGUUCGUUGCUGCUGCAGCAGCAGCAUGAGAGGCCGCAGAUGUUGUUUCCGCAGCGGCAAGAUCUUCAGCAACCAGUAGAUCAUCAAGUAACACUCCUAAAGCAUCAAUAGACUAUCGUUAAGUUUUGCAGCUAUAAUUUGAAAAAAGUGCACGCGUCUACAAAGAGAAGAGAAAGAAGAAAUGGCACUGAUAUUUGGUGAAAAGAGAAACUCUAGAAUAUUAGGACUGAUUAAUGGUAAUACUUCAUAAUAUAAAGUACCAGACUUCGACAAAAGAUCAACUACCAAUACAAGAAAGUGUGAAGUAUCAUACGGCAACUCGAUGGAAUAUUAUGCCAAAUUGGCAGAAUCAUUGGAUUAUCAGAUACUAUAAAAUGGUUCAUUCAAUAUGCAAUUGUAUAUUGCCAAUAACAACUAUAAAGAUUUUUUCGUUACCUCCACGCAAACCACCAUAGAUAAAUAUCAAAUCACCCACUGCAGCAGCAGCAUGCCUGCAACGCCUAGUCAGUUCACCAGAAGCAUCACCACCAGCUGCAUCAGCGCUAUAUCUACCAGUUCUAGGACUAGUAACAACCGAUUUUGUAUCACACCAAACACCUGCUGCAGUAUCCAACACUGAAACAAAGCAAAAACACAUGAACCAGUCAGAGAAAUUUAGAUGUCCACAUGUACACUUUAUUAUGAAUCGAAUAUUGUAGCCCCUCGAAGAUAGCUAUAGUAGAUGAGUGCAACAAAUUACAAUCCCUGUUUGAUGCUUUUAGAUGAAUCUCACAUCUGAAAGAAAAUUUUGGCUUCUGCAGUCCAUUUAGGAAGAAUGAUAAGGAAAGGACGACAGCUAACAUACUUUUAGAAAGAAACUAUAUGUUUCAGUAAGAUUCACUGACUACGACGGCCUAAGGUUGUAUAAAAGUAACAUAUUCAUCGUUUUAGAUAUUGCAUGUAUAAGAAGAAACUCCAAGUAUUCUCUCAUUUGAAAAUCUCCAAAACAACACAAACAUGAGAUUGUUUCUCUCCUAUUGCUAACCUGCAAUACUGGAUGAGUCCUCUACCAUGCGUCCACCACCAAGUGCCCCACCAGAGACAUGGAGUCUUGCAUUUACAAAGACCUAGAAUAUUCCACCAAAUGUUGCUUUUUCUGAUGAUUAUAGAUAAGAGAAUAAAAGAAAAGAAUCAGCAUCUCAUACUGCUGCAUGCUGGUAUCUGGCAGAAGGUGAAACACCAGGGGCUAUGGCCCAUUCCCAACGUCCAUCUCUGUGCUUGGCAAGCCCAUAUGCACUUGCAAGGGGCUAUCACAUAAUGGUACACAAAGAGAUACAGCAUGUCAAUCAAACAUUGAAGAUAAGAUGGAAAAAGAAGCUCUUAAACUCUAGUUAUGGAAACAUGAUAGAUAAUUUUCAAUUUAUGGAAACAUGGUAGAUAAUUUUCUAUCUGAACUUUUAUUUAAAAUAAUUGGCCAAGAGAAGCUAUUCCCUAUCACCUCACUGCAGCGUUAAUAUAAUGGUAGCUGAGAGCAAUACAACAUAUGAAUUUCCUCCAGCUGAUAAACUUAAAGGCUCAAUGCAAAGCAAGUGUCUAUUUCCAAACAGGGGGAUAAACUUUGUAGCAGGGGAACUAUUUGGCUUACCACACUAUUAGCAUCUCUUCCACCACAGAGGAGAAGAAGUCCAUCAGACCGUGCACUUGCAGUUGCGUACCUAGUUAACGUACAAACCCAAGACAUCCAUAUCACUAAAGAGCAAAAUAAAACAAUCACACAACAGAAAUUAAGCCAAGGAAGCAAAAUUACAUGCAUGUAGGUGGACCUUCCCCUUCUGGUUCCAGCUUACGCCAUUCAUAAGGUUUAGCAGCAGUGUCCAAAGCCCACACAUCAGCUAACGGACGUUUUCCUAGUGGUGUACAGAAGUUAAGAGAAAAUGAGCUAUUUAACGAGGAUAUAAACACACUUUUACUUGAGGUAGCGAGUAAAACUGCUUACCAUCAUUCCCACCAAUCGCCAUGAGAUACCUCUGUCCUACCAAUGCCAUGACAUGUCCAUAACGCGGUCCUGGUCCAGGACCCUGUACAACAACCCUGGAUAAAGAGUAUAUUCUAAAUCAAGCAACACAAAGAGACUUAUACAAGAACCGGCAGACUUAUAUAAGUCGAACCUGUGCCAUCGUGGCCGUUGCUGAGUCAGAUCAAGUACGUGAAGAUCCUCAGCUGACAAACCAGCAGGACCUAUUCCACCCUGCGCCAAAGAGACAAUCCGGUAUAAGGUUAAAAACGUAACCUCAAAUUGGUAAACAAAGAUCCACUAACAUAUACUCUCUCCCCCUACCUGAAUAACAACCAUGGUGCCAACAGCAGUAGCCACAUGCGCAGCUCUUGGGCUAGGUGGUUCUCCAUGCGGUGAAAGCCUGUAACCAUUAUUCCAUCACACCAAUCGCACUUCACUUCACACUUUCUAAAAAAAAUUUGACAAAAGAGUUUCUAUCUAAAACCUCACCUCGACCAUUUAUUAGUAAGGACAUCAUAACAAUGAACAUCAGCAGUUGCACCAGCUAAACCUGUUACAGUAAACAAUACUCUAAAUCAUCAAAUAUACACAAAGAAUUGAUUUUUUUUUUUAAAAACUGAAUCUUGAUUAGGAAACAAAAACGCACGAAUGCCUCCCGCACUUCCAGCAGAAGUUGGCGUUCCCGUUCCUCCCGAAUUGCCCUCGAGCGCCGUAGCGCCACCGAACAAGAUGAGACGCGGGCCAAUGUAAUUAGCGGAGCCUUCCUCGCCGACGGCGGGAACGGCCGUCAGAGUGUGGCCGCAUCUAGGACCGGGCCCGUCCUCUUUCUUCUCUAGUAUCGCAUUCACCACCGAGUACGGCGGCGCGCAUCUCGGACCAGCCACAGCCGGCGGCUGCUGUUGAGCUGAGGUCGCCGGAGUGGGAGUGAAAGCAGAAGCCGAUUCGGAUCCGGUUUGGGCCGGGGACUCUGAGGGAGAAUCUUGAGGUGGAGGUUGGUGAUUGGGAGACGCGGGAUCUUGAUCGUUCUCCUCGUGUAGCAUAGACGAAUCCGAAUCCAUGUUUUUUGGUCAAUUUUGGAGGGAGGAUUCGCGCAUUAGCAAAAACCCUAGCUUCUUCUCCGGUGAGAUUCUCAGAGGAUUGUGAAAUUAAGUUAGAGUUUCUCUCUUCUCUCUUCUCUCUUCUCUGUAAUCGUUACGAAGUUGUUAGUUCUCUACUAACCCUCGAGAGGAGAAAGAAAAGACAGAGGGACGAACUCGAGAGACAAACACAAAACCUCCACUCACUCUCUCACUCUCUCUCUCUCUCUUCAGCCAGAUAAUUUGUCACUAAUUUUUAAUCAUUUUAUCAUUACUUUAUAAAAUAUAAAUAAUUAAAUAGGGAAAUAGUUCUAGUUCAAAUUUGUUGAGACCCAAAUCAUUAGUGAAUAAAUUAGUUUCUUGCAAUACAAACAUAUUUGAGACAAAACUUAAAUUUUUAUUUUGUCAACAACAACUAAUUAAGCUACUUGAAACGGUUUAGGAAUUCGAACCGAUGAUAUAAAAUUGACAUUUUAUCAUUAACUGAUGGAGAAUUGUAUGUGUUGCCAACUUAUAUUGUUCUUCAAAUAUGCAUGUGACAAAAUUAGGAGAAAAAAAACGUUGUAUAUCGUUCAAAUUCAUCAAAAUGCAAGAAAGCAGACUAUUUUAUGGCCAUACCAUAUCAACGCCUCACUCUCCAUGGAAUAGAAAGAAAAAAAAAGACUGUUGAAUAUUUUGUGUUCCUAAUUUUUUAUCCUUUCCAACUUAAUCAACAUAACAAUUCCCAUCCGGCAUCUGUUUUCUGAUUACCUUCUUUCAAAAACAAACUUAAUAAUAUUGGAAUUUAAACCCUUUAUAUUCCAUUAAUUCUUAUUUACUACUUUAUGAUUAUAAUAAUAUUGUAUCAACUCGAGUUCUGUAUACAAAUGACUAAUAAAAAUAGAAAUAAGAUCAUUUAUUUUAUUUUAAAAUAGUACAUAUGGAUUCUAGCUAAAUACAAUCCAUCAUAUUUGUUCAUUUAUAUAUAUACCUGAUUUGGUGAUUGCAUUAGGUUUCUUUCUGUCUCAUAAUGUUGACAAAACAAUUGUUAAGAUUUUUAAUACUCCUAUUUGCUAAUUCCCUAAAACACGUGUUGGCUUCCUCUACGUGGUAAGUUUUGUGGCUCAUUAAAAUACCUACCAUGCUAAAAAUGACGAUACAUAAACUUAGGGAAGUAACUAAAUUUCUCCAAAGUCCAAAGCUAUGAAAAUAGAGGUGAAAAUGCAAACAUUAAGAUCGUGAUCUUGCUUGAAAAAGACAAGAAACCUUGCAUGUGCACAUUGAUCAAUCAAUGCACGAGUAAUGCUGAAGGAUGAAAAGGUCAAAAGGUUUAGAAGAUCAACACCUAAGAAACACACAUUCGGUUGGUUGACAACGUUUAUAAACGAAACUAGUCAAAGCUGCUAUGCGUACGAGUAAGCGAUCUAUAUAUAUAUUAGCGAUCUAUAUUAUGUCAAUCGCACAAAGACUUUGUGACCAGCAUCGACCUGGAAAAGUCUCGAUAAUUUCACAAGGACACAACAUAUAACACUUCCACAAUAAGAAUCCAACACUGUUAUUUUCAGGCAUUUUUGAUCAAUACAUUGAAACCGAUUAGUUUUUCCUCAGUGGCUGCUUCUUGUGCUGUUUAUGCGAGUCUACUUGUUUCUUCUUGGAAGACCCAAGCCCAUUUGCAAGAUCAAACGAGCUCAAAUCCUCUAAAACUUGAUCAAGCCCAAGCCCACGAGCUUCUUCACUAACCUCAGACACUGAACCACCAUCUCCAGUUUCGCCCGUCUCGUUUUCAUCAUCUUCGGGAGGCAUUGCAAAAUGUGGAAGCUUACCUUCAAUGUAGUCUUUCAAAAUCUGCCUAGCAGCUCUCGUCUCAUCAGGCAGUCCACUAGCGGCAACGUACCCACGAGACAGGCAGUAAGUUCUAAGAAGCUCCGAGGCAAGAGGUGGACGGAACCGAGACUCAUAGCUUUUGGGUUUAGGCAAAGAGAUGUUGUACACUCCCUCGAUAACAUCUCGAGGAACACGUUCAGCCACAACCUUAACAGCUUCGCGGUGCUCCGUCAUCCUGUCUAUCGGAAGCACUCCGCAAGCGAUCAUUUCGUAUCUCGAACUCGAGAACGAAGGGAAGACCAGACCGGGGCAAUCGCAGAGCAUCAGCUCCUCGGAGAUGAUCAAUGUCUGGAAGUGCUUUGUCUUCCCUGGGGUGGAUGUGACGCCUGUCCGCUUCUGACCCACCAGUGCAUUGAUCGUUGAACUCUUCCCCACGUUAGGGUACCCAACGAAGCCGACCACAACACGUUCUCGGUGCGAAUACGCAGAAGCUUUCCUCCUUUUCGCUAUCUCCUGAGCCUCGAGUUUUAACCGAUCCAGAAGCUCGUCUCUUCCGUAUACUUUAACGGAAGGAUCAUCUGUGUUGUGUGAGGUUUCAGGUGAUGUCGUCCACUUUUCUUUUAAGGGUUUGCCUUCUAAGGUAGCAGUAGCAGCUUUGGCUGACCAGAAGACGAAUAAAAUGUUGUUGCGGGUGAAGUAGUCCGCCCACUUCUCCCUGUGUUAACAAUCCAAAUUGGUUAGCCAAAAUAAAAAGAGGUUAGAGAAAAAGAGGCAAGGGGCAAGUUUACCUGACGUAAGGAGGUAAGAGAUCCGCCUUGUUUACAAGAAGCAUUGUUUCUUUAUGCUCAUCAAUUUCUCGUGCAUAUGCCUGUAAAUGAUUGGUGGAUCAAUGAAAACUCUAUUAAGAGAAAGCUGCAAGUUGGCAGAGAGAGAGAGAGAGAGAGAGAGAGUUACCUCAAGAUCAGGGCAACGGUAAAACAGAGGAUCUCUAGCAUCAACAACCAUAACAAUCUGAAAGAGAAGUAAAAAAAGAGCCAAUUAUAUUCCGAAAUGAACUUAACCCAUUCAAAUGGGCUCUAGGAGGCGAAAAUGGCAUACCAAAUCACUUCGUUCAAGAACUCGCCAAAGUUGUCUCCAUAUGUCAAGGUUCUUCUCGAAUGGUGUCAGCACAAGCUUUUCAUUUUCCUCGAGGCUGAUUGAAUGCAGGAAAACAAAUAGGUAUGCUUUAAGUGUAUAUCACCAUGUCCCCAAGGAGAAUUGCACAUAAUAAAAUCAAACCACGCAUCUAAAACAGCAGCAAAAUAACAUCUUGAAUGAGCUAUAACUGUUUUGUUACUCUAUUCCAAAAUAUUGAACUUACAAAUGCAUUCCCAAAGAAGUUCAGAUUCUCAAAGGCUAUUUAGAGAUAAGAACACAAACUCAUAGCAUAAGAGCCAAAUUUAUCCACAAUAAUAACAAACAAACAAAAAAAAUCAUUCUCAACUAAAGCAAUCAUGGUUAUAGCGAUGGCUAAAAGAUUGCAGUUUUGUAUCUCAUUUGUAUACACUGAUGCAAGUAUGAAUUCUUCACAACUUUCUCAUCCUUUUAACCAUUCGUUUUCUUAAUACACAAACAUUGUAGCAAAGCAUUUGAACACUUUGCAUAUGAUUAAUCCCAAAUUCUACUAACAACAACAACAACGAAGAAGAAGAAGAAGAUAGAGAACCCUUUAGAUGAGGUGAAAACAGAACAAACCUGACAAGUUUGCGGCGCCAAGAGAGAAAAGCUUGUUUUUCAUUAGCAUCAAGUUGUUCCACAUUCAUUUUAGGCGUCCAAGGAGGUCUGAAUAUUAACAAAUAGAACAUCACUAAACCGAACAGACUCUAUAUUGACUCCAUAACAACAACCCAAAGAAGCAAAAGAGACCUUCUAGGAACUUGAAGACUACUAGCAUGUAAAGCCUCCUCUCUCAUCCGCUGCUCUUUCCACUCUUUAGCCGUUACACCACUCGAGCUCGAACCUGCGUCCCUGUUUUUCACCAAAACGAAAGAAGAAGAUCAACAACAACACACUAGAGAGAAAGGAUUCAAAAUCGAUCUUACAUAUUGAUGGGGAGAGGCGUUGCGGAUUCGUGAUGAAUAGCGUAAAGACGCUCAGCUUCCUCGGCUUGCUCGAUGAUGGCGUCGAUGUCGCUGACCUCCGUGACGGAUUCGAGAACCUUCUUGUUUUGGGACUUGUAGUGUUUCCCUUUAUCCUUGGUUUCCUGGAUCGCGUGGUUGUGGUGCUUCACUAGGGAUCGGCCUAGAGAUGUCUUCUCGUUCUUCCCCAUUUUCGGAUUUUUGGCGGAGAUUGGAGGAAAGAUUGAUUGAACGAUCUUUUUGUGUGUUUCUCGAAAGAGAUAUUUCAAUGUUCGUAAAGGCUCGUCGUGUGAAGCCGACGGAUGUAGCCGCCGUGUGGGGCGAAAUUUAAUAAAAAAAGUAAAAUGUAGGGUUCGAAGGGUAAUUACUCAAUACUGCAAACGGUUUACUUACCCUUGUUGUUCGGGUUUAUUUCAAUUGUCCGGUUUAAUCAUCUCGUUUUGCAAUUCCGGUCUGUUUGAUUGGAGCAGUGCAAUGUGUUUGUGGUGCUUCACUAGGGUCUCUUCAUCUCUUUCUCUCUAUCAUCAUUAUCUUUAUUUCUUUUAAGCCAUCUAAUUAAUUUUUGGUUUAUCCAUCUUUGAAAACUUCGGUGAGUUUUUAGAUCGGUUUAAAUCGUCCUUAGAGUUGCUGCUAUUUCAGUCUCAGAACAUAGACAUGUUUGUGUCUUACAAUUGUCCCGUGGGAUUGUGGCUCAUGCUAUGCAUAUUUUUAUGAUUUUAGAGAAUAGAGUAGGUAUUGAGAGAUUAAAGGUAGAUUAGAGAAGGUUAAUGGGAGAUUUGUAGACAGAUUAGGUAGUAAUUAUGUUUAAGAGUAUUUAAGAAUCAUCAUGAACAAGAGAGUUUAAAGAGAUAAUCUCAUAAUUCUUAAUUAUUAAUCUGAUCAGAGUUUACAAUAUAUAUGAAGAGGCAACAAUAGGAUGAGGGUUUCAUAAAGUAGCACUAUUACCAAAGAUAAGAUUUGCUUUAAUUCAAACUUUUCAAUGAGCUUCUUCCUUGUGCAUAAAGCUCCUUUUGCUUUAUCCAGCUCUUCUCCAGCCUGUCACACGCGCCUCCUCUUCCCUUGCAACGGACUGAUGCCUUAGCUAAGGGAAUAGGGCUUCUCUUCUUCUUCUUCCAAAGUUACCCGGGUAACUAGUAUAACUAGUAUACUAGUAAGUUACUCGGGUAACUAGUAUUACUACGGCCUCUUCAUCAUACCCAACUCCUCAUGUCUUUCUCUUCCUAUAUAUUGAUCUCAUCUCAACACUCCCCCCCCCAAGCUCAGCUUUGUGAAAGUCUAAGCUUGGAUAGCCAUGAGAUCUUCCUCAUUAAAAACCUCACCAAGGAAAACCCAUUGGGACAAAACCUUGAUGAGGGAAAAAGAGUAAAGACCUCAUGACUUAGGGGAUCAGCUCCUUCUCUUCCCAAGAUCUAUGAGUUCUAAUCUGAUGUGAAUGGACUCCAUAGUCUUUUGUCUUGCAUGCUAAUUCCCUAAAACACGUGUUGGCUUCCUCUACGUGGUAAGUUUUGUGGCUCAUUAAAAUACCUACCAUGCUAAAAAUGACGAUACAUAAACUUAGGGAAGUAACUAAAUUUCUCCAAAGUCCAAAGCUAUGAAAAUAGAGGUGAAAAUGCAAACAUUAAGAUCGUGAUCUUGCUUGAAAAAGACAAGAAACCUUGCAUGUGCACAUUGAUCAAUCAAUGCACGAGUAAUGCUGAAGGAUGAAAAGGUCAAAAGGUUUAGAAGAUCAACACCUAAGAAACACACAUUCGGUUGGUUGACAACGUUUAUAAACGAAACUAGUCAAAGCUGCUAUGCGUACGAGUAAGCGAUCUAUAUAUAUAUUAGCGAUCUAUAUUAUGUCAAUCGCACAAAGACUUUGUGACCAGCAUCGACCUGGAAAAGUCUCGAUAAUUUCACAAGGACACAACAUAUAACACUUCCACAAUAAGAAUCCAACACUGUUAUUUUCAGGCAUUUUUGAUCAAUACAUUGAAACCGAUUAGUUUUUCCUCAGUGGCUGCUUCUUGUGCUGUUUAUGCGAGUCUACUUGUUUCUUCUUGGAAGACCCAAGCCCAUUUGCAAGAUCAAACGAGCUCAAAUCCUCUAAAACUUGAUCAAGCCCAAGCCCACGAGCUUCUUCACUAACCUCAGACACUGAACCACCAUCUCCAGUUUCGCCCGUCUCGUUUUCAUCAUCUUCGGGAGGCAUUGCAAAAUGUGGAAGCUUACCUUCAAUGUAGUCUUUCAAAAUCUGCCUAGCAGCUCUCGUCUCAUCAGGCAGUCCACUAGCGGCAACGUACCCACGAGACAGGCAGUAAGUUCUAAGAAGCUCCGAGGCAAGAGGUGGACGGAACCGAGACUCAUAGCUUUUGGGUUUAGGCAAAGAGAUGUUGUACACUCCCUCGAUAACAUCUCGAGGAACACGUUCAGCCACAACCUUAACAGCUUCGCGGUGCUCCGUCAUCCUGUCUAUCGGAAGCACUCCGCAAGCGAUCAUUUCGUAUCUCGAACUCGAGAACGAAGGGAAGACCAGACCGGGGCAAUCGCAGAGCAUCAGCUCCUCGGAGAUGAUCAAUGUCUGGAAGUGCUUUGUCUUCCCUGGGGUGGAUGUGACGCCUGUCCGCUUCUGACCCACCAGUGCAUUGAUCGUUGAACUCUUCCCCACGUUAGGGUACCCAACGAAGCCGACCACAACACGUUCUCGGUGCGAAUACGCAGAAGCUUUCCUCCUUUUCGCUAUCUCCUGAGCCUCGAGUUUUAACCGAUCCAGAAGCUCGUCUCUUCCGUAUACUUUAACGGAAGGAUCAUCUGUGUUGUGUGAGGUUUCAGGUGAUGUCGUCCACUUUUCUUUUAAGGGUUUGCCUUCUAAGGUAGCAGUAGCAGCUUUGGCUGACCAGAAGACGAAUAAAAUGUUGUUGCGGGUGAAGUAGUCCGCCCACUUCUCCCUGUGUUAACAAUCCAAAUUGGUUAGCCAAAAUAAAAAGAGGUUAGAGAAAAAGAGGCAAGGGGCAAGUUUACCUGACGUAAGGAGGUAAGAGAUCCGCCUUGUUUACAAGAAGCAUUGUUUCUUUAUGCUCAUCAAUUUCUCGUGCAUAUGCCUGUAAAUGAUUGGUGGAUCAAUGAAAACUCUAUUAAGAGAAAGCUGCAAGUUGGCAGAGAGAGAGAGAGAGAGAGAGAGAGUUACCUCAAGAUCAGGGCAACGGUAAAACAGAGGAUCUCUAGCAUCAACAACCAUAACAAUCUGAAAGAGAAGUAAAAAAAGAGCCAAUUAUAUUCCGAAAUGAACUUAACCCAUUCAAAUGGGCUCUAGGAGGCGAAAAUGGCAUACCAAAUCACUUCGUUCAAGAACUCGCCAAAGUUGUCUCCAUAUGUCAAGGUUCUUCUCGAAUGGUGUCAGCACAAGCUUUUCAUUUUCCUCGAGGCUGAUUGAAUGCAGGAAAACAAAUAGGUAUGCUUUAAGUGUAUAUCACCAUGUCCCCAAGGAGAAUUGCACAUAAUAAAAUCAAACCACGCAUCUAAAACAGCAGCAAAAUAACAUCUUGAAUGAGCUAUAACUGUUUUGUUACUCUAUUCCAAAAUAUUGAACUUACAAAUGCAUUCCCAAAGAAGUUCAGAUUCUCAAAGGCUAUUUAGAGAUAAGAACACAAACUCAUAGCAUAAGAGCCAAAUUUAUCCACAAUAAUAACAAACAAACAAAAAAAAUCAUUCUCAACUAAAGCAAUCAUGGUUAUAGCGAUGGCUAAAAGAUUGCAGUUUUGUAUCUCAUUUGUAUACACUGAUGCAAGUAUGAAUUCUUCACAACUUUCUCAUCCUUUUAACCAUUCGUUUUCUUAAUACACAAACAUUGUAGCAAAGCAUUUGAACACUUUGCAUAUGAUUAAUCCCAAAUUCUACUAACAACAACAACAACGAAGAAGAAGAAGAAGAUAGAGAACCCUUUAGAUGAGGUGAAAACAGAACAAACCUGACAAGUUUGCGGCGCCAAGAGAGAAAAGCUUGUUUUUCAUUAGCAUCAAGUUGUUCCACAUUCAUUUUAGGCGUCCAAGGAGGUCUGAAUAUUAACAAAUAGAACAUCACUAAACCGAACAGACUCUAUAUUGACUCCAUAACAACAACCCAAAGAAGCAAAAGAGACCUUCUAGGAACUUGAAGACUACUAGCAUGUAAAGCCUCCUCUCUCAUCCGCUGCUCUUUCCACUCUUUAGCCGUUACACCACUCGAGCUCGAACCUGCGUCCCUGUUUUUCACCAAAACGAAAGAAGAAGAUCAACAACAACACACUAGAGAGAAAGGAUUCAAAAUCGAUCUUACAUAUUGAUGGGGAGAGGCGUUGCGGAUUCGUGAUGAAUAGCGUAAAGACGCUCAGCUUCCUCGGCUUGCUCGAUGAUGGCGUCGAUGUCGCUGACCUCCGUGACGGAUUCGAGAACCUUCUUGUUUUGGGACUUGUAGUGUUUCCCUUUAUCCUUGGUUUCCUGGAUCGCGUGGUUGUGGUGCUUCACUAGGGAUCGGCCUAGAGAUGUCUUCUCGUUCUUCCCCAUUUUCGGAUUUUUGGCGGAGAUUGGAGGAAAGAUUGAUUGAACGAUCUUUUUGUGUGUUUCUCGAAAGAGAUAUUUCAAUGUUCGUAAAGGCUCGUCGUGUGAAGCCGACGGAUGUAGCCGCCGUGUGGGGCGAAAUUUAAUAAAAAAAGUAAAAUGUAGGGUUCGAAGGGUAAUUACUCAAUACUGCAAACGGUUUACUUACCCUUGUUGUUCGGGUUUAUUUCAAUUGUCCGGUUUAAUCAUCUCGUUUUGCAAUUCCGGUCUGUUUGAUUGGAGCAGUGCAAUGUGUUUGUGGUGCUUCACUAGGGUCUCUUCAUCUCUUUCUCUCUAUCAUCAUUAUCUUUAUUUCUUUUAAGCCAUCUAAUUAAUUUUUGGUUUAUCCAUCUUUGAAAACUUCGGUGAGUUUUUAGAUCGGUUUAAAUCGUCCUUAGAGUUGCUGCUAUUUCAGUCUCAGAACAUAGACAUGUUUGUGUCUUACAAUUGUCCCGUGGGAUUGUGGCUCAUGCUAUGCAUAUUUUUAUGAUUUUAGAGAAUAGAGUAGGUAUUGAGAGAUUAAAGGUAGAUUAGAGAAGGUUAAUGGGAGAUUUGUAGACAGAUUAGGUAGUAAUUAUGUUUAAGAGUAUUUAAGAAUCAUCAUGAACAAGAGAGUUUAAAGAGAUAAUCUCAUAAUUCUUAAUUAUUAAUCUGAUCAGAGUUUACAAUAUAUAUGAAGAGGCAACAAUAGGAUGAGGGUUUCAUAAAGUAGCACUAUUACCAAAGAUAAGAUUUGCUUUAAUUCAAACUUUUCAAUGAGCUUCUUCCUUGUGCAUAAAGCUCCUUUUGCUUUAUCCAGCUCUUCUCCAGCCUGUCACACGCGCCUCCUCUUCCCUUGCAACGGACUGAUGCCUUAGCUAAGGGAAUAGGGCUUCUCUUCUUCUUCUUCCAAAGUUACCCGGGUAACUAGUAUAACUAGUAUACUAGUAAGUUACUCGGGUAACUAGUAUUACUACGGCCUCUUCAUCAUACCCAACUCCUCAUGUCUUUCUCUUCCUAUAUAUUGAUCUCAUCUCAACACUCCCCCCCCCAAGCUCAGCUUUGUGAAAGUCUAAGCUUGGAUAGCCAUGAGAUCUUCCUCAUUAAAAACCUCACCAAGGAAAACCCAUUGGGACAAAACCUUGAUGAGGGAAAAAGAGUAAAGACCUCAUGACUUAGGGGAUCAGCUCCUUCUCUUCCCAAGAUCUAUGAGUUCUAAUCUGAUGUGAAUGGACUCCAUAGUCUUUUGUCUUGCAGCCUUGGUGAACACAUCUGCCAACUGAUCUUCACUUCUUGUAUAACAUGGCAAGAUCACUCCCAAGACUAUCAUCUGCCUCACCUUGUGGCAAUCUACUUCAAUGUGCUUCGUCCUCUCAUGAAACACUGAGUUUGUAGCAAUGUGAAUAGCCGCCUGAUUGUCACAAUGCAUAGUCAUUGGUGUUGCUUGCUCAAUCUCCAAGUGCCUAAGAAUCCCUUUGAUCCAUACCAACUCGUUGGUAAGCUUUAGCAUAGCUCUAUACUCAGCUUCANNNNNNNNNNNNNNNNNNNNNNNNNNNNNNNNNNNNNNNNNNNNNNNNNNNNNNNNNNNNNNNNNNNNNNNNNNNNNNNNNNNNNNNNNNNNNNNNNNNNNNNNNNNNNNNNNNNNNNNNNNNNNNNNNNNNNNNNNNNNNNNNNNNNNNNNNNNNNNNNNNNNNNNNNNNNNNNNNNNNNNNNNNNNNNNNNNNNNNNNNNNUACUUGAUGGUGAAGAUCCACUUGCAUGACACAGCUCUCUUCCCCUUAGGCAACUCACUCUCAUACCAUGUAUCAUUUCUAAUCAUGGCAUCAGCCUCAUCAUUGACUGAAUCUCUCCACUCUUGAAUCAUCAUUGCUUCUUCAUAGCUUCUUGGCACAUAGCUUUCAUCUAAGCUUACCAUAAAGGAGUAGUGCUCUUCCGGAAACUCAGCAAAGGAGCACACAGCUUGGGAAGGAUGUUCCACAGCCUGGGCAUUGUAUAACACUCUCGUGUUUACCCAGUUUCUUGUGUUUGUCCACUUGGAAGCAUCCCUCCUUACUCGUGUGCUUCUUCUCAAAGAAACUUCUACUUGUUCCUCAACAGCUUCCUCUUAUAGCUGAAUUUCUUCUCCAGCUUCCUGACCUUCAUUCUGAACUUCUCUUCCUGAUUCAUCUCCACUUUGGACAGGAGAAUCUGAGCCUUGAUCUUCUAGACCUCCAGCUUUUUCUGAGCCUUGAUCUUUUAACCCUUCAGCUUCAGAUUCACUUCCCCCCUCAUGUUCAAAGUGGGUUGGUUCUUCAGCGGCCACUUGAGUAGGCUCUUCAUGCCUGCUCUGAUCCUGGGACACGCAAAUACCGAGUUCUUCUAGUAUGUUUCUCAAACUAGCAGCUCUAUCUGAUGGUUGAGAAAGCCCUUCAAGCUCCUCCCAAUUCUUCUCUUCAUAAUACCCUUUAUCUUCCAUGAAUUUCACAUCCCUAGACACCAAGACUCUUCUAGCAGUGGGAUCAAAACACUUGUAUCCCUUUUGAGAUGCGGAAUAUCCAAUAAGCAUAGUCUUGGUGCUCUUUGCUUCAAGUUUGUUUCUCAUCUCUCCUGGCACCAGUACAUAGCACACACACCCAAAUGUCCUCAAGUGAUCUAGAACUGGUCGACUCUUGUUGAGUACCUUAAAUGGAGACUGAUCCUCUAGGAUUCUGGUUGGUAUCCUAUUGAUUAGAUAGCAAGCAGUCAUCACAGCAUCACUCCAGAAUCUCUUAGGGACACUCUUGUGGAACAUCAUUGAACGGGCCACUUCCAUGAGGUGUCGGUUCUUCCUUUCAGCAACUCCAUUCUGUUGUGGAGUGUAAGGACAGCUAGUCUGAUGUAGAAUCCCAUGUUGAGCUAGGUGAUCUUUGAAUGNNNNNNNNNNNNNNNNNNNNNNNNNNNNNNNNNNNNNNNNNNNNNNNNNNNNNNNNNNNNNNNNNNNNNNNNNNNNNNNNNNNNNNNNNNNNNNNNNNNNNNNNNNNNNNNNNNNNNNNNNNNNNNNNNNNNNNNNNNNNNNNNNNNNNNNNNNNNNNNNNNNNNNNNNNNNNNNNNNNNNNNNNNNNNNNNNNNNNNNNNNNNNNNNNNNNNNNNNNNNNNNNNNNNNNNNNNNNNNNNNNNNNNNNNNNNNNNNNNNNNNNNNNNNNNNNNNNNNNNNNNNNNNNNNNNNNNNNNNNNNNNNNNNNNNNNNNNNNNNNNNNNNNNNNNNNNNNNNNNNNNNNNNNNNNNNNNNNNNNNNNNNNNNNNNNNNNNNNNNNNNNNNNNNNNNNNNNNNNNNNNNNNNNNNNNNNNNNNNNNNNNNNNNNNNNNNNNNNNNNNNNNNNNNNNNNNNNNNNNNNNNNNNNNNNNNNNNNNNNNNNNNNNNNNNNNNNNNNNNNNNNNNNNNNNNNNNNNNNNNNNNNNNNNNNNNNNNNNNNNNNNNNNNNNNNNNNNNNNNNNNNNNNNNNNNNNNNNNNNNNNNNNNNNNNNNNNNNNNNNNNNNNNNNNNNNNNNNNNNNNNNNNNNNNNNNNNNNNNNNNNNNNNNNNNNNNNNNNNNNNNNNNNNNNNNNNNNNNNNNNNNNNNNNNNNNNNNNNNNNNNNNNNNNNNNNNNNNNNNNNNNNNNNNNNNNNNNNNNNNNNNNNNNNNNNNNNNNNNNNNNNNNNNNNNNNNNNNNNNNNNNNNNNNNNNNNNNNNNNNNNNNNNNNNNNNNNNNNNNNNNNNNNNNNNNNNNNNNNNNNNNNNNNNNNNNNNNNNUUCAAGAAGAGGGACAUCAAGAGAUCCUUGCAGCACGGAGAGCACCAUCAAGUCUUCUUGCACCCACUUCUUUGCUUCAGCUUUGGUGAGAGUCUUUUCCUCUUCACCUUCUUCAGUUUCUUUGGCCACUGGCUUCAGACCAUCAUCAGUGAUGUGGCUCCACAGCCCUAGCCUUCCAAUGGCAGUCUUCACCAAUCUAGACCACAAGAGGUAGUUUGAACCACCCUUCAACGCAACCGGGACAGUAACUAGCUUGCUGAAGUUGUUUCCUUCCAUCUUCUCUUGCUUGAACCAGAAAUUACCAGAAGUUACCAGAAAGCUUCAAACUUGCAACUCAGCUGAAGAACACACAGUACCAGACUUCAAGAACACACGAACUCAAAGCACAACACCACAAGACUCAACUUUAUCACACAGCUUCACAGAACCCUCAAGAACAAAAGAGCAAGAACACAAGGACACAAGAGCUAGAGAAAGAAAGAAAUGGAACGAGGUUUCUCAAUACCAAAGCCAACCAGGCUCUGAUACCAUAUGAUUUUAGAGAAUAGAGUAGGUAUUGAGAGAUUAAAGGUAGAUUAGAGAAGGUUAAUGGGAGAUUUGUAGAGAGAUUAGGUAGUAAUCAUGUUUAAGAGUAUUUAAGAAUCAUCAUGAACAAGAGAGAGAGUUUAGAGAGAUAAUCUCAUAAUUCUUAAUUAUUAAUCUGAUUAGAGUUUACAAUAUAUUUGAGGAGGCAACAAUAGGAUGAUGGUUUCAUAAAGUAGCACUAUUACAAGAGAUAAGGUUUGCUUUAAUUCAAACCAUCCAAUGAGCUUCUUCCUUGUGCAUAAAGCUCCUUUUGCUUUAUCCAGCUCUUCUCCAGCCUGUCACACGCGCCUCCUCUUCCCUUGCAACGGACUGAUGCCUUAGCUAAGGGAAUAGGGCUUCUUUUCUUCUUCUUCCAAAGUUACCCGGGUAACUAGUAUAACUAGUAUACUAGUAAGUUACUCGGGUAACUAGUAUUACUACGGUCUCUUCAUCAUACUCAACUCCUCAUGUCUUUCUCUUCCUAUAUAUUGAUCUCAUCUCAACAAUUUUUACAUACAUAUAUGUUGUAAUGGUAAAAUAUUAUUCCAAUCUAAAUUCCAGCUGAACAACAUAUUUGUACAAAUAUGAAUCAAAUUUUGAUUGGAAUUAUUAGUAACUCCAACUAAGACAUAAAUGAACGUGAAUUGUUAUCAAUGCAAAUGUGAGCACUAAUUUUAUUAUAUUCAGUUCACAAAACUGAGCAUUUGUUUUCUAUUUUCUCUACUUCUUUUUGAGUGAUUCAUUGAAUGCUAAAGUAGUCAUGACCAGAGUGUUUUAGGGUGAUUCAAGCCCCCAUUGAUUGAGUGAGUCAAUUUGUCCAUCAUCAUUAUCUCGACUACGAUUCCAUCUUCCACAUCAGAGCUGGCAAGUCUAUUGAGAUUAAGUGUUUAGAGCACUGGAGUGAUUCCAAGGCGGUAUCACCACUGUUGAGCUAGUUGGUUUGAUUCAAGGUGUUGACUUGGCGGUGACUUAGUGAAUCCGUAGAAGAAAGCUCUAGCGGUUAAUUUGUUGACCAUGAUGUAAUUAGAUAAGUGAGAAGAGGCAACACUGAAUUAGCGGGGUGUUAUUGGAUGAAUUCCCCUUGAGGGGUUCAUUAUAUUAGAUAGGCUAUAUAAAGCCAAAGUUGUUACACAUAUCACGUUAUACAGUUGAGAUAUUAACGAGAUAGAUACUAGAGAAUUAGGAAUAUUCUCUUAUAUUCUUUCACCCUCCCGCAGUCGAAGCAUCGUAUGGUAAGAUGGUGAGACUGGAGCGGAACUGUUCAAAGAGUGUUGUCGGGAGUCCUUUUGUGAAGAUGUCCGCAUAUUGGAGUGAUGUUGGGACGUGUAACACUUUCACUUCACCAAUGGCCACCUUCUCGCGAACGAAAUGGAUAUCCAACUCCACGUGUUUUCUCCUUUGAUGUUUGACGUGGUUAGAAGAUAGGUAUACUGAUCCAAUGUUGUCGCAGUAGAUGAGAGAGGCUUUGUUCAUCUUGUAGUGGAGUUUAAGCAUUAGGUUCAGUAUCCAGCAGAGUUCUGCAACCGUGUUGGCCACGCCUUUGUAUUCAGCUUCAGAGCUCGAUAUUGAAACCGUUGGUUGUCUCUUAGCUGACCAGGAGACAAGACUUGGGCCGAGAAAGACACAGAACCCUGUGGUUGAUCUUCGAGUAUCAGGACAACCUCCCUAGUCCGCAUCUGUAUAGGUUGUCAAUGUGUCGAUAUUACCUCUAUAGAGCUGUUGUCCAUGUGAAAUUGUACCCUUGACAUAUCGUAUGAUGCGCUUCAAUGCUUGAAAGUGUGGAACGCGAGGGUCAUGCAUAUAGAGACAAAUUUGAUGGACUGCGUAGGAGAUGUGGGGCGUGUGAAUGUGAGGUACUGUAAGGCACCUGCUAAGCUGUGAUAUUCUGUGGGGUUCUCAAGCUUGUCUCCUUCCUCUGCUGAAAGUUUGGAUUUGAUGUCUACGGGCGUGGUGACCGGUUUUGACGUUCCCAUGUUUGCGCGAUCGAUUAUGUCCUGAGCAUACACGCUUUGACUAAGGAAGAGGCCUUCUUUGUUGAAGUCUGCCUUUAUUCCUAGGAAGUGCUGAAGACGACCAAGAUCAGUCAUGGGAAAUUCGGUUUGAGUGCCACAAUGAUCUUGUUUAGGAGUGUCGUUGAUGAUGCUGUUAAGACAAUGUCAUCAACGUAUAACAGAAUGUAUGCGAGUUCAGCUCCUUUCAUGAAAACAAAUAAAGAUGUAUCCGCCCUGCUAAUGACAAAGGCAAGUUUCAUUAGAAAUUUUGCAAAGUGCGCAUUCCAGGCCCGUGGAGCUUGCUUUAGGCCAUAGAUAGCCUUUCGAAGCUUGCAGACAUGGUUGGGAUGUUCUUUGCUGACAAAACCCGGCGGCUGAUGCAUGUAGAUUGUCUCCUCUAGGUCACCAUGGAGGAAGUCGUUUUGUAUCGGCCAGUUGUUUGCGACACCAAUGUAGAGUACAGUCCGAAUGGUUGCUGGUUUCACCACCGGGCUAAAAGUUUCGUCAAAGUCAAUACCUGCCUCUUGUGAUUUACCAUUCGCGACUAUAUGAUACUUGUGCUUCUUGAGCUUCCCAUUUCCAUCAUAUUUGUGUCUGUGGAGCCACAUUGACUUGAUAAUAUUGACAUUUUUCGGAUGUGGUACCAAGUCCCAAGUCCUAGUCUUAAGCAUAGCACCAUAUUCAUCAAACAUUGAUGUGUUCCAGUUUGGGUCGGCUAAGGCUUGGAUAUGGCUCUUUGGUAGUGGUAAGAAGAGAAACAAUAGGUUUAGGUUUUGUGAUUCCAGACCAUGCUCUCGUUGUCAUUGGGUGACGAGAUGGAGCUGUCUGAAUGGGGUUAAUGGGUGGGUUGGGUUAUGGUGGCUGAGGCGCGGGUAGAGGUUUGGUAUGUAUGGUUUUGAAAAUGGGUGCGGGUUCAUCUUGAUGGUCAAGAAAGUGAUACUUUGAACCAUCAUUUUUUGUUUCUGCAGCAGGGAGUUUGUCCUCAUCAAAGUAGACGUGUCUAGAGAGGAUUAUUUUGUUGGUUUUUAAGUUUAGACAGCGGUAACCACGGUGUUGAGAUGGGUAGCCAAGAAAUAGGCAAGGUGUAGAGCGAGGUGAGAGUUUAGAGAGAUGGGAAUGGUUGAGGUUUGGAAAGCAUAAGCAACCAAACACUCUUAAAUGGUCAUAAGUUGGGGUUUGAUG